GAGUGUAACAGCGAUGCUAAUAUAUACAUCAACAUCUUCUCCCCAAGGGGGAUUCCUGGGCAUAUUCUUCUCCCUGAUCCAAAUGGCAAAAACUUGAAAUUAUUUCCAUUGUAAUCCCAUUUGUCGAUCAAGAAUCUCUCGGGCAUGAACUCCAAUGGAUUGGUCCAGAUCUUAGGAUCCCGGUGGAUUGCCCAAACAUUCAUAUAGACGAUAGUACCCUUUGGAAUGGUGUAUCCGCCAACAGUGCAUGAUUCAUCUGGGUAUCUGUGGACUAGGAGAGGAACCGGAGUGUGUACCCUGAAUGUCUCCUUGAUGACUGCAUCUAAAUAUGUUAAUUUGGGCAGAUGAGAUUCUUGGACAACGUUCAUGCCAAUAACAUCCGUUAAUUCAUCCUGGACCUUUCUCAUUACACCUGGAUUAUUCAAAAUCUCUGAUAUCACCCAUUCUACCAUUGUCGAUGUUGUAUCUGUAGCCGCAAGCACUAUAUCCUAUUUUUGUACAGUUUCCCUUUUUAGUUUGUCAUGUGGAUAAGUGCAGAUUGCAGUUAAAGAAAGAUCCAAAACAUAUAAAGAGACACUUACCAUUAGUAGGGCCUUUAUUUUAAUAAUGUCCAGUGAUAUUGAACCAUCUUUCUGCUCCAUAAGCUCCAAUAAUAUCUGCACGAAAUCCUUCCUUCGAUCUUCCUCAGCUUCUCCCUCAUUUUUUCUGGAGUUGGUUUCGAUUCUUCCUUGGAUAAUGCUUUGAAAUAUCCGAUCGACAUAUUCAAGUUGCCUCUGCAUUUCUCGCUGCCUUCCUUGGAGAUCAAACCGAGAUACCACUGGGAGAAAAUCAGAGAUGUUCGGGGCUCCCAAUAACUUAACAAUCUUGAACUCAACUUCACGGAAGCCACCUCCAAUAGAGCUAGAAUCGUUCCCCUCACCAGAUUUGCUACAACCCCAUAAAAUGCUUGUCACAACGUCUACCUCAGUCUUGAAAGCAAUUUCAUUAAUAUUGAUCUUUGUCCCGAGCUUACUGUAAACUUCUUUCACCAGCCUUCUCACUUCAUAUGUUCGGAAACCCUGACAAUCUUUGAGAUUUGUAUUGCUCAGAAGUUGGGUUGCUAAAAUCUUGCGCAUGUUACGCCAGUGUGUGUUGCUGUUGGACCAUACAACACCAUUGCCACCAUAACUGAUGGUUAGCGCUGUCAAUGGAGGACUGCGGUUCGCCAUGGUCUGAUCCAGGUCACGAGUCACGACCUUUACUAGGUCUAUGGAGUUGACCACAACAUGAAGCUUUCUUCCGAGCCGGAGACUGAAGAUGGGGCCAUAUCGGUGAGCCAUCUCCGUGAAUCUUUCAUGCAAAUUGGAGCCAAGAAACGGGAGAUACCCUACAACUGGUAAGCCAUAGGGACCGGGUGGGAAGGGUGGUAUGUGCUUUCUGGAAUAUGUUAUCCAUUUGUACCAUAGAAGUAGUAGUGUCGGAACUGAAAUGGUGAGAACUGUGCAGGCGAGCUUGUCUAGCUCAUUGUCGACUUCCCACCACCAUAACAACAAGGUGUUCAUCGUGAGAAAAAUCUUAUAUCCAAUUUCUGGUAUCAUUUAUGCUACAAAUGAUAGGCAACUUAUGAGGAAGCCUGCUUGUUAUAAAUCAGGGAUGGUUGAUUUUGGACCACGGACUUUCCGCAAGCACAUGCCAACGCAUGCAGUUAUGUGGUUGUGCUUCGGCUAACCCUCAUAUUUUAUGAAGUCUAUUUUAUUGCUAAUAGGGAAACCUGCUAAAAUAAACAACUAACAUAUCUUUUGUCUAAGAGUAAUAUAGAAGCAUUUAUUUAGUUUGUAUUGUUAACUUGGUAUGUUUGCUGGUUUAAUUAUUGGUCAUUUAUCUGAAGUCAGAUGUAUGCUGCGAGAUUGUGAGAAGUUUUAAAUGGGGCAUAAAGUCUGGACCAGUGUGAGAAGUUGUACAUGGGGCAUAAAGUCUCGACCAGGAUGAUGUAUUUCAAAUUGACGGUUUUGUUAGAAUCCCUUCAUAUAAUGACUCUAAUGUUUGUUUUAUGUGAAAAGGGAGUCGGAUCUAUUCCAUCUUAUUUUAUGAUUUUAUAAUAACAUUGCUAUGUUUUCAUUCAAAAUUACUUUCAAGAAUCGGGUAAAUUAUCUUUACUAUUUGAUCAAGUAUUUCUGUCUGAUUUAGCUUGUUUAUUGCCUUAAGUUUAUAAAAAGUUUAACGUCACUAGAAUUACAAACAACCCAAAUACAAGAAAUAAGGCUACUAAAGUGGUAACUUGCAUAUAUGGUAUUUCACUCGCAUUGAUUAUGAAAAUAAAUAUAACGGGUGUUUGGUUCAUGUAUUCAUAUGUAAUUGGAAUUCUAGAUUCCAUUAUAUAAAAUAAUGAUUUGUUUGAUUCCUCAAAAGACAAUUACAUAGGAAUAUAUAAAGAAUCUCUAAACGUUAAGUGGUUAAGUGGUUUGGACGUAAACUCUAAUCACUAACAUCUCUCCCUAGUUUGAUUGGGAGAAGACGAUUAAAAUUGGAAAAUCACAAAAGAGAAAACAUAUAUGUAGACAACGAGAGCGACAUUGACAGAGCUCUAGCGAUGUUAUAAAACCCUGUUUUGAAUCGUUUCUUAAUUCGGGCAUUGGCGAGUUUAUGUGUUACAUUGGUGAGUCACUUGACCCACCUUUUUUAUACUUUUGUAUAACAAGUUAUUUGAAACUAAAAAUUGUGACCUACCAAAAAAAUGCAAAUGAAUCCCCUUAAUAUUUUGGCAACAAAAAAAAAUGUUUAAAGUCUAUAUUUUAAUAGUUCAAUAUUUUUAAAUGUAUAAUCCAAUAUUCAUAGCCCAAUACAAGCUAUAAUAGAAAAAAUUAAGUCACAAAUCAAUCGUUUCAUAGCACGUUAACCUUGGAUCUUCAAUUCUUCAUAAUCACCGAUCCAAUUUACAACCGAUGUUAAAUAUAUUAUACUUUGUUAGCUUUGUGAAAAUUGAUUAAAUUAUGUGGAACUUCUAUUCCCAAUUCCAAUAUUCUCUGACAAAGACCACUAUUCAUAAUUUAGUUGUAGGUUUAAUUGAAUUUACUGUUGGAUUUCUUUUCUUUUCUUUUUCUUGUUAAUAUUUAUUCUGUAAGAAUCAAAAGCAAAGCUAUUGUAUUUUUGGUAAUACUUAGUGAUUUUGUUUUUUAUUGUUCAAUGAGUUCAUAGUAGGUUUUUUUUAUUGUUUCAAUUUUUCAAUGUUCAUUGAUUAUUUGAUUGUUGUUUAUGUGUUUGGUUAUUUCAUUGUUGAUUGCGAAUUGUUGUUUAUUUCAAAAAUUAAAAUCAAGAAUGUCUUUAAAAGUAAUUUGAUUUUUUUUGCUUAUAUGAUUCGACCCGAUACAAACCCACAACUAGUAUGUUUUUCAAUCUGUUUCAAUUAAAUAGUGAACCAUGUGGUUUUACGUUCUAGACUCGCCACUAAACUCGGGGCUGUGACCCGGUGAUCAGUUAUCAAGAGGCUUUGGGCCUAGGGGAAAGAGAGAUUUAGACCCCUUUGGAUGUGGAUAAUGUAGAAUAGAUGAUCUGAGAGUUCAGUUUGUGUUUUGGAGCCCAAAGGUAUAACCAUAAAGUGAUAGUUUGGGCCUUAAUAAAUUUUGGUUUUAAGUUCGGGAAAGUCUUAAGGAAAAUGAGAGUAGAUAGGAUUGUAGAGCUUCUCAUUAACUUUUUGUGGAUAUAAGGAUCGUCGGAAUCCGAGUUGGAACAAAGAAGUUAUGGGCAUCAGAAGAUUGAUCGGUAAGGAGCAUGUAGUGUACGUUGGACGUAGAUGGUUGGAGUGAUCGCGAAGGUUCCAGCGUGAACGCUGGGCAUAAAAGAUGUAUGUUGGGCGUUUGUAACUCAAUCCCAAACCCUAAUAUAGGGUCUUAAACCAUAUUUAAAGGCCUUAACUCAUUAUCAAACCCUCUUAUCUUCAACCUCCAUCACCCUUAACCCUAAAUUCGAAACCCUAGCCCUCAUUUGGAAAGAUUUUGAGCUUUGGAGUGAUCUUUGUGGAUUUUUGGUGCAUUUAGAAGAAGAACACCUUGGAGAAGUGUUGGUUGUAUUGGAGCUUGUAGAUCCAAGUCUUGUUCAUCUUGAUAUAGCUUCUAGAGGUAUAAAAUUUUAAUAUUGGUGACUUUCUCUUAUAGAUCUAGAUUGAGUGCUAAUUUAUCAUGUUUUGGUCUAAUGAUUGUGGUUCUUGUGAGUAGAAGUUACUAUAGAACCUUUGAGCCUCAUAUUUAGUCUUUGUUGAGGUCAUUAAGUCAUAAAGUUUGGAUCUUGAGGAGUAUUGUCCCUUCAUGCAAGAAUUAAUGAGCUUUUUAUGAAGUUAUGAAGCUUGGAUGUUAGUUUAGACCCCACUAAGCAAUGCGAAAUCAUAAAGUCGGGAACUUUAUGACCUAAUACAUCCCGUGGAUGUUAGAUCCAAGUUUGGACAUUUUGGUCUUAAGCAUUAAGCAUCUUUAACAUGGGAAAUUGUCACAUGGAGCGUACGAUGGUCGUACGUAUGCGUACGCUCCGCGUAAUGCAUGUACUCCCCGUUUGUAAGCAUUGACGAGUUGCACAUUCUGCAGUGAUAGGCGGAACGUGGGGUGUACACAAAAAACCUUUUUUUGGGCCAUGGGUUGUGUAAUCAGAUAUGUGAAGGGUAAAAUGGUCUUUUACCUAUUGGAAGUGUAACACCCAUUCUAGGAAUGAGCAUUUUAAAUGUUAAGUUCUAUUGUGGGUGGUCGCGACGUAGAGCCCCACAACGGCGUGCACAAAUUCGUUUGAACAAACCGUAAUUCCUUAAGCUUUGGGCCCUAUUUAAAGGACAUUAUGGCUAGGGUUUCAAGGUUAUUCAACCUCCAUCACCCUCUCAGGCACUGAAACCCUAACCCUAGCCUCCAUUACUCUUGAAAGUUCCUUCAUCAUACUUUGUUGGCAUUUUUGAAAGAGAAGCAAGCCUUUGGUGAGGAUUAUCAUCUUACAAGCAGCAUAUUCAUCUUCUAGCUUCUCUUUUGGACUUGAGUGAAUGUUUAAUACUGAAUCUUUUCUUUGUUAGAUUGUUAGAUCUUGGAUUUUUGUCCCUUUUCUUCAUGCUUGGUGGGUUUUGGAUGAUGAGAUCUCAUAAAUCUUACAACUUUAUAAAUAUCUAGGCAAUUUGGAGCAUUUUAUUGUUUGGAUUUGAAGUAGACUUGAGUUUUCAGGCCAUGCAUGGAAUCUUGGCUCUUUUAGCCCUUAUUCUACCCUAAAAAUGGAAAGGAAAAGAAUUGGACAUGCAUGUCCCUAAGGCUAUGAUUUUUAUGGUCCAGAAGGUGUUGGAAACCCUUCUGGAAACUUUGGAGAAGUAACUCUAAGGGUUAAGUGCUUAAUGAGUAGUAUGUGUUUCAUGCUUCCAUUAAGGGCUUAGGGCUUUGGAUCUUGACUUAUUGGCGAGGUUUAAAGGACAAAGUUGGAAACUUUUAUCUAUCUAGGUGAUGGUUUAGACCUAGUUUGAGCUUAGGAACUCCUAUUUUGGCUGGAAGAUCAACUUAAGGAAUUAAGCCAUGCUGACUGAUCACGAAGGCGUGGUGGAGCCUCACCAGAUCAUUGUGGUUUUACUGAGCACACAUGUUUUAUCGUAUUAUGACCAUCGCAUGGCCAUUGAUGGCCAUGACGUGGCAGUCAGCUAAAAGUUGACUUUGACCAUUGACUUUGACCCAAUUUUGACUUAGGGGUAUUUUGGGUAUUUUUAUUAGUAGCUGAGCUUUAUUGAUUGUGAUUGUAUAAGUGGCUGGUAAAGUAAACAUUUGGAGUAGUGAUCUGUGUAGCUAUUUCUUUAGACUGAGAAGUGAGUUUUCUUUACUGUACUUGUGGGUCGAAGGCACCAAUGCUGACCCACUUGGUUAUGUAUCCUAGUUAUAGGAUGGUGUUAUACUAGUAUAUGACGGAUUAGUAGAUCUGUAUGAUUAUCUGUAUUUGCCGGUUCUAUGUUUAUGUUUGUGUGUUACAUAUGUCAACAUAAUGUUGUUAUGUUGAGGCGGUCCUACUUUGUGUUGAAGUCCAAGACACCCGGGGUGGUCCAGAUACAAUGUAGGCCCUACGAGGCGGUCCAGUCAUAACGAAGGCCUGUAUAACGGUCUAGAUAGGCUAUAGGUCCUGUAAGGCGGUCUAGUCAGGCUGAAGGCUGGUAUUUUCCUGAUAUUGUUUGUUAUGUUGUGUGAUGGUACUUUGGGGGAACUCACUAAGCUUUGGAUUAUAGUUUCAUCUUAUUGUUGUAGGUACUUCAGAGGAUCGUGAGAAAGCUAAGGCGUGAUCAUGCACACAUUCAUGUUUUUAUGAUAUUGGAUCUUGGGAUACUCUGAUUACGAUUUUACUUUUGAAACAAUGGUUUUGUAAACACUUUUAUGGUUAAUGAGAAGUUGUUUUUGGAAAAUUUAAAAAUAUGAUUUUUGGGAUGUUAUAGGAAGGAUAGGAUUUGGUUUGGAUCUUGGAUUUUGGGAAAUUACCUUAAUUAUUGUGAGGUUUCCAGUAGUAGCUACACAUGUAUCUCGGUUAUCACAGAUGGACGUGAGUCUCCUCAAUAUACCCAUGGGUCGAAGGUACCAACAUCGACCCACUAGGAUCUGUUAUAUCCUAGUUGUGUUUGUGACUCUUGUAUGGUAUGUUAGGCUAGGCCCAUUAUAAGAAGGGCUAGGCCCAUUUGUAUGUUGGGUUAGACCCAUCUAUCAGGAAUGGCUGGGCCCAAUGUUUUAUAUGUAGGAUGCUAGCUAUCUUAAGUGACUAUUGCAUGUUAUAUUGGGCUCGUCCCAUUAUAUGCAGGCUAGGCCCAUUAUGGUGGGUUAGGCGCAAUGGUAUGUAUGGUUUCUGGUAUUUGGAGGAACUGACUAAGAUUUGUGCAUAUGGAUUUUAUGGUUAUGGUUUCAGGUACUUCCGACCUGAAAGGGAAGGGCCCGACUGGAUCGCAACGUAUCCACCCAUUUUUCCGCAACUUUAUGAUUUUGGGGAUUAUACUCUGACAAUUGUUUUAUUUCGGUAUACUUUUGAACAACUGAAAACGGAUAAUUUAUAUUUCUAGGUGACUUAAAAAUGAUUUAUUUACCUUAUAAUUUUUAAGACGUUACAAGUUGGUAUCAGAGCCUUGGUUUGAGGGAUCCGUGCAUACUCUGGGGGUGUGACUGAACUCAAACUGAGGAAUUGGUAAUCUUUUAAAAGAAAACAAAUUUUUAAAAAUACGUUUGAAAAUAAAAAGAGGAUGUGAUGCGUGCAAUCGGCCGAGCUCAAGCAAGUGAUUUCUAGAAUACUCAUACAUGUUUUUAUGCUAUAUGGUAUGAAUGUUGCAUGCUAGGAUAAAGCAAGGGAUACUUUCAGGAAUUUCAUCAUAGAUUGGUGUGAUAUGGGAUGGUUUGUAGCCUAAGAAGCAUUGGAUGCUAUACUAGAUUGGGAAUAUGUUUUGGUAUCAAUAAUUGCUAAGUGUAUGCUUUAAAAGUUGUAUACGGUUAGGAUCAUAUAGCCCUAGAAUGACUUGUUUGGCCUUAUUUCAUGUUCCUUGUCUGGUUGUGGUCCCAUGGUAGAUUCCUUUAUUAGAAAGUCUAUUUGAUCCUGUAUUGUGUAUAAUUUGCAUGCACAAGGCAACCGAUAAUAAGACUGGAAGUUCCUAGCAUGGGUUGUAGGAAGUAAGCUUGGGAUGUCCUCUGUUUGUUUUGUGUCUUGGUGUAUUACUUCAUGAAUGUUUCUAGCUUUGUGCUUUGUGUUUUGUGGAACCCUUAGUGAUGUGAGUAAACUACUAAGUGAAUACAUAAGUCACAUGCUGUAAAUGUUAAAUAAUCUCAGCGUGUUAGAUUUUACCAUAUUGCACAAUUCUUGUUUGAAUCCAACCGUUGUAGGGUUGAAUAUUUUAGUCAAAGGAUUAUCUAAGAUUUGUUGCAUGUGAUUGUAUUCUUGAAGUAAUUAACUGACAUUAUUGGGAGUUAUUCAACAGCUGAUAACAAGGUGAGGUUGGCACCUAGAAGAGCCUAGGAAGUACGUUGGUGGGUUUGGUUGGGUUGUUUAACAGGUGGUUGGAGUACCGAUUUGAGAAGGUGAGUUAGAGGAUUCAGGAAAACUAUUGAGAAAAGUAUGGAUAUGUGUGGAAGGUAAUAUUGGGCACAUACUACUAAAACCACAUGAUCCAUACUCGAAUCUAGGGGAGUUACAGAGAAUCUAGGAAGCCUAUGGAUGAGGAUUUUUGGGUAUGUAAUGAUUAUUGUAUGGUUGAUUCUCAGUAUGGUGAUGAGCACUCAUGGUGGUGGAUCUGGUUCGGGCUCAAUUGCCGACACUAAGCAGAUUGAUGAACGGAUAUAGGAGUUCAUCUCGUCAUAGAUCACCCGUGGUAUUUUGGAGUAGACUCCCGAGUUCUUCAAUUCGGUCAAGAAAGGGAUCAUGGAUAUCUUGGAUGAGUGUUUGGGAGCGUUUCACAUUCAGAUUAUGACUAUUAUGGGAGCUCGUACUCUUUGCUUAUGCGAGUUCCGUGCUUGUGGAGAUCCCUAGUUCUUUGGGGAGAAGGACUUCAUUGCCAGUAAGAGGUGGUUACCGAACACAGUGAACACUUUCCGAACGAGUUUUUGACUCGAGGGUUCGAAGGUGAUAUUUGCUUCCUUUCUUUUGAAAGGCAGAGCUAGAGAUUCGUGGGAGGAGGUAGCUUUUGCUUUGGGAGGCGAAGCCAUUGAGGCGAUUACAUAGGAUGAGUUUGUUACCCGAUUUACGUCGGAGUUUGCACCAACCAAUGAGGUGCAACAAUUGGAAAGGGAGUUUUAGGACCUUCUCCAGACGACUGUGACUGUGGUGGAGAUCACUACCAAGUUUAGGGAGAGUGCUCUUGUAGUUCUACAAUAUUCCACAUACGAGGAGAUGAAGAAGAAAAGGCACCAUGAUAUGCUGCAAGACAACAUCCAUGAGUUUGUUAGCUUUUCAACUUGUCAGACUUUUGAGGACACGCUAGCUAGAGCCCUAGAGCAGGAGAUUGCUUUGGAGCACCUCGGGAAGAGGAAUCCAUUGUAGAUUCAGAUCAUAGUGGGCCAAGAGAAGAGGCCAAAGACUCACGAUACGCAUUUGGGAGGACAUUAGUGCCGGGGCCGUUAUGCCAAGUGUGGGAGGACUCAUGAGUGUGGCUAUCGGGAGGCAGGAAGGGGGUGUUUCAAUUGUGGUAUGAUGGGUCAUUUUAGUAUGGAGUUCCCUCGUGGAUCGGUUCUGAUGUGUUUUCACUACAACCAGCAGGGCCACAAGAAGGCAUAAUGUCUAAUGCUGAUGGGUGGUGUUGUGAGUGUACCCACUCCACUGACUUUGAGGAUUACUGAUAGUCAUUAGGGCAAGGUGGAAGCCCCAUCAUCGAGGAGCUAGGCAUUGUAACUUCAAUCAGGGGAGGCCAUAGUUUCAUCCGAUGCUAUCGCGGGUAUCUUAUCUUUUUGCUUCUUUAUUCGUAAAUUAUCCAUAUUUAUGUGCUUUUGAAUCAUGCGCUUGAAUGUGUGAGGCAUUAUCUUUGGUUUAGUUGUUUGUUAUUUCCUGCUUGAUAUUAUCAAGGAUUGUUAUAUGCCAUUUUCGCAUGCCAAGAGUUAUGAGUGGGGCACAUCUUGUUGAGUUGGAAUUAGAUGGUUAGGUAGCUUGUUGUGGGCCAUUUGUGGAAAAAGAUCGGGGGUAUCGCUUAGAAGAUCAGUAGUCAGGUUAGUGUGAUUAGUUCAGCAACGAAAGCAGAGUCUAGAAUUGUUGCAUCCCUCAGCAGGGAUGGAAAUCGUUAUAGAAUGACUCUUGGGUUCAAUUGCUACCAUUGUUAGUGAAGGAGCGAUAGUAAGAAGAUAAUGAUGGCAGAAGCAUGUGCUUGUUCAAACACUGGAAGUGUCGAAGAAAUUUCAAAAUGGUAUCGGUUGAAGACGGUUAGAAUGCAAAGAUCCUUCGGUAGGUGAUCCAUCUGUUCCGAUAAGGAGAUUCAUUAUUUGUUGCUUCCAGUGAAUUUGGCGGGUGUAGUUAAAUCCAAGUGGGGGAGAACCGUUUAUAUUUUCGGAAAUAAUAUCAGGUGCAGAACCAAGGAGUGUUCCACAUCCUAGUUGAGAAGAAAGCUAGUUGAAGUGGUAGUUUGGAUAGAGGUUGCACAAGGUUAGGAGUUCAGAAACUUUCAAUGAUAGGUUGGCGCAUUCAUAGUAAUGCAAGGCAGACAUGUGAUUGUAUUCAAGUUGAGGGUUGUGUUAAAUCCUCUCUGCCUUUUCUUGUCUGAUGAAGGCUUUAGGGUUCGAAGCAUGACCCGAAUACCUGAUUGGAGUAUAGUCGGAUACGGGUUCAACUUACGAUAAUCAUGGUUGGCUUGGUAGUUAGACAGUAAGACCAGUGGGUGGGUCCAUGGCAGUAUGGGAGUGUUGUAAGACUAUAGGUUAGUUGUAGCAUUCACAAAGAUUAUAUGUUGUUGGGGAAGUGUUGUAAGUUUGGGAUGUAGUCAUAGCAUUCACCUGAAUGAGGUAGGCCAUUGUAGGAGUGGUUAUUGGGCUAAAGAAGGAUCAACACAUGCUUGGGUUAAGGCAGCUAAUAUUGAUGGAGAACCACUCCUUGAUUAGUUUGAGGAUCGUUGGAUCUGAGGCAAUAUGGGACCUAUACAUUAAUCUAUUGGGUGAGACCUAUGAGCAAGUGUCACACCCCCAAACCAGAAUGGCGGAAACAUUCGGGGGUGGAUGACUUCACGUAGUGUCACAACAAUUGAAUAUUGUAAAGAAAGUAACACAACCAUCAUAUAUAUAAUAAAAACAUAUCUUGUUGCGUUAUACAUAUUUGCAAAAGAAUAUUACAAUAUGAUGAUAUAAAUGUUUAAUGAUAAACGUCCUUAGCAUUCCUUCUUCAAAAGCUGGUGGUUACCUGUAUUACUGAUUCCCUGAGAAAUACGAGUGGUUUCGAAAAAGUGUCAACAAUUAAGUUGGUGAGUUCAUAAGUGUUUUGCAUUGAAAAGUAUGUCCUUUUGGUAGUAAAUCGACGAACGAUGUUUUCAGAAAAUCCAAUAUUUUCUAUAAAUGGUUUGAAAAGUUCCCAGAGUUGGAGUGCGUUAGUAUGUUCCAUACUUGAAUAAUAAUGAUAAACUUUGUGCUAAAAAUAAUGUGGACAACUGAAUGCAUAUAUGAAUCUCGUAAAUCAAACUUGUUUUUAUACUUUUAUGUGAGUUUUAUAACCAUACUAUUGACACUGACUGCCUAUAACAACAUUCUUCAGGUGUUGUAGUGUUAUGACAUUUGUCACCCCAGACCUGCCGGUCUAACUGUAGCUAACAGUUUAGGUGCGGGGUUGUCAAUCCCGUAUAGAUCUAUACACAAGUAUCACGCUCUCCCUCCAAGAGAUUAUGGUAUAUAAUACAGGACUUGAAAUGCAUACAUAAGAGUACGUUGAAGUUUGAAUAUCUCACAUCGCUUAGUAUAAAUAGAUUUACGAUAAGAAAGACUUUACUUCAUUUGAAAGUAUUUCGUUUUUCAAGAUGUAUAUGUAAAAAUGUAUGAAUAACUUGCUAACUAUACCCAUUAUAGUUUUUCAGAAGGUAUGUUCCAUUUAGUGAAAAUAACUUGAUGAUAUACUAGCCCUUUAUACGUAAAGAUGUUGGUAUCGAUAAUUAAUAAGAUAGAUGUUACAUUUAUGUUUAUAAAACGAUACUUUUACUUGUAUUGUACUUGUAUUUCCCCCCUAAAACAUGAAAAGACUUGAAAGGUAGGGGUAUGAACUCACUUGUUUGGUUUGAAGAGAGUGGGGCUAGAGUCGAGCAGAACUUCGACCGCGGAAAGCUGCGUCUUCGAGCUCUUCGGGGAUCUCGGUAGCGUAGAAUCUUCGUCGGGGGCUCGGGUGCGGAAACCGAGGGCGUCGGGACAGCUUAUGGAGCUUGAAAGUAUGAGAGAGUGAUUGAGAGUUUAGUGAAGGUGUGCUAAAACCCGUAGCUCAUGCCUUCUAUUUAUAGUCCUGGAAAGUCGAGUACGCUGGGCGUACCACCGGAGUACGCUGGGCGUACUUCGGUUACGCUGGGCGUAACUUUGCGUCAUGGCUUACGACUCGAGUCUAGCUAGGCGUAGAGCUGCAGCCGAUGGGACUCGACCCUGCACCUGAGUACGCUGGGCGUACGCCUACAUUACGCUGGGCGUAAUCCCGGCUUCCAUCUUCUAAAUUCCGUAACUUUCGCGUACGGGCUCCGUUUUUCGCGUUCUUUAUAUCCACGCGUAGGUGAGAUUAUGCUCUACAACUUUCAUUUAGACUCCGUCGGCUAGUUUUGACUUUAUUUUUAAUGAUAUAUUUUUAAUAGGCCGGGACUCCUAAAGUCCGUUAAAAAUUCAUAGUUUCUUUAUUCGACGUCGGUUUUCGUUUGUCUUUUUAUCAUUUUACUCCUAUUGUGGAGAUCUUCAACUCUCAUUUAGGUUGCGUUAGCUAAAUAACACUCGAUCUUCAAUUCGAGUUUUUAGCCCUCUACUACUGUUACGAAACUUUGGAAAUUCGUAACUUCUUCAUACGAGGUCCAAUUUGGGCGAUCUUUUUAUGUACGUUUACAGUUUAACGAACUCUACAUCUUUUGUUUAGAUACUUAAGGCAAAAAUGCAUUUUAUUGAAAUUUCACUUUUUACGUUAAAUAGCGUUUUAACGGUGUGUCGUAAAUAUACGAGUGGUUAUAAUUUCUUCAAUAUAACCCGGUUUUGAACGUUCUUUAUGUUUUUGGAAACCUUGGCACGAUAUCUAAUAUUUGAUGCAUCCCAAUUUAGAUAUUUGAACACUUUAUUUUUGAGGUUAAUUUCGUUGAUUCCAAAUAGUUUUCGUUGUAUUUGACUUUCGAGCGUUACAUUGCUUUUGGAAAAUAUAGGGUUGUCACAUCAUCCCCCCAUUAGGGGAAUUUCGUCCCGAAAUUUAAUCUAAGAUAGAGUUUACAAGUUAGGAAAAAGAUGCGGGUAUUUUUGUUUCAUCUGAUCCUCGCGUUCCCAGGUGUAUUCAGGUCCUCGCUUGGCGUUCCAACGGACCUUUACAAUAGGUAUGCGACUUUGUUUAGUCCUUUUUAUUUCCCGAUCCAUGAUCUCUACUGGUUCCUCUACAAAUUGGAGAUUCUCAUUUAUUGCGAUUUCAUCUAGAGGGAUGACAAGGGUCUCAUCGGACAAGCACUUCUUUAGGUUUGAUACGUGAAAGGUAGGGUGUAUGUUGUGGAGCUCCUGAGGUAAUAUAAGUUUGUAAUCCACUGGGCCGAUCCUAGCAAGGAUCUCGAAUGGUCCGAUGUAUCUUGGGUUCAGUUUCCUGCGCUUCCCGAAGCGUAUUAAUCCCUUCCAGGGCGAGACCUUUAGUAGGACUCGAUCUCCAACCUGAAAUUCCAAGGGUUUCCGUCUUUUAUCCGCGUAACUCUUUUGUCUGUCCCUUGAUGCUUUUAGACGUUCCCGAAUCUGAACAAUCUUCUCCGUAGUUUCCCUUAUGAUUUCUGGUCCAGUGAGCGUGUUGUCUGUUGCUUGUCCUUUUGCUAGUUGUGUGUCCCCCACUUCGGCCCAGCACAAAGGUGACCUGCAUUUGCGGCCAUAGAGGGCUUCGAACGGGGCAGCCUUGAUACUAGUGUGGUAGCUGUUAUUGUACGAGAAUUCGACCAAGGGUAGAUGUGUGUCCCAUGCCUUACCAAAAUCGAUUACGCAGGACCUCAGCAUAUCUUCUAGAGUUUGUAUGGUUCUCUCGCUCUGGCCGUCGGUUUGUGGGUGAUAAGCGGUACUCAUGUCUAGCCUUGUCCCCAAAGCUUUUUGUAGCGACUGCCAGAACCUUGAGGUGAACCUACUAUCUCGGUCCGAGAUAAUGGAUAUGGGCACACCAUGUAGUCGUACAAUUUCUCUGAGGUAUGUCCUAGUUAGCUUCUCUAAUUUAUCCGUCUCUUUGAUCGGUAGGAAGUGCGCUGAUUUAGUUAACCUGUCGACAAUCACCCAGAUAGUGUCGAGUCCGCUUGCCGUUCUGGGUAGUUUGGUUAUGAAAUCCAUGGUUAUACGUUCCCACUUCCAUUCUGGUAUUUCUGGUUGUUGCAACAAUCCUGAGGGCUUUUGGUAUUCUACCUUGACCUUGGCGCACGUCAGACAUUUACUCACGUAGGUAGCAAUUUCGGCCUUCAUGUUCGGCCACCAGUACAAUUUCUUGAGGUCGAGAUACAUCUUAUCGGAGCCGGGGUGUAUGGAGUAUCGUGUUUUAUGGGCUUCGUUCAUGACGACUUCUCUGAAUCCGCCAAACUUCGGCGUCCAGAUCCGAUCCAUGAAGUAAUGAACUCCGUCAUUCUUGACCUCAAACUUCUUAUCCGUUCCCCUUAAGGCUUCCCCUGCCACAUUUCCAGAUGUUAAGGCUUCUAUCUGGGCUUCCUUGAUUUGUGUGGAAAAGUGUGAAUGGAUUGUCAUGGUUAAAGACUUCACUCUGCGGCCCGAGUAUUCCUUCCGGCUGAGUGCAUCGGCCACUAUGUUAGCCUUUCCGGUAUGAUAUCGAAUCUCGCAUUCAUAAUCAAUUAAUAGUUCUACCCACCAUCUUUGUCUCAUGUUGAGUUCUUUCUGGUUGAGGAUAUGUUGGAGGCUUUUAUGGUCGGUGAAGAUCGUACAUUUCGUGCCGUAGAGAUAGUGUCUCCAUAUCUUUAGAGCGAAGAUGACUGCUCCUAGCUCAAGAUCGUGCGUUGUGUAGUUCACUUUGUGCGUCUUUAGUUUCCUUGAGGCGUAGGAGAUGACCUUCCCUCAUUGCAUCAGGACACACCUAAGUCCUUGGUUUGAUGCGUCACAAUAGACCACGAAGUCCUCCGUUCCUUCCGGCAAGGUUAGGAUGGGCGCACUACAUAAGGCUCGCUUUAGCGUUUGAAACGCGGCGUCUUGUUUUUCUCCCCAGUCGAAGGUCACACUCUUCUGAGUUAGGGUGGUAAAUGGUUUGGCAAUCUUCGAAAAGUUCUGUAUGAACCUUCGGUAAUACCCGGCGAGUCCCAAAAAUUGUCGGAUUUCUGUAGGGGUCCUUGGAGUCGUCCAACUUUCUAUUACCUUGAUCUUAGAAGGAUCCACGUGUAUCCCCUCCUUUCUUACUACAUGUCCUAGGAAAUCCACUUUCCGAAUCUAGAAUUCGCACUUGGAAAAUUUUGCGUAAAGCUUCUCUGCCCUCAACGUUUCCAAAACUUGGCGGAGGGCUGGAGGUGUUGGCCGUGUUCUUCCUGGCUUCUAGAAUAGAUGAGUAUAUCGUCUAUGAACACGAUCACGAAUUUAUCCAGGAAGGGACGAUAUACUCGGUUCAUCAAGUCCAUGAACACCGCUGGAGCAUUUGUCAAUCUGAAGGGCAUUACUACAAACUCGUAGUGACCAUAACGUGUUCAGAAAGCCGUUUUGGGGAUGUCUCCUUCCAACACUCGCAGUUGGUGAUAACCAGAUCUUAGAUCGAUAUUUGAGAAGUAGCUUGAUCCCUGCAGUUGGUCGAACAGAUCGUCUGUGCGCGGUAGGGGAUAUCGGUUCUUGAUCGUGAGUUUGUUCAGCUCCCGAUAAUCGAUGCACAUGCGAAAGGAUCUGUCCUUCUUUUUCACGAAUAGGACUGGUGCUCCCCAUGGUGAGAAGCUCGGUCUGAUGAAUCCCUUGCUCAGCAGCUCGUUUAAUUGACUGGACAGUUCCUGCAUCUCGACUGGGGCUAAAUGGUAAGGCGACUUUGCUACUGGGGUAGCUCCGGGGAUUAAGUCAAUUCUGAACUCAACUUGGCGCUCUGGUGGAAUUCCUGGAAGAUCUUCUGGGAAAAUAUCUGGGAAGUUGCAGACUUCCGGAAUGGCUUUAAUGUUCUUUGGUUCUUGUUUCUGGUCUACUACAUGGGCUAGAAAGGCAUGGUAUUCCUUACGAAGAUAUUUUUGUGCCUUAAUACAGGAGAUGAUUUGUAAAUUUGAACUAGGUUUGUCACCAUAAAUGACAAGGGUUUCGCCGUUUGGCAGAUUGAGGCAAACGGCCCUUUCGUGACAAAGUAUAUCGGCAUGCUGAAGGCUCAACCAGUCCAUACCGAUGAUGACAUCGAAACUUCUUAUCGAAAUGGGCAUUAGGUCGAUUUGAAAUAAGUGUUCGUUUAAAUUUAAUGUGCACCCUACGUACAUAUCGCUUGUGCUUUCCGUUUUAUCGUUAGCCAUUUCUACAGUGAAUAUUUUAUUGAGUGGUUGGGGUCUUUGAUUAAGUAAGUGUUUGAAUUUAUGACUCACAAAACUUCUCUCCGCACCGCAGUCAGAGAGUAUGCAUGCAUAAAUGUUGUUGAGGAGAAACGUACCAGUAACCACCGUUGGGUCGGCUAUUGCUUCAUUUUGACCUAUUUCCAGCACUCUCCCAACACCGCCAACAUUUCUCGUCUUGGGGCAGUCCCUCUUGAAGUGCCCAGUUUCACCACACCCAUAACAUGCCUGGCUUAUCCCAGUACCAGGAACUUGAGUGACUGGUCGCGCUGGUGCCUUACAGAAACGGGUUGUGUGCCCUUUCCUGUCGCAGUUCUUACAGUGCAUCUCGCGGCAAAUACCGUGGUGAUGGUAGUUGCAUUUGCUGCACUUGGGCAGGUUCCCUGCAUAUGGUUUUGUUGGCGCAGGGGUAGCAGGAGUUGUGGUGGGAGCAGUAGCAGCAUGAACCGCAACCAUUUGUUUCUUUGAAGGUUCUUGCGAAGUUUGCCCCUUUCUCUUGUUCCAGAAUUUCUUCUUGCUGUUGUUGUUGGCAUUGAUCUCGUUGUUGCUGUUCCCUUUGGUUGGUUCAGCCAUGACAGUAGUGACUCCUUGACAGACACCAUGAUCAACGAGAGAUUGCGCCAGUUCCUUGGCGCUGUCGAAGGUCAUGGGUUUGGAAGCUAACACACUUCCUCGAAGUUGGGGUGAUAGUCCCCAGAUGUAUCUCUCGACCUUUUGGCUUUCCAGGAUCAACAUUCCUGGGCAAAGUGUUAUUAAAUCACUGAACCUGUUGGUGUAACCUGCGAUGUCCGAGCCUACCAUCGAAAGGCCCCACAGUUCCUGUUCAAGCUUCUGAAUCUCGCCUCUUGGGCAGUAUUCUCGAAGGAGCAUUCGUUUCAAGUUUUCCCAACCCAUGGAGUUCGCCACCACUAGGGUUAGUGUCUUGACGUGGCCGUUCCACCAUGUCAGGGCGCGUUCAGAGAAAGUAAAAGCAGCAAACUUUACUUUGCUUUCUUCAGGGCAUGCGCAAAUUUCGAAUACAGCUUCCGUUUUCUCUAUCCAUUGAGAUAGAGCCAAUACUCCCCCAGUCCCAUAAAAGGGAAUAGGUUUUCCGUUGGUGAAGUCUUUGUAAGUGCAUACCCCUGAACGGCCUUGACCUUGGCCAUUUGUAAAGCUGUUUGUUCCUCCUCCCGAUCCGUUGUUGCUCAUUUGAGCCAUCGCUGCGGUUACAACAGUGUGGAACAUAACGGCAUCCAUGAUUGGAGGAGGUGGUGGAGGUGGUGUUGAAGUUGAGUUUCUGCGUGUUGAUCUACGAGGAGGCAUGUUCUGGUAGAGAAAAUAAGAAUGAAUACUAUAAGUUUCUAAUGUUUUGACAAUCGUGUGUUAGUUGUAUCUUGUAAUUUGUUUUGACUUUAGUUUAUGGUUUCAAGGUAGGUAUAGAAAUUUUUAGUUAAUCCCAUAAGUUCCGAGAGGUAUACAAAGAAGUACUUCAUAUUUAUAUAUAUAGGUCACACCUGAGGUGUGUUACAUUACGCUUCUUGUUUGGAAAAUUUGACCUACCUAGAGGUCUCUGAUUACAGAUACAAAAGGAAAUAAGGGAAAAACUUUUAUCCGAAGUCCUAUUUUAUAACAAAAUUGUUGGGGUUUGAGCAAGCUCUACUUGCGGCGUGUUGCACGUUUGGAGCUAGAUUCGGCAUCCGACUGUUUGACUCCCAUCAGGCGCCUCUCGAGAUCUGCUUGUUGUUCCUUCAUCUCUCUUAUUUCUGCUAGUGCCGUUAUCAUUUGAUUCUGAAGCGUCCCUGUGUAGAUUUGGGUAUUCUCAUGUAGUCCUUCCAGACGGCGGAUGUCUGCGGCGUUACCCUGAGUAGCAGCAUUGACCUCGCGAACUCUGGCUGCUUGCUUGUCCGCCUGGUAGUUCUGGGUAGCUAUAGCGCCCACAAUAACAGGAAGUGCUCGAUCGGCUGAGCCUCCCCCACUGACAUUGUAAAAAUCUCGACACAUGCCGAAGGGAGGGCGUACACCUUGCUGGCGGCUCCAGUAGUAGAGGUGGCUUCCCCACAUGGGAAUGGGUCCCGGUUGAUAUGGUCUGAUUUCGGGAGGAUGAGGGAUGGGAGGGUCGAUUACUUCCGGCUCGGAGUCUGUUCCACUAGUAAUUUCCUCGACCUCCUCGUCGACUUCGAAUUCCUCUCCGACUUCGACUUCGAAUUCUUCUUCGACUUCCUCUUCGAGUUCUUCCUCGACCUCCUCUUCGAUUUCCUCUGGGUCUUCUUCCGGGUCUUCUUCUAUCCAGCCGUCGUUGCCUUGGUUUGGGUAGUAGGGAUCUCCCGGUAAAUGGAAUCCGGCCAUUUGUCUGUACUAGGAUAGAGGUAUGAGAAUUUUAUAAGAAAAGAAAUUUCUAUUUAACGACUUCCUACGUUUAACUAUAUCCUUACGGAGCGCAAAUGUUUCAUUGUANNNNNNNNNNNNNNNNNNNNNNNNNNNNNNNNNNNNNNNNNNNNNNNNNNNNNNNNNNNNNNNNNNNNNNNNNNNNNNNNNNNNNNNNNNNNNNNNNNNNNNNNNNNNNNNNNNNNNNNNNNNNNNNNNNNNNNNNNNNNNNNNNNNNNNNNNNNNNNNNNNNNNNNNNNNNNNNNNNNNNNNNNNNNNNNNNNNNNNNNNNNNNNNNNNNNNNNNNNNNNNNNNNNNNNNNNNNNNNNNNNNNNNNNNNNNNNNNNNNNNNNNNNNNNNNNNNNNNNNNNNNNNNNNNNNNNNNNNNNNNNNNNNNNNNNNNNNNNNNNNNNNNNNNNNNNNNNNNNNNNNNNNNNNNNNNNNNNNNNNNNNNNNNNNNNNNNNNNNNNNNNNNNNNNNNNNNNNNNNNNNNNNNNNNNNNNNNNNNNNNNNNNNNNNNNNNNNNNNNNNNNNNNNNNNNNNNNNNNNNNNNNNNNNNNNNNNNNNNNNNNNNNNNNNNNNNNNNNNNNNNNNNNNNNNNNNNNNNNNNNNNNNNNNNNNNNNNNNNNNNNNNNNNNNNNNNNNNNNNNNNNNNNNNNNNNNNNNNNNNNNNNNNNNNNNNNNNNNNNNNNNNNNNNNNNNNNNNNNNNNNNNNNNNNNNNNNNNNNNNNNNNNNNNNNNNNNNNNNNNNNNNNNNNNNNNNNNNNNNNNNNNNNNNNNNNNNNNNNNNNNNNNNNNNNNNNNNNNNNNNNNNNNNNNNNNNNNNNNNNNNNNNNNNNNNNNNNNNNNNNNNNNNNNNNNNNNNNNNNNNNNNNNNNNNNNNNNNNNNNNNNNNNNNNNNNNNNNNNNNNNNNNNNNNNNNNNNNNNNNNNNNNNNNNNNNNNNNNNNNNNNNNNNNNNNNNNNNNNNNNNNNNNNNNNNNNNNNNNNNNNNNNNNNNNNNNNNNNNNNNNNNNNNNNNNNNNNNNNNNNNNNNNNNNNNNNNNNNNNNNNNNNNNNNNNNNNNNNNNNNNNNNNNNNNNNNNNNNNNNNNNNNNNNNNNNNNNNNNNNNNNNNNNNNNNNNNNNNNNNNNNNNNNNNNNNNNNNNNNNNNNNNNNNNNNNNNNNNNNNNNNNNNNNNNNNNNNNNNNNNNNNNNNNNNNNNNCUCUUCGGGGGUCUCGGUAGCGUAGAUCUUUCGUCGGGGGCUCGGGUACGGAAACCGAGGGCGUCGGGAUGGUCUCUGGAGCUUGGAAGUAUGAGAGAGUGAUUGGAAGUUUGAGAAAGUGUGCAAAAACCCGAGGCUCAAACCUUCUAUUUAUAGGGCUGGAGGAUGGCGUACGCGGGGCGUACCUCAUGAGUACGCUGGGCGUACGUGGUACGCGGGGCGUACUUCGGUUACGCGGGGCGUAAAAAUGCGUCACGGCUUACGACUCCGGUCUAGCUAAGCGUAGAGUUGCAGCCGAUGGGACUCGACUCUGGGUCUAGUACGCUGGGCGUAAUCUGGGAUUACGCUGGGCGUACUCCAGUCUCCCAUCUUCUAAAUUCCGUAACUUUCGCGUACGGGCUCCGUUUUUCGCGUUCUUUAUAUCCACGCGUAGGUGAGAUUAUGCUCUACAACUUUCAUUUAGACUCCGUCGGCUAGUUUUGACUUUAUUUUUAAUGAUAUAUUUUUAAUAGGCCGGGACUCCUAAAGUCCGUUAAAAAUUCAUAGUUUCUUUAUUCGACGUCGGUUUUCGUUUGUCUUUUUAUCAUUUUACUCCUAUCGUGGAGAUCUUCAACUCUCGUUUAGGUUGCGUUAGCUAAAUAACACUCGAUCUUCAAUUUGAGUUUUUAGCCCUCUACUACUGUUACAAAACUUUGGAAAUUCGUAACUUCUUCAUACGAGGUCCAAUUUGGGCGAUCUUUUUGUGUACGUUUACAGUUUAAUAGCGUUUUAUUGAAAUUUCAUAACUUCUACAUAUUUUGUUUAGAUACUUAAGGCAAAAAUGCAUUUUAUUGAAAUUUCACUUUUUACGUUAAAUAGCGUUUUAACGGUGUGUCGUAAAUAUACGAGUGGUUAUAAUUUCUUCAAUAUAACCCGGUUUUGAGCGUUCUUUAUAUUUUUGGAAACCUUGGCACGAUAUCUAAUAUUUGAUGCAUCCCAACUUAGAUAUUUGAACACUUUAUUUUUGAGGUUAAUUUAGUUGAUUCCAAAUAGUUUUCGUUGUAUUUGACAUUUGAGCGUUACACUGCUUUUGGAAAAAUAUAGGGUUGUCACAGCAAGCCUCGUUCGAUUAUGCAGAUUGGGUGAGACCCAUGGUCGAGGAUCUUUUGGUUAUGAUAGAGUGGGUGAGACUAGAUGGAAAUCGGCUUGAGCAAGGUAUUGGAUCAUGUUUAGGGUGCGAUAACUCUGUGAUCAGUGACUAGUAUCUGUGUGAUGUGUAGGCUAAGGUAGCCCUUAUCAGUAGAAUCUUAGUAGGAGCCUGCUAUUGGGACCAGGUGUGAGACUGUAAGUCUCAGUGGUGGAUUGGGGAUUUCAUAUCUCAUUUUAGUGGAAGUUCGUAGUGGAAUUAGAAGAUUUCAGAUAAAAUAUAAGUGUAAAUCUUUGGAUUUCGGGAUAUGAUUUAUGUACCGGGCUGGCAAAUAAACAUGACUUGCGUUAGGAGUUGUCUUUGUAUUUAUAAAAUCUCUUUUCGUUAGUAAGUUAUGGUUAAGGAAUCUGCUUGCCAUUGGUCUCAGUUGGAUAAUUCAGGAUCAAAAGGAGGAUUUUCAGUUCAGAUUGCAGUAAGAGGUCGCAGUGAUUGUGUUUCAAGAUGGUCCUACCUAUGUAAAGGUCGGGCAAAGUUUUGGGGGUUCCAGAAUUAUAGCAGUGAGCUGUUGGUUUGUCAAUUAGUGGGUCAAUAACUUGUUCACCAUUAGUGUGUAUGAGUUCUGUUAAAGAUGGGUUUUCAUGGUAGCAUUGAAAGGUCGCUAUGUGUUUGACUCAAUCUUUUCAUCAAAUCGGGCUUCAAAAGGAAUUAGUCGGAUCGUCUGGUUGCCAGGAGGGUGUUAAGGGUUCUGACCCAAAGAUUAGUUAACAUGAGGCUUUGUUCCUAGUGGAAAGAAAAAUUUAGACCUGUUUGGAUCUGGAUAAUGUAGAUUACGUGAUUCGAUUUGUGUUUUGGAGUCCAAGGGUAUAACCGUAAUGUAACACUCCGAUGUCAGUAACUUUUCUUUUUUUCCCCUCAACUUUUGAAUUGUGCAUUUUGGACCUUGCAGCUAGUACGCGAGGUGUACCCAUAUGGUACGCUUAGCGUAAUAGCCAAGAAUGGAUCGGGACUUUAGGGGCAUACGUUAGGCGUACCUUAUGGUACAUUGGGCAUAGUCAAAAAGGGUGAAAUGGACAAUUACCCUAUGUUUGGGCCCCUAGUCAAAAAUCGUAUCGUAAUGGUUAAUUGGGUGUUUGUUUAUUGUGAUAUUUUGGGAUCUUUCGUGAGUCAGCAGAUAGGGAUUUCAGUGUAGCUUGACAUUUGAGAGGUGAGUCUUCCUGACUAUACUUUCUGAUCGAAGGCACCCCGAUCGGCCCCUUUGGAUUGUUAUCCUAAUUAUAAUAUGAUUAAGUAUUGUAGUGAUCUAUUAGAUUUGAAUCCUGGUAUAGGAUGUUGCUAUGCUUAUUAAUCUAAAUGACCUUUGUUUCACUGUUGAUUGAUUAUAUGUUAUGAGUUAUGCAUGUGUCGGCAUAUGUGUAUGGUUGGGUUGAGGUAGUCCUUCUUUGUGCUGAAGGUCAACAGACCCAAGGUGACCCUAAUAGACAUAAGUCCUGCGAGGUGGACCAGUCAAGCCAAAGGCCCGGAGAACAGUCCAGAUAGGCUAAAGGCCCGGUGUAGCGGUCCAGACAUCCUGAAUGGUUUGUAUGUGUGUUGUUGUUGUGAUAUUAAUUAUUUUGUAUAUGUGGUAUUUUGGGGGAACUCACUAAGCUUUGGGAUUAGAGUUUGGAUUAUGUUUCAGGUACCUUACAGGAUCACGGGAAGGCGAAUGCGUGAUCAUGCACCUCCUCAAGUUUUUGUUUUACGAUUUUGGGAUUUCUCUGAUGUGAAACUGAUUUUGAAAUCAAUUUGUAAAUAAUGAUGAAUUUGGGUUGUUUUAAAAAGUUUAAAAUUUCCAAGAAUUUUAUGAAUGUUACAAGUUGGUAUUAGAGCCUUGUUUUGAUUAAAUUGGAGGAACACUCCUGUGAAUCCAGUCUCAAACUAAGGAAAAAAUUGUCAAAAUGAUUUUCAAAUGGUUUUCAAAAUACCUAACGAGGAUGUGAUGUGUACGAUCAGCCGGAGCCAAUAAUUAGACCCCGAAAUACCAUACUAUUAUUUGAUAUUGUGAUAUUUUAGAAUAGCAUGCUAUUGAUAAGCUAGGGACCUUCAUGAAUCACAUGAUAGAAUUUCAUGAUUGUAUGAUGCCUGAUAGCCUAGGGCUUUCUUUUAUGAGAUUGACAUCAUUACUAUAGUUGCUUAGUGUAUGCAUCAUGGUUAUAUAUAACUAAGAUAUUAUAGCCUGAGAAUGUUUGGUUUGGCCUUAUUUCAUGUUCUUGUUUGAUAAGGGGCUUGUGGUAGGAUCAAAUAUUCGAAUGUCUAUGGCGUCCGAUGUUAUAUACGACUAGCAUACACGAGUGUUGCAAGUUUGAUGGAAGUUUCAUGGAUGAGUCACAUGGGGUCAGCAACCAGUCGUGAGAUGUUUAGCCUUCCUCUAGGGUGUGACGAUUAAGUGCUCGCCUAUGGUUAUGAGUAUUGUUAGGGUGUUGUGAUGAUCCUUGAGGCAAAUAUGGUUAGGUUUGGAAGGUAGUAUGGGACUGUACUACUGAAAGAAUAGGACCCGUAUGCCUACCAAUGAAGUAACAACCCCUAGGGCUUCAUUGGGAGUUGGUUCCGCGUUAUGAUAUGUGAAUUGAAUGAUAUCUUUCUGGUGUAUUUUUAGUAUGGCGACUACGAGAUGAGUUGAUAUCAGAUUCGAGUCGAGUCGGGGUCAGGAGUUGGCAGUUAGGGUGGGCCAUCAUUGUCAGAGGACCGCGUUAGAGAGACCAUUCAUGUGGAGGUGGUUGCUAUUGUCAAGACCAUGAUGAUGGAGUUACUUGAUUACCGCUAUGCAGCCAUUGCUAAGACGAUUGUUGUUGUAGCCUUUGCAGCCGUAGCGGCUACAGGUGCUGGGACAGGGCCGAUCUUUCAAUAUCGGGACUUCGAUAAUACAAAGCCACCGAAUUUCGAUGGAGUCCAGGACCUGAUUGUGGCCAUGAGGCGGCUGUCUAAUGUGGAUGGAUGUUUCUUCACUUGUUCAUGCCCUGCUGACCAGAAGGUCAAGUGCGCUCUGAACCUUCUGAGGUCCGGAGCGAAUUAUUAGUGGAGACUUGUUACGGGAUCGUAUUCUACUGAGCAGAGGGCUAUGAUAUCUUGGGAUCAGUUUACGGAGAUGUUUCGUACUCGCUACUUUCCAUGGGUCGAGCGAGAGAGGUUGGAUCAGGAGUUUUUAGACCUGAAGCAGGGAUCAGAGUCAAUAACGAAGAUCACCCGGAUGUUUACUGAGAAGCCUAUGUUUUGCCCUGAGUUUGCUUCAGAGCAGGCUCAGAUGACCCAUUGUUUGAGCAUGCUCAAGAUGGAUAUCAGGCAGUUUGUUUCUACCCAGGUGUGUGAUUCUUUGCUGUAGUUGUAGGAGAGCAGAGGCAGGCCUUGACACAGUCGCAACGAGUGCCUAAGUGGUUCAAGGCCGCUGAUUCUAAAUUUGGAAGCCAGUGAGGACGCACUUGUGGGAAGUACGGAAAGGGUCAUGUCGAAGCAUGUCAAUCUAGUAGUGUGUGCCAUAAAUGUCGCAAGGAGGGGAAUUACGCGAGGGACUACUGCCAGUCAUCUCCGGUUCAGAGUAUGAGGAUUUGUUACCAUUAUGAUCAGGUUGGCCAUGUGAAGGUCAACUGUCUGUUGCUCGUCGCCAAGCCGACGUAGGCGCCCAUGCCAACUACUCUAAGGAUCACUGACGGGAGUCAGGGCAAGGUGGAGCCCCCGAGGGCUUGAGGUCUCACUUUCCAGCUUACUGCCAAGGAGGCCAAAGCAUCACCAGAUGUUGUGUCUGGUAUGUUUCUAUUCUUUAUCUUGUUGAUUAUGCUUCUUUUAUGCUCAUAUAUUUAUACCCUUGAUAGGUACAUUUCUAGUGAACUCCUUGCCUGCUUUACUUUUGUUUGAAUCGGGUGCAAGUCGGUCCAUUGUUUCUCAGUCUUUUAGUAGAGAGCUCACUUUGCCCAUAGGGGAGUUGGAGCGUCCGUUGCGAGUUUCUAUCGCCAAUGAACACAUGAUUUCUGCUUCUGUGGUUUAUCAGGGUUGCGUUUUGGGGAUCUUCAGGGUAUCCCUUCCGAUUUAUUUGAUUCCUAUUCCCAUCUAGGAUGUCUCCGUGAUAGUAGGUAUGGAUUGGCUGAGCCAUUUCGGUGCCAUGAUCGAAUGCGAGGGGCAGCAGGUGAUAGAUAGAAACCUAAGUGGGGGAGAACUAGUUAUUUAUGGAGAGGGAACCACGAUGGGUUCCGGGCUUUGUUCUGCAGCCAGGGCUCCUCAGUAUAUCCAGCAUGGGUGUGGGGGUUAUUUGGCCUAUGUAUUGGAUACACGGGUUGGGGAUCAAUUAUCGGUUGCUAAUGUUCCAGUUGUUAGGGAUUUCGUUGAUGUUUUCCAGGAGGAGUUACCCAGUGUGCCUCCUGAGAGGCAGGUCGAGUUUAGGAUCGACCUUAUGCUAGGUGCGAACCCUAUUUCCAAUGUACCAUACCGAUUGGCACCACCUGAGAUGCAGGCUAGGAGCUGUCAUCUCAGCUGCAUGAGCUGCUAGGCAAGCAGUUCUCCAUGAGGAGCAACGAUUCUAUUUGUCAAGAAAUAAUAUUCCUUGUCACUUCUGAUGAGUAGCAACAAUUAUUUAAGUCCAAACACAACCAACUACUGAUAAUUAAAGAAUAAACACUGAUCUUGUGUAACAACCAAAAAUUUGAGCCAAUUUAAAACAUUUUAUUUCAUUCAGAAACCAUUAAGUUCAUACAUCUUAUUUUCAAAAUAGUUUAAACAUCAGAGUAUCCACCAGAACCAUAUCACAUGAAUCAUAAAACAUUAGGAGCGGUACGAUCACGCCUUCGCCUUGCCAUAAUCUCCUGAAGUACCUGAAACAAUAAACUAAAAUGUAAGCCCGAAAGCUUAGUGAGUUACCCCCAAAAUACCAACCACAUAAAACCAUAAUCAUAACAUAUUGUAUCACAAUACAGAACCGCCAUGCCUCUCAAGUCUGCAGCGUGACUAGUCCGCCCUCAAUAGGCCUUCAGUUCACCUGGUCCAAUCUCUGAGUCUACAGUAUGACUGGACCGCACGCACUGGGCCUUCAGUCUAUCUGUAUCUAUCCGAGCCUUCAGUAUGACUGGACCGCCAUACGGGGCUACAAUCUAUCCGGACCGUUCGUAGGGUAUGUUGACCUUCACCACAAAGCAGGACCGCCUCAACCCAAACAUCAAGCAAAUAACCAUGUGUACAUAUAACAGGAAAUCACAUAACAGUCCAUAAGCAAAAAAAUCGAUCUAGCAGAUCAUAAAGCAUAGCAUCAUCCUUACCAGGACAUUGACCUAACCGGUCAUCAACAUAGCAUCAUCCUAUAUACCAGGAUACCGACCUAAACCAGGUCACUAACAUAGCAUCAUCAUAUGUACCAGGAUACCGACCUAAACCAGGUCACUAACAUAACAUCAUCCUAUAUACUAGGAUACCGACCUAAACCAGGUCACUGACAUAAUACAGUCCCAGUUACCAGGACGCCGAUCUAAUAGAUCAAUAAGCACAUCAACAGUACAAGUAUAGAUAUCAGAUAUAACUAUCUCACAGAUCAUCGAUCAUAGUAAUCUCUCAUGACCAAGGCAACGACCUAACCAAGUCACUAACAUACCAAUCCUAACGGAUCACAUGAGCAUAACAACAUAGUGUCUAUUCUGAUACCAAUCUAACAGAUCAUAACCACAUGUAGCAUACUGUAACCAAAAUAACAACUAAAAGGGCCGGCCUUGGUACCUUAGACCCUAUUGAUAUAGUGAGGAUAACUCACCUGAAAUUGCUGACUGAAAAGAUAAGACUAAGCUGCUCCGACCUCCGACACGAUCGCCACCACUGAACACUACCAAAGAACCAAUUCUAUAAAUACCAAUAUUAUCAAAGUACCCUUGGAAGUCAAACUGGUCAACUCUUGGUCAAGGUCAAAGUCCUCAAUUAAAGUCAACCUUCCUUGUUGACUCUACUCGCCGAGUCACCCCGUCGACUCGCCGAGUUCCCUUACCCAGAAAACUCUCAUGACACAACUUAACUCGCCGAGUCCAAAAACAGACUCGCCAAUUCCAAGGCAAUAUUCAACAGACUCGCCGAGUUGUUCUUCCAACUCGUGGAGCCCAUGCACGUGUUCAUACAACUCGUCGAGUACACCCAUGUGACUCUCCAAGUCUCUCCAGUUCUCAAUCCAUUCAAAGGCUUUUCGAGCCAUGCUGAGGCUCCAAUCCGUAGAUCCACCCUUCCACAAUCUAUCCCUCACAUAAAGUUGCAAAAUUUACGUGAAACCAAAGAGAUAUAGACCCAAAACACACUAGGGCUUGGGUUUUAGAAAAAAAGGCUUCACCAACAAUUCAAUAACUAUUGCUUUAUGACUUUCUGGACCAAAACAAGUCUAGAUCUGAAGUAGUAACCUUAGAUCUAGACUCCAAACCCGAAGUGGAUCUCAAUCAUACCAAAAUGGCCCCAAAUCUCAUUAAAGAAUAAAUCUAGAAGCAACAAAGGAAAGGUAACAACUCAUUACCUCCAAGAUGUGCCUAAAACUACAGUAGAUUCUGGAUCUAUACUACUUCUUGAUGCAAACCCUUUUUGAUCAUUAAGUUUCUUGCACUAGAACACCUCUUCAAAGCUUCAAUCUCCCUCCAAUGGCCUUAUACGCACAAGCUAGGUUUUAAUGGAUCUCAAAGGGGGCUAAGGGAGUUGAGGAGAGGACAUUAAGUCCUUUAAAUAGGGUGCAAUCCCUAAGAUUAGAGUUUUUCUCAUCCCAACACCAACUCAUCGAGUCUAGCUUCCGACUCGGCGAGUUGGUCACUUAAUUCAUGACCCAAACCCGCUCCGACUCGGCGAGUAAGUGUACCUACUCAUCGAGUCCCUUCUUCGAAAUUACACUUUAAACUCUUAAAUCGUACUUCUGAAAUUCGGGAUGUUACAUCUUGGUAACAGGCGACGAUCUCCUAUUGCCCAUUAUCAGGUUCAUCUUCAUAAGCCCUACAUUCCUACUUUCUUUUAGUCCCUACAAGUCAAAUCAAAUGUGAAAACCACAUCCUGUAUCAAGGACCCAAGAAUUAGAAUGCGAUGAGUUUUAGAUAGAAUAGUGUAAAUACCUGAUGAGGUAGAUUUGAUCUUACCAUCCUUAAUCUCCUGCAUGUACUUGGGGCAGCUUCUCUUCCAAUGCCCCUUGUCUUGGCAAUAGAAGCAUGUUGCUUCUUUUGGUUCUGAGGUAGGAGGGGGAGCAGAACCGGAUUUUCCUUUGGGUCCACUAGAAGACCCUUCAUGAGACUUUCUUUUCCAGUUUUUCUUUGAGGGAACUUUCCUCUUUUUCCCAUUCCUUUUUUCCAAUAGCCAGGACUGGAGCAGCGACAAUAGGGGUGGAUUCAACACCUCUUCCUUUCAAUCCACCUUCAGUGGUUCUCAGCAAGCCUUGAAGUUUUCUCAACGUGACUUCCUAUUUGCUCAAAUGAUAAGUAAUUUUGAACUGAUCAUAGAAAGGAGGUAAUGAGUGCAAGACUCUGUCAAUAGCUAGCUCCUAAUCGAAUUUUACAUUAAGUUUUAGCAAACGAUCCACAUAGCGCUGCAUGCGUUGAAGGUGGGUCGUGAUGGACUCUCCAUCCUUCAUCUUGGUGGUUAUGAGUGACUUGACUAUCUCAUAACUUUCUUGACGUGUUAUUUGAUGGUACUUCUCCAUCAAGUCCUAGCACAUCUCAUAAGGCCAAUAGUCCUCAUGAAACUGUUGUAGCUCAGGAGUCAUUGUAGCCACCAUGAUACACGACACAUUGGUCGUGUCUUUGAAGUGGGCCCUAUAUUUAGCUAUUUCUUUAGGAUUAGCUUAAUAUUCACCUAUCUCGUUCAACUCUUUGUUGAGUACACAUUCUUGUCCUCGAAUCGCAAGGCCAUUCUGAUGUUACAGAUCCAAUCAUUAAAAUUGAAACCAUUGAAUGUCACCUUGUCACAAAUUCUCAAGAGCAAGAAAGUGUUUGAGGAGUUGUUGUGGUUGUUGUUUGAGGAGCCAGAGCGUUUUUUUGAGGUAGACAUCUAAAGAAGAAGAAAGACAAGUUUUAAUUAAAUAUGGAAAUCCUUAAUAUAACACCCAAAUGAAAUAUUAAGGCUAUGAUCCAACAUAACAAUUUACAAUUAAGAAAAAGGAUGUCGUAAUCCAAUUCUAAAUUAUUUGAAGGUAGGUAAAUGAUGAUUUACCAAUUCCACCAUGAAAAUGAAAUUUUAAAUGAAUCAGGUUUUAAAUGAAUUUCCUAGAUCUUUUGAGAUUCAUUGAACUAUUCAAUGGCAUGUUUAAUCUCAAUUUUGUCCUUUCCAUUUGUGACUAGGAUACCGAGGAUCAGAAACAAGGUGUGAAUAACCAUGCAAAUUUGUUUGGUACUCUCGAUGUCAUUUAUCACCUAAGAAAUGUGUCGAUUAACCACACACGCUCCAUUCAUCAAUUAUAAUUUACGAGCUACCCAUUUCCACCAUUUAUUAGUCCAUAUUUGUGUACCGGUUAACCACACAUGCUCUAGUAACGACUUUUAUAAAGUGCAAUGUGCAAUUUCAUGGAUUAGCAUCACAUUCACAUUUUCCUAAAGUAACUAAGAUUAGGAAUUUUAUAAAAACAUUUAGUUACUUUAUAUUAUUUUAUUAUACUUAUUAAUGAGAAACUAAUGUCCUAUCAUACCCAUUUGGCUAAUGACCCUUCACUAGUCAAGUAUGCGGCGGGUAAGAAUGGAUACCCAAUGGUGGUCAUUUUAUAGGCUGCUUCCUUAAACACCCCUUAUAAACCAGCUUCGUGAAUGCGUCCUACUGAUGGUAAGACUACUGACCAUUUCGUAUAUGUAUAUAAAUUAAACUUUUAAUAUUAUAAUAGUAUAAGGGUGUAUUUUGAACUCUAAAAAUACUAGGGUUCUAAAAUUUAAAAUUUCAAAAUUAAACUAUUUGAUUAAAUUUUAAAUUAUAAAACCAAAGGGUGUAUUUUUAAAACUUUUCAAAAAUACUAGAUCAAAUUUUAAAUAGUUAAAUUAAUAAAUUAAUUUUUUCUUUAUCUAAAAAUUUGACCAAAUCAUUUAUUUCGAUAAGGAUAUGCAUUUACCUUUUUAGAAACUUCAAUUUUAAGCAGUAAAAAAUAAUUAAGGUAAUUAUCCUAAUCAAAUUAAGAUAUCAAAAUAAAAAAAUUAGGGAUCUAACGAGUCAACUUGUCGAGUCAGGCAGUGAUCUCGUCGAGUUGAGCCGACUCGUUGAGUUCUAGUAUGAACUCAUCAAGUUUGAUGAACAUAAUGAGGAUUUAACUCACUUCUUCUUUGGAUAAUUUGUCACACCCCCAAACCGGAACAACGGAAACGUUCUGGGGCGGAGGACGUCAUGUAUAGUGUCACAACAAUUGCGUAAUAGUAAUCAAAUUACAACAACGCUGUAUUGAUAAAGUAUAAGUUUUAACAUAUAUGUUCAAGUCAUGGUAUAUAUGACACAAAAAAUGUAUAUUAAAAGUUAAAAGACAUGAGUCUAUGAAGCACCGUCUUCUAAAAACUUGUGGAUACUAUUUACUGAUUUCCUGAGAAUACAAAUAGUUUUUAAAAUAGUGUCAACAAUUAAGUUGGUGAGUUCAUAGACAUGUUUGUAAUUGAAAUCUGUCAUUUGUUCCUAGAAAAUGUAAGUAUGUUUUCCCAAAAAAUCCUAUAUUUUCUUUUAUAAUCAAGACGUGUAAAUGUUAUUGUACUCUGAGAUAGUAAAAUGUAGUUUUAAUUCACAUAAAACUAGGAAAAGUUUGUUUUCUCUGAACUGGAAUAGUAAUAUGUAUUUGUACUUGUAUGAAAACUGUGUAAUCGUAAGUGUCUGGAUUCACCGGCUAUACUUAUAUAAUAUUGUAUUAUAGUUUUAUUAUUUAAUAAAACUACGUGAAGUUGUUUACUUAUUUAUACACUAAUAAUAUUGUGAGUUAUCAUAACCGUGCUUGAUGACCUAAGAUGGUAGGAACAAAACGUUCUUCAAGUGUCACAAUAGGUAUGACAUUUGUUACCACAGGCCUGCCGGCCUAACUGUAGCGAAUAGUUAAGGUGUGAGAUUCUCAGUCCCGUAUAGAUCUAUACACAAGUGUCAUGCUCUCUUUUCAGGAGACUCUGGUUAUAAUUUCAGGACUUAGUUGAUACUUAGAUAAGUACGUGAAGUGUGUCUCACAAAUGCUAUUUUGAUGGUUAUGUGUAGAUUAAUGAAAAGUUACCUUGUAAUGGAUAAACUAUAAGUAUAUUUCAUAAACUAUAUUGAUUAUAGUUUAUAUGUUUGUUUUCCGUAAUGUAUUAUGAAUAUGUAAAGUAGUGCAUAUGAUCCAUAAACCAUAUCUAUUAUAGUUUAUAUGUUUGUUUUCCUUAUUGUAAUCUAAACUUUGAAAAACCACAUGUAUGUUCCAUAAACUAUACCUAUUAUAGUUUAUAUGUAUGUGUUUUACUGAAACGAAAACCUUUGUAUUGUUAAUAAUUCAGACUGUUUAAAUCGUAGAAUCUGUGAUACGGUUGUUCUGUGAAAAUUCAACAUUUAUGUCCAAAUGGUACUAAAAUAGUUUACAAAAAUAAUAUUUUUGUUUAACAAGUUUUAAAUAGCUUUAUACUUGUAUAAAUAUAAUAUUUAUAUAACUCUGAAUAAAUAGAUUGUCUAAUAAAUAAUUCUACCCCAAACCCACAACCAAACAAGAAACAAAAAAUGGAGUCAAAUUAUCAAUUCUAAACCUGUUGAANNNNNNNNNNNUAUAUAUAUAAUAACGACAACGAUUGAUAAAUACUGAAAACAUUUAAAUAUUGACACAAAUUUUCUUGGGUUACAUAUUCUCCCUAAAACAGUGUAAAAUAAUGAAAACGUAAGGGUAUGAACUCACCUUGUGUGUGGGUUCCCGGUUGGGUUACGAUAUGGUCGUGAAAAUUUUCACGUUAGAACACGUGAUUAUAGUCAUAUCCUAAUAAUAUUAUACACAAUAUCGUAUUUAAUUUAACGAAACAAUAAUUUAAAUGCUAAGUUAAAGUGUUAAAUAACACUUAAUAUGUAAGAAGACUUACCAAAACAUGCAAUUAUUUGGAAGAAUUUAAUCAUUAUAGAGUUGAAAAGGAGAUGGCUUGAAAUUUGGGAGAGAAAUUGUGACAACCCGUAAAUUGUUCCGUCGCUGUAACCCAUUCCCGUCGGUAAAACCCGUUUGUCUUUCAAUGUUCCCGUUAACAUUUUGGAUUAGGUCAUAUAAUUUAAGACUUUUAUUAUGACCUCGUAAGUACCCAAACAUGUUAGAAACACGUGAAAACACUUUCGAUAUUUAAUUGGAUAAUUUUUAGUUACGACCACGUCGGGUUACAAACACUUAAUCGGGUACGACUAGAAGCCUCGGUAAACGUCAGUAUCAGGUAGAAUUCCACCGUGUCUCAAACUCGACCCAUAUAUAAAGUUCAAAGAACUUCAUUUGAAGCUUUUUCAACCUCUCUCUACUCUCUCCCUACAUAUCUAAGCUUUUGAUCCAAAAAUCACCCCCUUUCAAACUCCAAUUAGGUAUGUAAUCAAUCCUAGCUCAUAGUAUAACAUCUUUAGCCUUCAAAUUCGUGUUUAAAUUAUGAAAAAGGGCCAUAAACAUGUGUUUACGACCCAGGAACAACCCUAGGCCGCAAACACACCUAAAUGGGGUUUUGGAGCCCCAAAACCCUUCCAAGCCACCUUUAGAGCUUAAAUAUGACUUAGGGGCUUUCAAGACCGGACUUGGAACACCAAAAACUCAACAUUUGAGGGGUAAACAUGAGUUUACGGCCCAAGAACAUGCUUGGACCGUAAACCCCUUUUCUUAGGCCAUAAGCACCUUCUAAGGUGUUUAGAUGCCCCUUAUGAAAAAGGACCAUAAACAUGUGUUUACGGCUCAAGAAAAACCCUAGGCCGCAAACACACCUAAAUGGGGUUUUGGAGCCCCAAAACCCUUCCAAACCACCUUUAGAGCUUAGAUAUGACUUAGGGGCUUUCAAGACUGGACUUGGAACACCAAAAACUCAACAUUUGAGGGGUAAACAUGAGUUUACGGCCCAAGAACAUGCUUGGACCGUAAACCCCUUUUCUUAGGCCAUAAGCACCUUCUAAGGUGUUAAGAUGCCCCUUAAACACCUCCUAAGCCUUGGAAUAAUGUCUAGAACCAUCCGCAAGUAUGUUAGAGACCUUAAUCAUCAAGAAAACUACCCCCUUAGGAGUUCACGGCCGUAAACCCCCCAAGGAUGGGUUCCUGGGCCGUAAACUCCUAUAAAUAGGUCAAAUGGUGCCUUAACUUAAUCCUAUGACUUGUAAAAUGAGUUAGAAUCACAUGUAAUUAAUCUUGGACCACUAAAACACAUAAGGAUUGGGUAUGAGAGAGUUUACGACCAUAAACUCCUAGUUUACAGCCGUAAGCUCCAUUAAAUGGUCCCUUUGAUAGUUAAAUCACUUCCUAUGCCCUAGAUUUGAUCCUAGCAUCACCCCACAAGUGUUAUAAGGCCAUUUAGCAACCAAGAACCCACCACCCAUGAGUUUACGGCCGUAAACUGAUGGGGAUAUGGUCUAUGGGCCGUAAUCUCCUUUAGGAGUUUACUCUUGAAGGGCAAACUCCAUAUCUAGGCCCUAUACCCUCGUAGAUGCCACCCGGGUCACUCCAAACACCUGAACUGAAGUGUUUUCGCGUCUAGAAGUGUUUAUUCUUAAUUAAUUAAUAUAUCAAGGUCUAGUUAGAUACAAAUUAUGUAUCUCUUCAUAUUACAUAGGAACCUCGCGUGUUUUAAGCCCCGAACUGACAAUUAGCAUCCAAACGGCACAUUUCUCGUCUGGUGAGUUCAUACCCCUACGCCUUUUCCGAGUUUUUCAAUGUUUUCAGGGGGGGGGGGGGAUAUACAAGCAAACUAUAAAUGUUUUCGAAACUUAAAACAGAUGUAAAUCUAUAAGUAACUGGCAAACUUUUAGAUAUCUUUACCCCUUUUGUAUCAUGCGGAGCAUAAGGGAUGUUUUUCUGAAUAUAACUAUGUAGAUUUCAAUUACAGUGUAAUAAACAAUCAAAACAAUCAAAUUAUUAUCGGAAUAAUUUGGGAUCUUCAUUUCUUGUUUUACGAGUACAGAUUUCAUGCAAAGUUAAUAGAUAAACUAUGUCUGAUUCAGUUUAUCUCUGUUUAAUUUAGAGUAUCAUGCCAGAUAAUUUCUUUGUAUUCAAUUGUUUUUACUGUAUUAUGUUUCAAAACGAUUACGAUGUUUGAUAACGACCGAGUACACCGUGAAUAAUCUAAUACUAGCUUUUGAGAUUUGUCUUCAUUAAACCCUUCGGGUUAUUAGUAAAUACUCCCCGGAAGUAUAACCAGAGUCUCUUGGAGGGAGAGCGUGGAAUUUGUGAAUAGAUCUAUUCGGGACUGACAAUCCCACACCUUAACUGCUAGCUACAGUUAGGUGGGCACGCAUGGGGUGACAAAUUAUGGAUAUCAUCCGACGCCUGAAGAACGUCAAGGAGGUCUCGUGUCACACUAGCAUGGUUAUCCGACUCACAAUACGUAUUAUUAUAAAUUUUGUUCACGGAUUUUAUAUCUUCCUUUAAUCUAUACUUUUAUAUAUUAAAACUACCUAAUGUUGUACUGGAUGGUAAUCUAGGGUUUUUCAAUAUAUAGUUUUACGUAUUAAACUAUCUACUGUUGUACCGAAUGGAAUUCAGAAGUUUAACUAAACUGUCUUUAUUAGAAAAUAUGAGAUUUUCUUGGAUAACAACUUUUGAGAAAACCAAAGGAAACAUGAUCAUUUAACAUAAAUAAACAGCUUAUGAACUCACCAGCUUUAUGUUGAUUUUUAAACUGCUUGUAUUCUCAGGUUCUCCUUAGAUAGGUAUCAUGCGUUCUUUUGCAGAAGACGGAGCAUAUGGAAGUCUCGUCUUACUUUUGUUUAGACUAAUGUAUCUAUAAAAGUUGUAUUACUUUACUUUCAAAAAAUGUAAUGAUUUUAUGUAAUGUAAUGUUUUGUGUUUACUAUGCUUACUAUGUACAUUGGUUGUGAUACUACAUGAUGUCCUCCGCCCCGGAACGUUUCCGCCAUCGGUUUCGGGGUGUGACAGAAUUCUAUCAGAGCCCUUGUUUAUAGUGAACUAGUAUACCAAGGUUACAUGGUAUAAGACUAUAAACACUAAGGAGCCGAAGUGCUCCGAACUAAAAGUAUACUUUAAAAUAUAAGUAUUUUAAAACAAAAAGUAUACAAGUAUACCUAACCGCCGGGAUCCGUAACCUCGAGUAGAACAAAAUAUAAGUAAAUGGGUGUUGUACACUGUGGUUAAACCUGGGCAGUUAUGUAGUCGUGUCUACGGUCAAUAUAGCCUGAUCAACUAUAUUCAUUCGAGACACGGCCAACAUGUGCUUGGGAGUGACUGUGGUGUGCAGUAGGCCUAAAACUUACCCAAUACCCAAACAACGAGCCGUCGUCACAACGAAACAUAAAAUACUAUGGGAGUAUUUUAGCCAAACCCUUGUACAUUGUAGAAAUUUAUUCCGAGUAUUGCUACUCGUUCCUUCUUUAGCGAUAGUUUAUCUGCUUUGAUAACUCUUUCCUGCUUAUCGCUUAUGGAACACUAUAUCUGUCAUAAUGAGAUAUCCCCUGUUUCAUAUCUCUAGAUUCAAUUCAGAGGACUUACCAUCCUCUUUUUCCUAAUCAUUUUAGAUUAAAAUGUCUUCAAAGAAAGGACCCAGCUCUAGGAACAACAACUCUCCGCCGCCAUAUUCUCCUCCGUUCGACCCUGUAUUAUUUCAGACAGCUGUUACUGCCGCAAUGACGGCUGCAAUGGCGCUUUUGAACCCUAUCCGGUCCAGUGGACCAGGAAGUAACACCUACCCCCAAAACCAUGAAGAUAAUAAGGAGCACCAGAAUGAGCGUAAUGAAAGUAAAAAGGUUUUCUGGAAAAAGCGAAAGGGUCAGAGUUCACAAGGAUCCUCCAAGAAGCACAAAAUAGUGGUAGUUCAAGCUGCUGCUACUCCUGCCGUUGCUCCUACAACUCAAGCACCUACCACCAGGUAUGCUGGUAACCUCCCUUGGUGCAACAGGUUUAGUUACCACCAUCGUAUCCCCGGCCCAUGUCGUGAAAAGUUCUGCAACAACUGUGGCAAGAAGGGCCACCUUGUGCGAAACUGCAAAGCACUGACUCAACCAACCAAUCAAGUUUCUGGAUCGAGUACCGAUCAGGUCUGCUAUGGUUAUGGCGAAGUCGGGCAUUUCGAUAGAAACUGUCCAAAAGCAGCAACCACCAACAACGCCCACAACGUUGAGAUAACCCUGGCUAUAAAGCAGGAGGAGAUAGUCGCCGAUCCCACUAUCGUCGCGGGUACGUUCCCUCUAGACAAUUCUUAUACUCACAUCCUUUUCGAAUCUAGUGCCAAAGUAGUUUUAUUAGUCAUUCAUUCAAGCGUCUUCUUAAACAUAGUCCUCUUCUAGUAACCGAAACAUUUACCGUCGAGAUGGCUAACUGUGAGAAAGAACACGUCAAUGAUAGAUUCAUAAGCUGUACCCUUAUCCUGAACGAUCAUUCCCUUCCCAUCGACCUAAUGCCAGUUUCCAUAGAGAGCUUUGAUGUUAUCAUUGGCAUGGAUUGGUUAUGUUCCAAUCAUGCAGAUAUUCUUUGCUACGAAAAAGCCAUCCGUCUUAAUCUCCCCUUUGGUCAGACUCUCAUAAAUCUACGGCGAUAAACAUAGUUCCAAUCUUCACAUCAUUUCUUGCAUCAAAGCUCAAAAGAUUUUACGAAAGGAGUGUCACGCAUUCCUAGCUCAUGUAAUCAAUGAGGAACGGGAAGUUAAAGACCUCGAGAGCAUCCCCGAAGUCUGUAACUUUCCUGGUGUCUUUCCCGAAGAGCUUCCAGGAAUUCCUCCCGAAUGUCAAGUCGAGUUUCGCAUCGACCUAAUUCCUGGAGCUACCUUCAUAGUCAAGCCCCCGUAUCGAUUAGCGCCAGCAGAAAUACAGGAGUUAUCCAGUCAGCUUAAUGAGCUACUCAGCAAAGGAUUCAUCAGACCGAGUUCCUCACCCUGGGGAGCCCGGUAUUGUUGUGAAGAAGAAAGAUGGAUUCUUUUGGAUGUGUAUAGGUUACCACGAGUUGAAUAAAUUAACAGUCAAAAACCAGUAUCCUCUUCCUCGAAUAGGUGACCUCUUCGAUCAACUUCAGGGAGCCAAUUAUUUCUCGAAGAUAGACCUCAGAUAAGGGUACCAUCAGCUUCGAGUUCAUUAAAAUGAUGUUUCCAAGACAACAUUCAGGACUCGAUAUGGACACUAUGAGUUCGUAGUGAUACCCUUCAGCCUAACCACUUUCCUUGGUCACGUGGUUAGCGAGGAAGGCAUACACGUGGACCCGUCCAAAAAUCUAGGCGAUAGAGAAUUAGUCAGCAUCGAAGACACCCACAGAAAUCCGUCAAUUCUUGGUUCUCGCUGACUACUAUCGCAGGUUCAUCCAAAAAUUUUCUAGAAUCGCGAAACCCCUAACCACUUUGACACAGAAAGACGUAAACAUGAGACAACGACGAUGGGUAGAGAUGAUUAGUGUUUAUGAGGGUGAAAUCCACUACCAUCCCGACAAAUCCAAUGUGGUAGCAGGUGCCCUGAGCCGAAAGGAGAGUUCAAGUUGCAAGGCGAAGACAUUAACGAUGACCAUCCAUUCCCACUUGUCCGUACAGAUCCGAGAAGCCCAAUUAAAAACCCUAAAACUAGAAAACGUGUCGAACGAAGCUCACAAGACUAAAUACUCUGAUCACCAGGUUCGGAUAAGAUGUAACUGGAUCUCAAGAAGCAAUACUGGUGGUUAAACAUGAAAGCCGAGAUCGCUACCUUCGUGGGCAAGUGUUUGACUUGCGCCAAGGUAAAAGUCGAGUAUCAGAAGCCCUCGAGUAUGCUUCAAUAGCCCGAUAUACCUGAAUGGAAUUGGGAAAUGAUUUCCAUGAAUUUUAUCACCAAGUUACCCAAAUCUUCGAAUGGGUACGAAACCAUUUAGGUAAUUGUCGAUCGUUUGACAAAAUCCGCUUACUUCCUUCCGAUUGAAGAAUCAAUCAAGAUGGAAAGACUUACACGGAUCUACAUCCAAGAGAUAGUCCGACUGCACGGUGUACCUUUGUCCAUUAUCUCCGAACGAGAUGGCAGGUUUACCUCAAGUUUUUGGCAGUCCCUUCAGAAAGCUCUCAAAACUAAGUUGGACUUGACAACAGCCUACCUUCCUCAAACAGAUGGAAAAAGUGAAAGAACUAUUCAGACCCUAGAUGAUAUACAGAGAGCAUGUGUUAUUAAUUUCGGAAAGUUGUGGGACACACAUUUAACUUUGAUUGAGUUCUCGUGUAACAACAACUAUCACACCAGUAUCAAAACUGCUCCGUUCGAAGCCCUCUACGGUCGUAAGUACAAAUCCGCUUUGUGCUGGGCUGAAGUAGGGGACAUGCAGCUAGCCAAGAGUCAAAUUCCCGACUGUACUCUCCCUAGUAUCGAAAUGAUCCACGAAACCACCGAGAAGAUCAUCCAAAUCCGAGAACGACUGUAAGCUUCACGAGACAAACAGAAGAGCUACAUCGAUAAACGACGAAAACCAUUAGAGUUCCAGGUCGGAGAUCAUGUCCUGUUGAAGGUCUCACCCUAGAAAGGUGCGAUACGCUUUGGAAAGCACAGAAAGCUUAACCUGAGGUACAUAGGACCUUUCGAGAUCCUCGUUAGGAUCAAUCCCGUAGCCUACAAACUCCGAUUACCUUCAGAACUUAGCAACAUCCAUCUUGUAUUCCACGUCUCUAUUCUUAAGAAGUGCCUACCCGAUGAAACCCUAGUAAUCCCUUUGAUGAGACUGAGAUCAACGAAAACCUAAACCUUCUGGAAGAACCAAUCAAAGUCAUGGGUCGAGAGAUCAAACGUACGAAGCAAAGCCGCAUCCUGAUAGUGAAGGUUCGCUGGAAUGCUAAGUGGGGACCUGAAUUCACUUGGGAAUGCAAAGACUCGAUGAAGUAGAAAUACCCGAAUCUCCUUCCAAUUCCGUAAUCUGUAUCUUAAUUUUUGAAUUUCGGGACCAAAUUCCAUCUAACGGGGGGAUAAUGUGACAACUCGUAAAUUGUUCCGUCGCUGUAACCCAUUCCCGUCGGUAAAACCCGUUUGUAUUUCAAUUUUCCCGUUAACAUUUUGGAUUAGAUCAUUUAAUUUAAGACUUUAUGACCUCGUAAGUAUCCAAACACGUUAGAAACACGUGAAAAUACUUUCGAUAUUUAAUUGGAUAAUAUUUAGUUACGACCACGUCGGGUUACAAACACUUAAUCGGGUACGACCAAAAGCCUCGGUAAACGUCAGUAUCGGGUAGAAUUCCACCGUGUCUCAAACUCGACCCAUAUAUAAAGUUCAAAGAACUUCAUUUGAAGCUUUUUCAACCUCUCUCUACUCUCUCUACAUAUCUAAGCUUUUGAUCCAAAAAUCACCCCCUUUCAAACUCCAAUUAGGUAUGUAAUCCAUCCUAGCUCAUAGUAUAACAUCUUUAGCCUUCAAAUUCGUGUUUAAAUUAUGAAAAAGGAUCAUAAACAUGUGUUUACGGCCUAGGAACGGCCCUAGGCCGCAAACACACCUAAAUGGGGUUUUGGAGCCCCAAAACCCUUCCAAAGCGCCUUUAGAGCUUAGAUAUGACUUAGGGGCUUUCAAGACUGGACUUGAAACACCAAAAAACUCAACAUUUGAGGGGUAAACAUGAGUUUACGGCCCAAGAACAUUCUUGGACUAUAAACCCUUUUCUUAGGUCGUAAGCACCUUGUAAGGUGUUAAGAUGCCCCUUAAACACCUCCUAAGCAUUGGAAUAAUGUCUAGAAUCAUCCACAAGUAUGUUAGGGACCUUAAUCAUCAAGAAAACUACCCCCUUAGGAGUUCACGGCCGUAAACCCCCCAAGGCUGGGUUCCUAGGCCGUAAACUCCUAUAAAUGGGUCAAAUGGUGCCUUAACUUCAUCCUAUGACUUGUAAAAUGAGUUAGAAUCACAUGUGAUUAAUCUUGGACCACUAAAACACAUAAGGAUUGGGUAUGAGAGAGUUUACGGCCAUAAACUCCUAGUUUACAGCCGUAAGCUCCAUUAAAUGGUCCCUUUGAUAGUUAAAUCACUUCCUAUGCCCUAGAUUUGAUCCUAGCAUCACCCCACAAGUGUUAUAAGGCCAUUUAGCAACCAAUAACCCACCACCCAUGAGUUUACGGCCGUAAACUGAUGGGAAUAUGGUAUAUGGGCCAUAAUCUCCUUUACGAGUUACUCUUGAAGGGGAAACUCCAUAUCUAGGCCCUAUACCCUCGUAGAUGCCACCCGGGUCACUCCAAACACCUGAACUGAAGUGUUUUCGCGUCUAGAAGUGUUUAUUGUUAAUUAAUUAAUAGAUCAAGGUCUAAUUAGAUACAAAUUAUGUAUCUCUUCAUAUUACAUAGGAACCUUCCGUGUUUUCAAGCCCCGAACUAACAAUUAGCAUCCAACCGGCACAUUUCUCGUCUGAUGAGUUCAUACCCCUACGCCUUUUCCGAGUUUUUCAAUGUUUUCAGGGUGGAGGGGGGGGGGGAAUACAAGAGAACUAUGAAUGUUUUCAAAACUUAAAACGGAUGUAAUUCUAUAAAUAACUGGCAAACUUUUAGAUAUCUUUACCCCUUUUGUAUCAUGCGGAGCAUAAGGGAUGUUUUUCUGAAUAUAACUAUGUAGAUUUCAAUUACAGUGUAAGAAACAAUCAAAACAAUCAAAUUAUUAUGGGAAUAAUUUGGGAUCUUCAUUUCUUGUUUUACGAGUACAGAUUUCAUACAAAGUUAAUAGAUAAACUAUGUUUGAUUCAGUUUAUCUCUGUUUAAUUUAGAGUAUCAUGCCAGAUAAUUUCUUUGUAUUCAAUUGUUUUUACUGUAUUAUGUUUCAAAACGAUUACGAUGUUUGAUAACGACCGAGUACACCGUGAAUAAUCUAAUACUAGCUUUUGAGAUUUGUCUUCAUUAAACCCUUCGGGUUAUUAGUAAAUACUCCUCGGAAGUAUAACCAGAGUCUCUUGGAGGGAGAGCGUGGAAUUUUUGAAUAGAUCUAUUCGGGACUGACAAUCCCACACCUUAACUGCUAGCUACAGUUAGUCAGGCACGCCUGGGGUGACAAAUUAUGGAUAUCGUCCGACGCCUGAAGAACGUCAAGGAGGUCUCGUGUCACAUUAGCAUGGUUAUCCAACUCACAAUACGUAUUAUUAUAAAUUUUGUUCACGGAUUUUAUAUCUUCCUUUAAUCUAUACUUUUAUAUAUUAAAACUACCUAAUGUUGUACUGGAUGGUAAUCUAGGGUUUUCCAAUAUAUAGUUUUACGUAUUAAACUAUCUAUUGUUGCACCGAACGGAAUUCAGAAGUUUAACUAAACUGUCUUUAUAAGAAAAUAUGGGAUUUUCUUGGAUAACAAAUUUUCAGAAAACCAAAGGAAACAUGAUCUUUUUACAUAAAUAAACAGCUUAUGAACUCACAAGCUUUAUGCUGAUUUUCAAACUGCUUGUAUUCUCAGGUUCUCCUUAGACAAGUAUCCCGCGUUCUUUUGCAGAAGACGAAGCGUAUGGGAGUCUCGUCUUACUUUUGUUUGGACUAAUGUAUCUAUAAAACUUGUAUUACUUUACUUUCAAACAAAUGUAAUGAUCUUAUGUAAUGUAAUGUUUUGUGUUUACUAUGCUUACUGUGUACAUUGGUUGUGAUACUACAUGACGUCCUCCGUCCCGGAACGUUUCCGCCUUCGGUUUCGGGGUGUGACAGAAAUGAGGUGAAAAUGUCUACAGGAAGUAUCUAAAAUGAUUCAUUUUGUUCGCUUAAGUAUGAAGGAAAAAGGUGUCGGUUUGGAGAUUUCGGCCUAGAACUCUACCCGAGAAAAGGAGAUGAUUUUAGUGCUUGGAAUUUCGGCCGAGAAAGGAUUUCGGUCAUGUUUAUUUAGUUCAGAGGGAAGGGCAUCCAUGCGAAGGUUUUCGGUCGAUGGUAGGGCUAGAUGCAACGGUUCUCGGUCUUGCAUGCUUAUUUUCAAUUUUUGCUACACUUAGCUAAUAAAGGGUUUAUAUAUAUUAAAAUAUAAAUUUUAGCAUUAAUAAAUUAACAAUCAACAAAUUUGACUUUUAUUUAGCAAGUUUAACAUUUGUUGACCUUGGUUGACUUUUGUUGACUUUUACAAACUUGGAAAAAAUGGGUUGUUAUAAUAUCCCCCCGUUAUAGGGAAUUUCGUCCUAAAAUUGUUUCUAAAGUGGUGCCCAUGAACUAGGGAAAAGAUGUGGAUACUUUUGUUUCAUUUGAUCAUCUCGUUCCGAAGUGAAUUCAGGUCCCCGCUUGGCAUUCUACGGAACCUUCACUAUUGGUAUAUGACUUUGUUUUGUUUUUUUUGAUUCCCAUAUCCAUGACUUCCAUCGAUUCUUCUAUGAAGCGUAACUCUGGUUUAACUCGAUUUCAUCGAGUGGGAUUAUAAGAGUCUCGUCAGACAGACACUUCUUAAGAUUAGAGAUGUGAAAAGCAGGAUGAAUAUUACUUAAUUCAUGUGGUAGUUUGAGUUUAUAAGCAACCAAACCAAUUCUAGCAAGAAUCUCAAAUUGUUCGAUAUACCUCGGAUUUAGUUUUCCAUGUUUGACGAAACAUAACAUUCCUUUCUAUGUUUUAGACAUGUUGCGACACCACUAUCACUCCCAAACAUAUGUUGGUCGCAUAUCAAAUAAAUAUAGUUGAUCAGGAUAUAUUUAUCUUAGAUAUGAUUGCAUAACUGUCUAGGUUUAACUGUAGUGUCUAACAUCUAAAUACUUUUAUGUAGUUUUCACUGUGAUACUGUUUCUUGUAUGUAUGCAUUUUAGUAUACGUAUAAAAUACUUAUAUUUUAAAAGUAUACUUUUAGUUAGAGUGCUUUAGCCCCAUUGUAUUUAUAGUUGUAUAUCUUUUAUGGUUUGAUAUAUUUAGUUCACUAUCAACAAUGCUCUGAUACGAAUCUGUCACACCCCCAAACCAGAAUGGCAGAAACAUUCGGGGCGGAGGACGUCAUGUACAGUAUCACAACAAUUGCAUAAUAGUAAUCAAAGUACAACAACCAUGUAUUGAUAAAGUAUAAGUUUUUACAUAUGUUUUUAAGUCAUGGUAUAUAUGACACCAAUAAUGUAUAUCAAAAGUCAAAAGUCAUGAGUCUAUUAAGCUUCGUCUUCUCAAAACCUGUGGAUACUUGUUUACUGAUUUCCUAAGAAUACAAGUAGUUUUGAAAAGAGUGUCAACAAUUAAGUUGGUAAGUUCAUAAGCAUGUUUGUAAUGGAAAUCUGUCAUUUGUUCUUUUAAAAUGUAAGUAUGUCUUCCUAGAAAAUCUUAUAUUUUCUGUUGUAAUCAAAACGUGUAAAUGUUAUUGUACUCUAAGAUAGUAAAAUAUAGUUUUAAUUCACAUAAAACCAUGAAAAGUAUGUUUUCUAUUCACUGGAAUAGUAAUCUGUAUUUGUACAUGUAUGAAAACUAUGUAAUUUUAAGUGCGUGGAUUCACCAGCUAUACUUAUAAAAUACUGUAUUAUAGUUCUAUUAUUUAAUAAAACUAUGUGAAUUUGGUUACUUGUUCAUACAUUAAUCGUAUUGUUCAAUACCAAAUUGAGAGUUAUCAUAACCAUGUUUGAUGACCUUUGAUGGCCUGAAUACAAAAUUCUUAAGGCGUUGCAAUCGGUACGACAUUUGUCACCCCAGAUCUGCCAACCUAACUGUAGCGAAUAGUUAAUGUGUGGGAUUGUCAGUGUCGUAUAGAUCUAUUCACAAAUGUCACGCUCUCCUUCCAGGAGACUCUGGUUAUAAUUUCAGGACUUGGUUGGUACUUAGAUAAGUACGUGAAGUGUGUCUCACAAAUGCUAUUUUGACGGUUAAGUGUGUCUCCGUAAUGUAUUCUAAAUAUGUAAAGUAGUGCAUAUGAUCCAUAAACCAUAUCUAUUAUAUUUUAUAUGUUUGUUUUCCGUAUUGUAAUUUGAACUUUGAAAAGCCACAUGUAAGUUCCAUAAACUAUACCUAUUAUAGUUUAUAUGUUUGUGUUUUACUAAAACGAAAACCUUUGUAUUCUUAAUAAUUCAGCAAGUUUAAAUCAUAACAUCCAGGAUACGGUUGUUCUGUGAAAAUUCAACAUUUAUGUCCAAAUGGUACUAAAAUAGUUUGCAAAAAUAAUAUUUUUAUUUAACAAGUUUUAAAUAGCUUUAUACUUAUAUAAAUAUAAUAUUUAUAUAAUUAUGAUUAAAUAGACAGUUGAAUAAAUAAUUCUACCUCAAGCCCACAACCAAACAAGGAACAUAAAAUGGAGUGAAAUUAUCAAUUCUAAGCUUGUUGAANNNNNNNNNNNNNNNNNNNNNNUAUAUAUAUAUAUAUAUAUAUAUAAUAACGACAACGAUUGAUAAAUAUUGAAAACAUUUAAAUAUUAACACAAUUUUUCUACUGUUACACUUGUAUCCGCCCGCCCCUUAAAAUAGUGAAAAAUCAUUAAAACAUAGGGGGUAUGAACUCACCUUGUGUGUGGGUUUCCGGUUGGUUACGAUAUGGUCGUGAAAAUUCUCGGGUUACAAUACGCGAUUAUAGUCGUAUCCUAAUAAUAUUAUACACAAUAUUGUAUUUAAUUUAACGAAGCAAUAUUUUAAAUAUUAAGUUAAAGUGUUAAAUAGCACUUAAUAUGUAAUCAGACUUACCAAAACUUGAAAUUAUGUGGAAGAAUUUAAUCACUAUGAGAGUUGAAAAGGAGAUGGCUCGAAAUUUGGGAGAGAAAUGAGUUGAAAAUUUCUACUGGAAGUAUCUAAAAUGAUUCAUUUUGGUUGCUUAAGUAUGAAGGAAAAAAGAGUCGGUUUGGAGAUUUCGGCCAAGAACUCUACCCGAGAAAAGGAGAUGAUUUCGGUGUUAGGGAUUUCAGCCGAGAAAGGAUUUCGGUCAAGGUGUUUGCUGUCCGAAGAGUUGUAGCUUCACACGUUUGCGGUCUUGAUCGCAAACAUGAUUUCGGUCCGAGGGAAGGGCAUCCAUGCGAAGGUUUUCAGUCGGAUGGUGGGGGCUAGAUGCGAGGGUUUUCGGUCGGAUGGUGGGGCUAGAUGCGAGGGCUCUGAUACCAAUAAUGGGGUUUUAGCAUAACUAUAAACCUAUUUGUUCAUGUAAUGAUAAUUGUUUUGGAUCUAGGUUUUCACUAGUUGGACAUGAAAGUUUGAAUACCAAAGAAAAACCCUAGUAUCUAGCAUAUAAUUGGAAAUCCAUAUGUAAAUAGGGUUUAGAUGUUUAUCUUACUUGUUAUGUAGUAAUAACAAGACAACUUUGUAGAUCUUGACUCUUGAAAGCAAGUGCCUCAAAUGUGACACCUCUAAUGGCUUACAAAUACUCUUUGUAAGAGGAUGAGAGGAUGGAGGAGGAAUACUCUUAGAAAUCGUCUCCACUACGGUUAGAGGCAAGUGUGUAGGCUGAAGUUCCAAGAGGUGGGGUAUUUAUAUAGCUGAGGGCUGAUAGGGUUUGCUGGAGGAAACCCUAAUUUCCUGCUUAAGACUUAAGCAUACCAUUAACCCUUAUUAAGGAGCCUUGGACGAAAACUUAUAGGGCCUCCCUAUUAUUUUCGUCCACUCCUAUAUAAGGUGUCCAGUAGCCCAGUUUCACAACUAUGAUUGAUUUGCAAAACAACCCAUGUUCCUUUAAUCCCGAAAUUAAUUUCAAACUAAUUUCUUACUAAAUACUAACUAAAUAAUAUGAUUUCUAAUUAAUAUAUUAUUCUCAUAAUACAUUAAUAAAUCAAUUUAUUAUUCCAAAUAAUAAAUUCAACCUCCCUCUCCAAAAGUCAUCCUAUCAAGUUGCAAGAGUAAAGGCAACCCAAAAGGACCAUGCUACUAUCAAAUCAAGCACAUACCAAUUAUAGUUAUGGGAUUAGACACCUAAUCCAACAAAUAUUAUGGUCAUCGUGGAUCUACUGACCAAGAGUUCCCACUUCCUGGUGACUCGGAGAGCUCGUAGACCGAGAAGUUAGCUGAUGUGUAUAUUUGCAAGAUCGUUGCUCACCAUGGGCUUCUAGUAUCUAUUGUUUCAGAUCGUGAUGUUCAUUCUGCUUCCCAAUUUUGGCAGAAUUUCCAUGAGGAACUGGGCACAAGGCUACACUUCAACACAAAUUAUCAUCCAUAGAACGACGACCAGAGUGAGCGGACCAUUCUGUAACGCCUUGAUUCUCAGGUAUUGUUUAAAUAAGAUUUAUUGGGUUAAGCUCUACUCGACGAGUUUGUUGACCUACUUGUCGAGUAGCAGCGGGGUGGGAUCGCGUGUUAAGUGACCUACUCAACGAGUCCAUGCUAGACUUGGCGAGUAGGAGUUGGCAGUGGAAACCCUAAAUCUCGGGGUUUGCACCUCUAUUUAAAGGAGCCUUAGCCUCCUUUGGCCUAUUUACAGUCUUUGAGAGCCCCUUAAAUCCCUAAUUUGUGUGUGUGUGCCUUGGUGUGGUGUUUGAAGCUUGGAAAAGAGGAUCUUGGAGGAAGAAAGCUAAGAGUGCAAAGGAAAUUGAAGCAAAGAGAGAGUGGGAAGCAGGAUUUACCUCAGCUAGCAUCCGUUGGAGGUAUCAAAGUGCCAUUCUUACUUCCCUUUUUCCCUUUUGUUGAGUUUCUAGGGCUUUUUAUGGAUUUUUAAGUUGGUAUGAUGAGCUAUGGGCGAGAUCUGAAGUUGUAACUUCAGAUUUGGACCCUCCUUGGAUUCUAGAAGCAUAAAGUCAGAGUCUUGGUUGUGAUUAAGGUCCCACUUGAGCAUGAAGUUCCAUUAAGAACUUAGAAUAGACAUUUAGAGCCUUUAUAGUCAUGCAUGCAUGUAAAGUUUGGAACUUUACGUGAUAAGCAUGCCCUAGAAGCUUGGAUCUACGAGUUGGAGUCGUUGCAUGGCUCAAAUUAUGUCUGUAUGGAGGAAAAGGACUGAAUGGACUCGGCGAGUCAUAUGAAGUUUGGCGUGAGCUCGGCGAGUUGGAUGAACAACUCGGCGAGUCCGAUGAAGAUCGCCAUAAGACUCGAUGAGUUGAAGAACAACUCGGCGAGUCGGAUGAGUUUCCUUUGGGAUAUGUAUGAGUCUGUAUCCGUCGAGUUGCGAGGAGGGAACUUGACGGGUGAGCUUAACUUUGAACGAGAAUCAAAGGAUCUCGACGAGUCAUUCCGAUGACUCAGCGAGUUGGAAUGUAAUUCAGGGAACUCGACGAGUAGCCAAGGGUACUCGGCGAGUUAAGGUCAACAUGGAUUGUUGACCUUUACUGAGGACUUUGACUUUGACCAGGGGUUAACUAGUGGAUUAUGGAGUACCUUAUAAGGUUAAGGACUUAUGAGUAUGAUGUACUAUGAUUAUAGGUGGUGGAACCUGUGUCAAGUGAUCGGAGAGUUGGAGUUUACCUUUUGUGUCGACAUCUGCGAGGUGAGUUAUUGCCACUAUAUCGAUAGGGUCUACAACACCAAGGCCGGCCCUUUAAUUGUUAUUAUUAUGGUAUGCUACAUGUAGUUAUGAUCUAUUAGACCAGAAUCGGGGUAGACAGUAUGUUAUGCUCUUAUGAUCCAUAGGGAUUGGUAUGUUAGUGACCUGCUAGGUCGGUACUCUAGUUAUAAGAGAAUUCUAUGAUUGAUGAUCAGCGUGACAGAUAUGUUUGAUGUUUGUAUAUGCCUAUAUAUGAUAGUAUGUGCACAUGGUUAUUUGCUCGUGGUUGGGUUGAGGCGGCCCUGCUUUGUGCUGAAGGUCAAUAUACCCUAUGAGUGGUAUGGGGAGACUGUAGGCCCACGUGGUGGACCAGUCAUGCCGAAGGCUCGGGAUAGAUUCAGACAGACUGUAGGCCCGGUAGGGCGGUCCAGUCAGGCCGAUGGCCCAGUAUGCAUGAUGAUUGAUUUAUUAUUACUGAUAUGGUAUUGUCAGUGUGGUGUUGGUAUUUUGGGGGUAGCUCACUAAACCCUCGGGCUUACAGUUUUCAGUUUAUUAUUUCAGGUACUUCAGGAGAUCAUGGAAAGACGAAGGCGUGACUGUACCACUCCUCAUCCUUAUGUUAUGACUUUUGGGACACUCUGAUGGAAAAUGAUUUGAAAACAUUUUGUAAACAAUGCUAUUCGGUUUUUAUUUAUGAUUGAAAAAGUUUAAAUUUGGCGUAAAAUUUAUGGAAGUUACAAGUUGGUAUCAGAGCCUUGGUUUGAGUGAAUUGGAGGAACACUCGUGUGAAUCCAAUGUCAAAUCAAGGAGAUUUUCGGAACAUAACUUUUAAAAUGGUUUUCAAAGUAAGGAUUGAGGAUGCAGAGGGUACGAUCAGCCGGAGCCUGUAAGUGAACCCCAAAAUACCAUACAGUUAUUUGAUAUUCUGAUAUCUUAGAACAGCAUGCUAGAGCUAGGCUAAGGAUCUUCAGGAAUCGCAUGAGAGACUUGCCUGAUUAUAAGAUGCCUAUUAGCCUAGGGUGUCUUGUAUAUGGAAUUGACAUCAUAAUUGUAAAUGUUUGGUGUAUGCAUCACAGCUGUGUAUAAUAAAGAUCCUAUAGCCUGAGAAUGUAUGAUUUGACCUUAGUGUAAGAUUAGAUAUUCGAAAGUCUAUGGGGUCCAGCGUUACGUGCAGCUAACGUGCACCGUAGCUGUAGGGGAUGAUGGAAGUUUCAUGGAUGUGUGAGUUGUGAUAAGUGGUGAGACUAGAUGCGGGAUAUUUGGUAGUCCCCUAGAAGUGAGGGUUGGGCGCAUUUCUAUGUUGAUGAUAUUGUUAGGGCGUUGUAGGGAUACUUGAGACAAAUAUGGGUAGGUGUGGAAGGUAGUAUGGGCCCGUACUACUGAAAGCACAGGACCCAUACGCACAAAAAGGAAAUCACAACCCCUAGAUUUUAGGGAUUUUGGUUUGCCGACAUUAUUCCAGUAUGGUGGUGACGAGACAUGUUGCUUCGGUAUCCGGAUCAGGAUCAGGAUUGGGGUCGGGAGACGGAGGGUUGGAGGUGCCGGUAGCACCUAAGCCUGUGGUUCAGAUAGGGACCGAGGAGUUGGAUGCCAGGAUCAGGGAGAUCAUGCACGACGAGAUUGCUGCUGCAAUCCAAGCGCAGCUGCCAGAGAUGUUUGGGUCGAUUAAGACCGUGAUGGUUGAGUAUUCUGAUGAGCGAUAUGCAGCUCUAGUAGAGACAGCUGCUGCUGCAGGCACUUCGGCUGUAACGGCGACAGGGAUUGGAGGAGGAGCUGACAAGGCUUUCCAGUACCGAGACUUCGAUACUACGAAGCCCCCGACGUUUGAAGGUACAUAGGAUGCGAUUAGGGCUAUGAGGUGGUUAUCUGACGUGGAGGGCUAUUUCUUCACGUGCUCAUGUCCUGCUGACCAAAAGGUCAGGUGUGCCCUGAACCUACUGAGGUUUAGGGAAAGGGACUGGUCGAGGCUGACGACUGGGUCGUAUACUAAUGAUCAGCGGGCUGUUGUUACUUGGGAUCAGUUCAGAGAUAUGUUCCGCACCCGCUAUGUUCCACACGUUGUGCGGGAGCGGCUUGUGCAGGAGUUUUUGACAUUGAGACAGGAUGGGGAGUCUGUGAUGGAGAUUACCCGUAUUUUCAUGGAGAGGGCUAUGUUUUGCCCGGAGUUUGCUUCAGAGCAGUCUCAGAUGACUCGUUAUAUGAGUAUGCUAAAGGCUGAUAUUCGACGGUUUGUGUCUACAUAGCGAUGUGAUACCCUCCUAGACCUUCAGGAAGCUGCAUGGCGGCGUGAGUUGGAGAUAAAGUUGCAGCUGAAGGAGCAGCGUCAGGCUCUGACACAGUCUCAGCUGGCGCCUAAGCGGUCUAAGACCGUUGAUACACGGUCCGGGGGUCAUCAGAACCGCACUUGUGGAAAGUGUGGCAAGGCUCAUUCGGGGGUUUGUCGAGCAGGAGGUGGGUGCCGCAAAUGUGGCAAGGAGGGACACUAUGCCAGGGACUGCCGUCAGUCCGCCCCUCUAGCAGAUAUGAGGAUUUGUUACCAUUGUCAUUAGGUUGGUCAUGUGAAGACCAACUGUCCACAGUUCUCCGCCAAGCCGAUGCAGGGUUCCGUGCCAGCUGCUACGAGGAUUGGGGAUGGGAGGCCAGUCAAGGUAGAGCCUCCGAAGGCUCAGGGUCGUGCCUUCCAGCUCACGACCGAGGAGGCUAAGUCAGCACCGGAUGCGGUUGCUGGUAUGUUUUCUAUUUUUUGUCUUAGUUAUUGUAUUCGUGUUAUGCUUAGUGAUUGUACCUGUGAUUAGGUACGUUUUUAGUGAAUUCUUUGCCCGCUUUGGUAUUAUUUUACUCGAGGGCGAGUCGAUCGUUUAUAUCUCAAACCUUCUCUAGAGGGUUCAGUGUGCCGAUAGAUGAUCUUGAGUGUCCGUUGUGAGUUUCGAUCGCCAACGAGCACGGGGUCUCUGCUUCUUCGGUCUUCUGGGGAUGCGAGUUGGAGAUUUUCGGGGUGUCCUUUCCGAUAGAUUUGAUUCCUAUUCCCAUGAGGGAUGUAUAGGUGAUUAUAAGGAUGGAUUGGCUUAGCCGAUUUGGCGCCAUGAUUGACUGUGAGUGGCAGCGGGUGGUGGUUCGAACCCCAAGUGGGGGAGAACUUGUAGUAUAUGGUGAGGGCACCAGGUUGGGAUCAGGGUUUUGUUCGGCAGCCAGGGCUCGGUAGUAUAUUCAGCACGGGUGUGCCGGUUAUUUGGCGUAUGUUGUAGAUAUGCGGGUUAGAGAGCAACUCUUAGUUUCUGAGGUCCCGAUGGUGAGGGAGUUUGCUGAUGUGUUUCCGAAGGAGUUACCCGGAGUGCCUCCGGAGAGGCAGGUUGAGUUCAGGAUUGACCUAGUGCCAGGUGCGGCCCCUAUCGCUAAGGCGUCGUACCGACUGGCACCGCCAGAGAUGAAGGAGUUGUCAUCUCAGUUGGAGGAACUGCUGGGUAAGCAGUUUAUUCGUCCGAGUAGUUAACCCUACGGAGCACCAAUCCUUUUCAUUAAGAAGAAGGACGGUUCCCACAGGAUAUGCAUUGACUAUAGGGAGCUGAACAAGUUAACGGUGAAGAACCGUUAUCCGCUUCCGAGGAUAGGCGAUCUUGUCAAUCAGCUGCAGGGUGCAUCUUGGUUUUCCAAGAUUGAUUUGAGAUCAGGUUAUCACCAGGUCAGGGUGAGGGAGGAGGACGUGGAGAAGACCGCAUUUUAGACUCGUUAUGGUCAUUACGAGUUUGUGGUGAUGUCGUUUGGACUCACCAACGCACCAGCAGUGUUCAUGGAUCUGAUGAACCGAGUAUGCAGACCGAUACUUUAUCGGUCGAUCAUUGUGUUUAUAGAUGAUAUCUUGGUGUACUCCAAGACUCGAGAGCAGCAUGAGGAUCAUGUCAGGGAGCUGCUGGAAGUUCUGAGGCGAGAAUGGUUGUAUGCCAAGUUCUCGAAAUUCGAGUUUUGGUUACGGGAGGUCUAGUUCCUCGGACACCUCGUUAACCAGGAGGGGACUCUGGUUGAUCCGGCCAAGGUGGAGGCGGUUAUGCAGUGGGAGACCUCGAAAUCUCCCUCUGACAUCAGGAGUUUCUUGGGUUUAGCAGGGUAUUAUCGGAGAUUCAUUCAUGAUUUCUCCAAGAUUGUCGUACCCCUCACUCGUCUAACGACGAAGGGGGUGGAUUUCUAGUGGGGCCCGGAGCAGCAGAGGGCGUUUGAGACCCUCCGAAAGUGUUUAUGCGAGGCGCCGGUGUUGACACUGCCCGAGGGAGUGGAGGAUUUUGUGGUAUUUUGUGAUGCAUCCAUCACUGGCUUGGGGGUAGUCCUUAUCCAGAGAGGGCGGGUGGUAGCCUAGGCAUCGCAACAACUGAAGCCGCAUGAGACGAGGUUCCCCACGCACAAUCUUGAGUUAGGAGCAGUGGUUUUCACUCUCAAGAUUUGGAGGCACUAUCUGUACGGGGUCCGUUGCACCAUAUACACGGAUCACAAGAGUUUGAGACACAUCAUGGAUUAGCCGAACCUGAACAUGAGGCAGCACAGGUGGCUGGAUGUGGUCAAAGACUAUGAUUGCGAGAUCCUUUACCAUCCUGGUAAAGCGAACGUGGUUGCGGAUGCUCUGAGCCGCCAGUCAGCUGGGUCCUUGACCCCAGCCAGGUGUAUGAGGAUAACGGUGGAUUCCCCACUGGUGGGUUGGAUCAGGGAUGCUCAGAUUGAGGGCGUGAGACCAGAGAACUGGAAGAUUGGAGAGGAUUAAGGGCGAAAGCGCUCGGUUUGUUCAGGAUAGUCGUGGAUUGUUGACCCGUUACCUUCGGUUUUAGGUUCCGAUGUCCAGAGGGGUCCGACAGAUAGUGAUGGAGGAGGCUCAUAAGUCUCGUUUUUCGAUUCACCCGGGAGCCACCAAGAUGUACCGUGAUUUGAGUUCGAGUUAUUGGUGGUCUGGCAUGAAGCAAGAUAUCACUUGGUUUGUUGAGAGGUGUUUGACCUGUAGGAUGGUCAAUGCCGAGCAUCAGAGGCCACAUGGUAAGUUGCAACCCUUGAAGAUUCCCAUGUGGAAAUGGCAACGGAUCGCGAUGGAUUUCAUCACGAAGUUGCCGAAGACGACAAGGGGGUUCGAUGCUAUAUGGGUCAUCGUGGAUCGAUUGACCAAGAGUGCCCAUUUCCUAGCCAUACGGGAGAGUUCGUCGGCAGAGAAGUUGGCUGACAUGUAUGUUAGAGAGGUUGUCUCUCGUCAUGGGGUUCCGGUUUCUAUCGUUUCCGAUCGAGAUGUUAGGUUUACUUCCCGUUUUGGCAGAAGUUCCAUGAGGAACUGGGUACACGACUGCAUUUUAGUAAGACGUUCCAUCCGCAGACUGAUGGGAAGAGUGAGCGGACCAUUCAGACCCUCGAGGAUAUGUUGAGGGCGUGCGUUAUUGAUUUCGGUGGGAGAUGGGAUUCCCACCUACCGCUUGCAGAGUUCGCCUACAACAACAACUAUCAUUCCAGUAUUGGCGCCCUACCUUUCGAGCUGUUGUGUGGGCAGAAGUGUAGGACCCCAGUGACAGCACAUCGAAAGAAAGUGGCUCGUGGCUUUCAUAUCUUGAUAAAUAAGAGAUCGAUCCCGUAGUUCAAUCCUGGGAAGGGUCAAAAAGUGUAUCCACCCGGUCCGGGGAAGGUGUGUUCAAUCCUCUCACGUUCUUGGUCAAGUAAUGGCUCUAGCUUCAUUCUCGCUUUGGGAUCAUCUCGCCUUCGUGGGUCUCCGCUUUCCAGCUGCGAAAAGCUUCACUCCUUUCACUGAAUGAAGACGAAAAACCGCUUCUUUUUUCCGGUUCUGAAACAACUUGGGCGAAAUAGGGUUCUACCGGGAAACCAUGGAUUUUUUAGUCUGCUAGGGCGAGGUUGGGCACAGAGUGAUGGGUCGGACAGGGGUAGUUGUACAAACUACCGAGAUGAUAUAGCAAAUUAGACAAUGACUGCAGACCGCUCAGAGUCGGCAGAAAAGUUAUGCUGACCGAUGCCGAUCUGAACUGAAAUUUCAAGUGGGUGACAUGGUCCUCCUAAAGGUCUCACCCUGGAAGGGUGUGGUCCGCUUCAGGAAGAGGGGAAUAUUGGGUCCCCGUUAUAUUGGGUUGUUCAAGAUUAUUGCCAGGGUUGGCAGUGUGGCUUAUAGGCUAGAGCUUCCAGAGGAGCUUAGCCGGAUCCACAUCACAUUUCAUGUUUCGCAAUUGCGAAAAUGCAUUAUGGACCAGGAGGCAGUGGUAUCGUUGGAUGACAUUCAGGUCGAUGAGCGUCUGAACUAUGUGGAGAGACCUAUGGCUAUUUUGGAAAGGAAGAAGAAGAUUCUGCGGAACAAGGAAAUACCUUUAGUAAGGGUAUUGUGGGAACAUCGGAAACGAUCCAAGUGGACAUGGAAGCCGGAGGAGGAGAUGCGCGAGCAUUACCCGACAUUGUUUACUCCAGCGGACUUCAAGGACGGAGUCUAGUUCAAGUGGGGGAGAGUUGUAACGCCUCGAUUCUCAGGUAUUGUUUAAAUAAGAUUUAUUGGGUUUAGCUCUACUCGACGAGUUGGUUGAUCUACUCAUCGAGUAGCUGCGGGGUGGGAUCGCGUUUAAGUAACCUACUCGACGAGUCCAUGCUAGACUCGGUGAGUAGGAGCUGGCCGUGGAAACCCUAAAUCCCGGGGUUUGCACCUCUACUUAAAGGAGCCUUAGCCUCAUUUGUCCUCUUUAUAGUCUUUGAGAGCCCCUUAAAACCCUAAUUCGUAUGUGUGUGCCUUGGUGUGGUGUUUGAAGCUUGGAAAAGAGGAUCUUGCAGGAAGAAAGCUAAGAGUGCAAAGGAAAUUGAAGCAAGGAGGGAGUGGUAAGCAGGAUUUACCUCAGCUAGCAUCCUUUGGAGGUAUCAAAGUGCCAUUCUUACUUACCUUUUUCCCUUUUGUUGAGUUUCUAGGGCUUUUUAUGGAUUUUUAAGUUUGUAUGAUGAGCUAUGGGCUAGAUCUAAAGUUGUAACUUCAGAUCUAGACCCUCCUUGGAUUCUAGAAGCAUAAAGUCACAGUCUUUGUUAUGAUUAAGGUCCCUCUUGAGCAUGAAGUUCCAUUAAGAACUUAGAAUAGACAUUUAGAGCCUUUAUAGUCAUUCAUGCACGUAAAGUUUGCAACUUUACAUGACAAGCAUGCCCUAGAAGCUUGGAUCUAUGAGUUGGAGCCGUUGCACGGCUCAAAUUAUGUCUAUAUGAGGAAAAGGACUGAAUGGACUCGGCGAGUCGCAAAGUGACUUGGCGCGUCACAUAAUGAUGGCCAUGAACUCGACGAGUUGGAUGAACAACUCGGCAAGUCCGAUGAAGAUCGCCAUAAGACUCGACGAGUUGGAGAACAACUCGGCGAGUCGGAUGAGUUUCCUCUGGGAUAUGUAUGAGUGUGUAUCCGUCGAGUUGCAAGGAAGGAACUCGACGGGUGACCUUAAGUUUGAUUGAGAAUCAAAGGAACUCUACGAGUCACACCGAUGACUAAGCGAGUUGGAAUGUACUUCAGGGAACUCGACGAGUAGCCAAGGGUACUCGACGAGUUAAGAUCAACAUUGACUGUUUUACUUUACUAAGGACUUUGACUUUGACCAGGGGUUAACUAGUGGGUUAUGGAUUAAUUUAUAAGGUUAAGGACUUAUGAGUAUGAUAUACUAUGAUGAUAGGUGGUGGAACCUGUGUCAAGUGAUCGAAGAGUUGGAGUUUACCUUUCGUGUCGACAUCUGCGAGGUGAGUUAUCGCCACUAUAUCGAUAGGGUCUAUAGCACCAAGGCCGGCCCUUUAGUUGUUAUUGUUAUGGUAUGCUACAUGUGGUUAUGAUCUAUUAGAUAAGAAUCGGGGUAGACAAUAUGUUGUGCUCUUAUGAUCCGUAGGGGUUGGUAUGUUAGUGACCUGCUAGGUCGGUACUCUAGUUAUAGGAGAAUUCUAUGAUUGAUGAUCAGCGUGACAAAUAUGUUUGAUGUUUGUAUAUGCCUAUAUAUGAUAGUAUACACACAUGGUUAUUUGCUGGUGGUUGGGUUGAGGCGGCCCUGCUUUGUGCUGAAGGCCAAUAUACCCUAUGAGCGGUCCGGGGAGACUGUAGGCCCACGUAGCGGACCAGUCAUGCCGAAGGCUCGGGAUAGAUUCAGACAGACUGUAGGCCUGGUAGGGCGGUCCAGUCAAGCAGAUGGCCCAGUAUGCAUGAUGAUUGAUUGAUUAUUACUGAUAUGGUAUUGUCAGUGUGGUGUUCGUAUUUUGGGGGUAGCUCACUAAAACCUCGGGCUUACAGUUUUCAGUUUAUUGUUUCAGGUACUUCAGGAGAUCAUGGAAAGACGAAGGCGUGACCGUACCGCUCCUCAUCCUUAUGUUAUGAUUUUUGGGACACUCUGAUGGAAAAUGAUUUGAAAACAUUUUGUAAACAAUGCUAUUUGGUUUUUAUUUAUGAUUGAAAAAGUUUAAAUUUGGCGUAAAAUUUAUGGAUGUUACACAUUCAUGCUCUUGAGGAUAUUUUGCGAGCAUGCAUUAUUGAUUUUGAUAGGAGUUAGGACUCCUACGUACCUCUUGCAGAGUUCUACUACAACAAUAAUUUCCACUCCAGCAUUGUUGGUCCGCCUUUUGAGCUUUUAUAUGGGCGUAGACGUCGUAGCCCAGUCUGUUGGAGUGAGGUGGGUCAUGGGUCGGACCGAGAUGGUUCUGCUGACUAUAGAGAUUAUUCAGUAUAUCAGGAAAAGAUUGUAGACUGCUUAGAGUCGGCACAAAAAGCUAUGCCGACCGACGCCGAUCCACGUAGGAGUUUCAAGUGGGUGACAUGGUGUUGCUGAAGGUCUCACCUUGGAAAGGUGUGAUUUUCUUCAGGAAGAGGGGGAAAUUGGGCCCCCGAUGUAUCAUCCAUUUUGGAUUGUUUCCAAUAUUGGCAAGGUUGCCUAUAGAUUGGAUCUUCUGGAGGAGCUUUGGCAGAUUCAUAACAGUUUCAACGUUUUGCAUCUGCGGAAGUGUAUGUUGGAUAAGGAUGUGGUUGUGUUGUUGGAUGAAAUUUAGGUUGAUGAGCAUCUGAACUAUGUUGAGAGGCUCGUAUCUAUUUUGGAUAGAAAAAGUGAAUGUUUUACAGAGCAAGGAAGUACCACUGGUAAAGGUACAUUGGCAGCAUCGGAGGGGCUUCGGGUGGACCUGGGAGGUAGAGGGUGAGAUGCGGGAGCAGUACUUGGAACUAUUUGUUGCAGCGGACUUCGAGGACAAAGUCUGAGUCAAGUGGGAGAGAGUUGUAACUCUCCGAUUUUGGAAAUUUUUCAUUUUUUCCCCUCAACUUUUGUAUUGUGCAUUUUGGCUCUUGUAGCUAGUACGUGGGGCGUACCCAUAUGUUAUGCUUAGCGUACUAGCAAAGAAUGGAUCAGAAUUUCAAGGGCGUAUGCUGGGGAUACCUUAUGGUAUGUUGGGCGUACCUUAUGGUAUGUUGGGCGUACGCGUGCCUCAUUUCAUGUCCCUUACCCUCCAAAAAACCCUAAAUUCCCCUCUUUGCCUCCCAUCUUCAUCUUGCGCUUUUGGAGUAGAAGUUGGUGUUUUUGGUCCAUCCUUAAGGAAAUCUAGUAGGAAAUGAAGUCCAUAGCUUGGUAGUAUAUUGGAGAUCCAGAACCUCUGCCUAUUUUGCAUGGAUUUGAGGUAUCAAGUUCUUAUAUUGAAUGCUAGUUGUGUAGAUCUCUUUUGGGAUCAAUUUGUUAUAUUUUAAGUCAUUUUUGGGUUGAAGAUUUGGUUUAGGUCAUCCCAAAGACUUGUCCUUUCAGAUCUAGGCCUUUCAUAGCCCCCUCAAGCAUAAAGGUGCCAUCUUUAUGAAAUUAAGAGUCUCAUGCAAGCUUUAAGUCAUGUAUUAAGCCCUUUUUGAGCUAUAGAGCCUUGUUUAACCUUGCAUGAAUGUAAAGCUAGCAACUUUACGUGUUUUCUCAACUCAAUAAGGUCAGAUCUUUGUUUUUGAGUGCUACCUUAAGGUAUUAAGAGCUUAAUGGGAAAUUGGGCUUAGUAGGGAAGUACGUUGGGCGUACCAGCUAGUAUGCACAAUAUACAAGCCUCAAAGCGUGUACGCCAAACGUACAACCGGGUACGCCCUGUGUACUCUAUCUGUGGGCUUGUAGUUUGGGCUUUUCUAGUGGGAUUCCUUUUUGGACUUAGAUACUUGGAUUCUCGUUGGGCUUCUGGAUAUGAGUGUUUUUGGGCUGAUUGGAAAAGUAAACCUUAGGAUAAGGCCCAAUUUGGAAAAUUAGGCAAAUUAUGGGUCUUGAGUUAAGUUGGGCCUUUUUCGAUCAAAGACUUGGACUUGGGCCUUGACCCAAUUAGGAAUAGGGUAAAAUACACAAUUACGCUAUGUUUGGACCCUUAGUCAAGAAUUGUAACCCAUUGGUUAAUUGGGUGUUUGUUUAUUGUGAUAGUUCGAGAUUUUUGUGAGUUAAUAUUUAGAGAUUUUAGUGUAGCUUGACGUUUGAGAGGUAAGUAUUCCUCACUGUCGAGUCAAAGGCACCAAGGCCAACCCCUAUGUAUUGUUUUCCUAAUUAUCAAAUGAUUGAGUAUUGUAGUGAUUUGUUAGAUCUAAAUCCUGGUAGAUAGGGUGCUGCUAUGCUUAUUGAUCUGAAUGAUUAGUGUUUGAGUGUUGAUUUAUUAUAUAUUAUGAAUUAUACAUAUGUCGACAUGCGUGUGUGGUUGGGUUGAGGCAGUCCUGCUUUGUGUUGAAGGCCAACAGACCCAGGGCGACCUUGAUAGACUGAAGGCCUAUGAGUCAUACCAGUCAGGUCGAAGGCUUGGAGAGUGGUCCAAACAGGCUGAAUGCCCAGUGUGGCGGUCCAGAAAUGCUGAAGUUUCAGUAUGCAUGUUGUUGUUGUGAUAUUUAUGAUUGUGUAUUGUUGUAGUAUUUUGGGGGAACUCACUAAGGAUUGGGCUUACAGUUUGGAUUAUGUUCCAGGUACCUUAGAGGACCGCGAGAAGGCAAUGGCAUGAUCAUGCACCUCCUCAUGUUUUUGUUUUACGAUUUUAGGAUUUCUUUGAUGUGAAACUUAUUUUGAAAACACUUUGUAAACAAUUAUGAUUUUGGGUUGUUUUAAAAAGUUUAAAAUUUUCAAGAAUUUUGAAUGUUAAACAUAAAGUGAUUGUUUGGUCCUUUUAUGAAUGUUGGAUUUAGUUUAGCGAAGUUUUAAGGUGAAAGAGAGUGGAUGGGAUUGUAGAGCGUCUUAUUACCUUUCCAUGGAUGUAUGGAUCGUCAUCUAACAUCCUGUUUAUUAAGUAAAUAAGUAGAUAAGGGUUAAAAGUGUAAGUUUCGAAUUGGUUUUGUAAAUAUUUAUGAAGGCGGGGGCUGCACGGUAAUUAUUAGGACUUAAAUUGAAAGAAUUUUUAAGUACUGAGGGUUGAAAGGGGAACUUAUGGGGCUACUGUUGUAAUGAAUUAUUAAAGAUAGGGGCGGUUUGGUAAAUAUUGUAUUUAUACCCCCUUACCAACGACCGCCACCUCCAGCCGGUUGUCGCUGUCGUCUCCUAGCCAUUGACGAAGUCGUGAACCAAGAAGCCACACCACCUCAGUUGCUGUCAACGAUUGGAGGAUCUACGGGGUGGAUGUUGGACGUCAGGGCAGAAGAGACUGAGGGAAUGAACCACGACAUUGCCGCCAUUGUUCCUUUCCGGAGACCGUAAGCCCCAUCAUCUCCGUUCUUUUCUGUCGUUGAGCCUACCCUCUAACUUCCAUGCGCCACCGUGAAGGUGGCAGUAAUUGGGUGUGUUUCAUUUGCCAUAUCGUGUCCAUGAAGUGUGUUUAUGGAUGUGUUAUUGACUAGGAAGCUAGGCAGACCACCAUGGCAGCCAACCAUGGUGGUUGCCGCCACUUCUUCUUCUUCUNCAGCCACCGUGAUGGGUGGCUGUGUGCGUGUGAUGUGGUGCUGGUGUGUAUUCUACUUGUGUGUGGUGAUGUGUUACUGGGCAGACGAUCGAGAGAACCGCCACUACCACUGUCAGGUGGUGGCUGUCAUUGCAAACCACCCCUGUCACCGCCAUCUCGUGCCAUUGCUGCCGUCUGCUGCCAGGUGGGUGGUUGGGUUCACCUUGCAAGAAGAAAGUGUGUGUAUAUGUUGUGUGAGCUUCGUUUGGCCGAAAAAACCGAGAAAAGGCCAUCACCACCAUCAUGGCGUGGUGGCUGCCACCAUGCACCACCGCCGGCCUCCACAAGAGUAGCAUGUAUGUAUGUGUUUACAUUGUGUGUGUGUGUGUUGAUUUGAAUAUUUCAUUGUAGUAUUGUAAUUUGGAUUGAAAUGAUUAAGAAAUCCGUCACCACCACCGUGAGCCGCCUUUGACCACCACUACCCGUGGUGGUAGUGGGCGGUACCCGAGUUAUCUAAUAGAUAACUGACCCAAAAACGUAACAAAUAGACUAAUUAGGAUAUGAUUGGAUUUGGAAACCCUAAUUAGGGUUUAGAAAACCCUAAUUUUGUAUAUGUUAAUUUGGAAAUGUCGGGACCUGCGUUUAGACCAGAGGACUGAAGUUAUGACUUAUGUCGAUUCCAUUGUAUGUUGGCUUAGUGGAAUAUUGGACUUAAUGGGUUAAGUGAGAAAACUUAACCCUAAUCAUCAUUUCAUGUGAAAACCCUAAUUACGUUGGUUUUGAGUUGGGCCCUCUCUUAGCGCCUAGAUGUCUGGACUAUUGUUGGUCCAUCUAAGAACAAUUAUAUGCACUCAGAAUAUAUGGAUGGGCUUUAGGGUAUGGCGCAUGUGAAGGUUUGGGCGAAAUUUAGAAAAUUGGGUCAUAGGUGGGCCAUAAGUGGGCCUUUGUGGACCCCCCUUUUUGUCUUCGGCCUUGGUGGGAUCAAUGAGUUGGGUCAGUAGUGGGCCUCGUUAGAUGGGCCAUCUAUGGGACAUAGUGUCAAUGUAUAAACUUGUAUAGCUUUUGAUUAUAGUGUUGGGUUGUUUUGGCUCAGUUUAGGAGCCAGUGGGCAACAACAAUGACAACGUAGGGUUUCUCGCAUACAAAUUGAGGUGAGUCUUCUCACUAUACUUACCUGUGUAAUAAUUUAUGUGUAACCGGAGGGUCUUAUUUGUGUUAUUGACUGGAGGGUCUUAAUUACAUUAUUGACCGGAGGGUGUUAGUACAUUACUGACCGAAGGGUCUUAGUACAUUAUUGACCGGAGGGUCUUAGUAUAUCGUAGACCGGAGGGUCUUAGUACAUAAUUGACCGGAUGGUCUUAUUUGUUAUAAUGUGAUACGUGUUAUUGUGCAUACUGUCUUUGUGACUUAUGAUGUUAUAGUAUUCUAUGUAUAUGAUGAUCUUAUGUGCUUAUACUGAGACAGGUGUUAUCAUGUAUUCUGUCUUGUGACAUAUGUUAUAUUAUUAUGUGCCUUACUGAGUAGUAUCGGAAGGUCCGAAUCGUGUUAUGAGACAGGAGGGUCUCCAUUGAGAGACAGACCCGGAGGGUCUAACCCGAGCUGUGAGACCGGAAGGUCUUCACUGAGACACAUAACCGGAGGGUCCACACUAAGCCGUGAGAACGGAGGCUCCUCGCUGAGACGAAUGAGACCGGAGGGUCCAUGCUGAGUUGUAGCCAUGAGAGGGUUAUUGUUUGUGUACAUGGUAUUUUGGGGAACUCACUAAGAUUCGUGCUUGUGUGAUAUGUGUUUCACGUACUUCGCAAGAUCACGGGAAGGUGUCGGCUUGAUCGUACACACCUGUUUGAGUUUAUGUUUGCGGAUUCUGGGAUAUUAUCAGUUGUUUUGUUGAUCUGUCUUUUUUAAAACGAAAAAAUUGUUUGAAAUUUUAUGGUGUUACACUUCAGAAUCGAAGUUAGAACGAAGAUGUUAUGGCCAUCGAAAGAGUGAUCGGUAAGGAGCGUGUCAUGUACGUUGGGCUUACAAGGAAUGUACAUUAGGUGUACAUAGUUGGAGUGAUCAUGAAGGCUCCAUAGUGAACGCUAGGCAUACUAGAUGUAUGUUGGACAUUCGCGACUUAGUCCCAAACCCUAAUUUAGGGUCUUGGACCCUAUUUAAAGGCCUUAACUCGUAAUCAAACACUCUUAUCUUCAGCCUCUAUCACACUUAACCUUAAACCCGAUACAAUAGCCCUCACAUGGAAAGAUUUUGAGCUUUGGAGUAAUCUUGGUGCAUUUUUUGUGCCUCUAGAAGUAAAAGAACACAUUGGAGAAGUGUUGGUUAUCUUAGAGCUUGUAUAUCCAAGCCUUGUUCUUCUUAAUCUAGCUUCUAGAGGCAUAAAGUUUUAAUUUUGGUGACUUUCUCUUAUAGAUCUAGUUUGGGUGCUAAAUUUUCAUGUUUUUGUCCCAUGAUUGUGGUUCUUGUGAGGAGAAGUUAUUCCAGAACCUUUGAGCCUCACUUUUGGUCUUUGUUGAGGUCAUUAAGUCAUAGAGUUUAGAUCUUGAGGACUAUUGUCCCAUCAUGCAAGAGUGACUGACCUUUUUAUGAAGUUAUGAAGCUUGGAUGUUGGUUUGGACCAAAUUAAGCCAUGGAAACUCAUAACGUCAGGAACUUUAUGAAUUAUGACAUCCCAUAGAAGUUAGAUUUGAGUUUGAACUUUGUGGUCUUAAGAAUUAGGUGGUUAAGAUGUAAAAUGGUCACCUGGAGCGUACGUUGGGCAUAUGUACGCGUAGGCUCAACGUAAUGCAUGUAGUUCUCGUUUGUAACCUUCGAUGCAUUGUACAUUGUGCAGUGACAUACGGAAUGCGGGGUGUACCAAUCUUGUACAUGUGGCAUACACCAGAAACCUUCUUUUGGCCCUUUUGGGCCUUGGGUCUUUUGGAGUUUGGGCCAUGUGUUGUUGGAUCAGAUAUGUAAUGGAUUAAAUUGUCUUUUUCCCAUUGGAAUGAUAAGAUUUGGUUUGGACCUUGAAUUUUUAGAAAUGACUAAAUUAUUGAUUAAUGAUAUUUGGUUAUGAUUAGUGUGAGGUUUCUAGUAGCAGCAUUGUUUGACUCUCGGUUAUCUUGGAUUUAGUUGAGUCUCCUCACUAUACCCGUGGGUUGAAGGUACCAAUGUUGGCCCACUAGGAUUUGGUAAAUGCUAGUUGUCUUUGUGGCUAUUUAAUGGUAUUUAGGCUAGAGCCUUUCUAUGACGGGUUAGUCCUCUUUGUAUGUUGGGAUGGGCCGAUGGAUUAGAAAGGGCUAGGGCCAAUGUAUGUUGUGUAGGAUGCUAGCUGUGUUUAUGACUCUUGCAUGGUAUGUCAUGUUGUACCCAUUGUAUGCGGGUUAAGCUCAUUAUGGUGGGUUGGGCCUAAUGUGAGAGCUAGGCCUCAUAGUAUGUAUGGUAUGUAGUAUUUUGAGGAAAUCACUAAGCAUUUUGCUUACGGUUUUUAUGGCUUGUUUUCAGGUACUUCCGGUUUUUGAAGGGACGGGGUCGACUUCAUCGCAACGCUUCUACCCAUGUUUCCACAACUUUAUGAUUUUGGGAUCGUACUCUGAUAACUGCUUUAUUAUGAUAUACUUUCGAAUAAUUGAAAAAGGAUUAUUUGUAUUACCAGGUGAAUUAAAAAUGAAAAUUUUACCUUGUAAUUUUUGGGAUGUUAUUGAUCGUGACCAACAUUGACUGCUCGUUAGAGUAGUAGAGAGAAGAAGCAGUGCUUAUAGGUAGUUCCAUUGCAGAAGAAGAAGAGAGUUGGGAACAACCGAGUCCAUAGAAGGGCAACGAGAGAAAAAGAGGGCACGAGAUAUGGUAAAUGGAUCCAAUCGCGAUGACAUAAUGACUACAAUGUAGAUAGAAAGAUAGAAGAUUGCAGAUCAAAGGUUGUCUGGAAGAGAAGGAGCAAUUGGAGGGACGCGACAACAACAUCGAAAGAGGCUGACUUGGAAAACAUAUCCGAGAAAGAAGAGGCCAACUAAUGAGAGGGUCAUUUAAGGAGGAGAUAGAAGGUGCGGAAGCAAAGGCCAUAUGAGGAAAAGGUAGAAGCAGGCGAGACAGUAAAAGAAGCCGAUGAAGGAGUUUUGGCUUGAUGCCGAUGACUGUAUCACUAUUCAAUAGGAAAGAGAAGAAAAAGGAAAAUAUUGAUCAUAAUGAAGGCACAUUUGACGACUGUUAGAAACAGUCUUCAGAGCUGGAGGACGAUGGCUGGGGGUUUUGGUUGGGAGUAGAGUUUUAACGUAGAGCUCUAUUUUAGAUAAUGAUUGAUUUACUUGAUUAAUCAAAAGACAAUUAAAUAGAAUUAUAUAUAUANNNNNNNNNNNNNNNNNCCCUAAGUGGCAUGGGCCUAAACCCUAAUCACUAACACAUUCCAUGAUAUGUUUGGUUGUUAGCGAAAUGGACAAAGUUCAAUUUUUCGAAGUUCCUUCAAUUUCUAUGUUUGACGUUGCCAAAAGAAUGAAAGCUUUAAGGGGGAAGAUUGCAACACUUAUAUAAGAGAAUGUUUCAGUUUGAAUUCUAUUUUAUUGUCAAAUGGGUAAAAUAAAGAAAAUCUAAAGCUAAAAAUAGGAAUAUAUUUAAUGAAUUUGGAAUUCAUGUCAAAUUUUGAUUAUUUUGUUUUAGCAGGUCCGUUUUCUUGAUAUGCAUGAAGUCAGAAUGCUAUUUCCCCUUAAAAUUGCACAUGAGUCUUUAUGUCAAUGUCUAAGAAUAUCAUGCAAUCUUGAGGUGAGAACAAUAAUAUGCUUAAGCCGAGCGAGAAGAUUAUAAAAAGACAAAAAGGUUUUGCGGCUAAAUGUUAUUAUUAAGUUUUUACUAUAUGUGUUUAUAUGUCGGCGUUCUGGUUUUUCUUUGUUGUGGAAGCUAGAAUCUAAAAGUGGAUACAGGGAGAUGUCUUAUAAAUUAUAAUUAUAAAAGUAGAUGUGAAAUAUAAUAUCUUUACUAUGGACAUAAGUGACAGAUGAGUACAAAGGUCGGAUGAAAUUCACUAAAGUCACUCUUGAUUAAUAUUAUGUUGAAAUUGAAGCAUACGGAGAAUGAUGAUUGUGGAAUUUAUUUAUAGGUUAUACAAGUUCAAGUUAAAUCCUCUGAACAUUUUGCAUCUAAAGGUAGUCUUCAAAAACAUGAAACAAGUCAGUUUUUUUUUUUUUUUUUUUUUUUUUUUUUUUUUUUUUUAAUAAUAAAUCUUUUGAAAGCUAAUUGGUUCUCUAACUUGGAAGGUUUUUUCGCUAGUCCCUUUACUAAAAAUUAGGCAAGAAUUUUUUUUCCAUUUCCAAACAAUAUUAGUGACUAAUACAAGUGACUAAUAGUGUGGUGUCUGAACUUUUCUACGUAGUCUGAAUGUACUAUUAUAGUUUGUUUUGAUGUGUUCGAUGUCUCAUUUUUUCUUAAAAGAGAACCAUGUCUAGGCAAAAUAUAUUCCAAUAAAACUGUAACAUCCCAUGUUUUGUCAAUUAUAGUCCCUGGGGACGGAAGGCUAAAGUCAUGAAGAGCCAAAGGGCUAAAUAGUAAUUUUGGGACCAGGAGGAGUACGCUGCGCAUACAUAAGCGUACGCAUGGCAUACUAGGGUGCACCCUUGUACGCUGGGCGUACUUAUAAAAGAUGGAAACCCUAAUAAUUGGAGUUGGGGGCAACAUAAACAUCCUUAUGGUCCAUUCCCUCUCAUCACUCUCAGCCUCCAUCUUUCAGAAACGUUCCAAAACCCUAGUCCUUAUGAGAGAGUGUGAGUUGGUGGGUAUUUUGAGCUCUUGAAGGUGGAGUCAUUGCAUCAAGGAGUUGGAGAAGAAGUUUGGCUUGUAGAUCUGAAGUUGUGUUGUACCUUAGAAGCUCCAGAAGGUAAAAAGCUUCACAUUUUAUGUUUGUAUAAUAUAGAUCUAGCCAUUCUAGCAUUUUGGAAUCAUUACUUGUCCCAAAAGUUCCAAGAUGAUGUAUGUUGUGUUUUAGACGAAAUAAUAUGUCCUUCUAGACUCUUUGAGGGGUGUUGAGUGUUAAAAAUGAGGUCCCAAUGGCUUAUAAGGUCCCAUGCAAGUAGUAGAAAGGUCUUAAUGAAUUAAGACCUUGGAUUAAGAAAUUCUGGACGUCCAAAGUGAUAUGUUCGAGACUUUAUGAGUCCUAGGUAUAUUUGAUCAAUGGAUCUGAAGUUUGGGCUUAAGUGCUUAAGUCAUUAAGCACUUAUGAGGGUUUUUGUUCAGUUCGCGUAUGCCCUGCGUAGGAAGCUGUACGCCCAGCAUACAGGGUCAACGACCCUAUUUUCCAGUCAACAUAAGUCAAGGUACGCCCUACGUACCAGAGGAGCACGCCCAUCGUACGUCCUCUGUUGGGAUUUUUGACUUUGGGAUUUGAGUUUUGGGGUUGUUUAUGGGCUAGAUGGACUUGGGCCUUGGCUGGACAUAAUGCAUAUGGUGUUUUGGGCCACGUCUUAGUAAUGGAUCUUGGAUUUAGACCCAAUUAGAUAGUUGGGCCCAAUUUGGAAAGUUGGGCCAAUGAUGGGCCUUAUUAUAUAGACUUAUGGAUCAUGAGUUUGGUAUUGGGCCAUGUCCCAAAUUAGAGGGAAGGCAAAUUGGGCUAUUGUUAUAAGGGAUUCGUGGUCAAAAAUUCUAUAUUCCUGUUUAUUAACUUCUUUUGGAUAGUUCGGGAUUGUCGGUAAGACGGUGGUUUGGGAAUCUGCUUCCUCGGUUCAGAUCUAAAUUUUGAGGUGAGUUUCCUCACUACACUAAGGGGUCUAAGGCACCAAGGCCGGUCCAUUGGAUGUGAUAUCCUAGCAGUUGGUAGUAUGUUGAGUUUGAGUUAGUAUUAUAAGAUAAUUGCUAUGACAGUUAAGUAGAUAUGUAGGACUACGUUUGUUAUUAUGUGUUUAUCUGUAUGUGCAUUAGUUGUUUUAUAUUUCGACAUAUUAUGUGGGGUGGGUUGAGGAUAAUGCUUCAUGUUGUAACCAACAAACCCAUGAGAAUUCCAGAUACGAGAUGAGGGCCAGGUGGGGCAUGCCAGACUCGUACUGUGGGCUCGGUGGGAAUCCAAAUGUGAGCUGUGGGCCCGGAAGGCAAUCCAGACUCACACUGUGGGCCCAUGGGUAAUCCAGUCUGCAAAGCUGUUGACCAAGUUCAUGAUGUUAUUUGUAUAUGUGUUAUGUGCGGUGUAUCGGUAUUUUGGGGGACUCACUAAGCCUCGACUUACAAUUUCAGUUUAUUGUUUCAGGUAUAUCACGGGAUCACGGCAAGACGAAGGCGUGAUCAUAUAGCUCCUCAUAAUUUGUUUAUGUUUCUGGGAAAGCUUAGAUGUUAUAAUAUUUUUGAAAACAAGUUUGUAUUAACUAUUGAUUUUAAAUGUUUUGAAAAUUUUAAAAUUGGCUCGAAUUUUAUGGUUGUUACAUGUUGGUAUCAAAGCCUUGGUUUAAGUGGAUUGGAGGAACACUUGUGCGAACCUAGUCUCAAACCAAGUGAAAAUGGUUUUCAAAAUGAUUUUUUUAAAUGGUUUUCACAAUAAGUAAAGGAUGAUGCAGGGUGUACGAUUAGCUGGAGCCAGUAAGUAGAUCCUAAAAUGUCAUACAGUUAUUUGAUUAUGUGAUAUGUUAGAACAGCAAGCUAGUACUAGGCUAGGGAUCUUCAGGAAUUGCAUGAUAGAAUUUCCUGAUUACAUGAUGCCUGCUAGCAUAUGGUUUUCUUUAUAUGAAAUUGACAUGAUUAUUUUAGCUUAUUAGUAUAUGCAUCACGGUUAUACAUAAUUAAGAUCUUAUAGCCUGAGAAUGUUUUAUUUGGCCUUAUGUUCUGUUCUUGUAUGAUUGGGAGCUUAGGGUAGGAUUGGAUAUUCGAAAGUCUAUGGGGUCCAGUGUUAUGUAUGGCUAGCAUACACUAAUGGUGCAGGGUUGGUGGAAGUUUCAUGGAUGGAUGGGUAGUGAGAGGCCAGGAGGCCAGUUACGAGAUAUUUAGCCUUCCUCUAGGAGUGAGGAUAUAGCGCUCACUAUGUUUACAUAUAUUGUUAGGGCAUUGUGGUGAUACUUGAGACAAAUAUGAGUAUGUGUGGAAGGUAGUAUGGGCCUGUACUAGUGAAAGCACAGGACCCAUAUGCAUAGCAAGGAAGUCACAACCCUUGGGGUUUAUUUGGAAGAUGGUCCUAUGAUUAUGGUAUGGAUUAUUCGAGAAGUUUUGAGAUCAGAUCCGAAUCAGGAUCGAGAGAUGGCAGCCAGGAUAGACCAUUAUUGUCAGAGGAUUGUUUCAGGGAGAUCAUUCGGGAGUAGGUGAUCGAGAUCGUGCGGGGAUGGAUUUUGGAAAUGAUUGGGUCUUUCAAGACUGUCAUAGCUGAGUAUUUUGUAGAGCGCCAUGCAACCAUUGCUGAGACGACUUCUGCAGCAGCUUCCGCAGCUGUAACGUUGAUAAGGGGAGGAACUGGUCGAGCUUUCCAGUACCGGGACUUGUUUUUGGUACAUAUUCUGAUGAGCAGAGGGUUGCGGUUAUCUGGGAUCAGAAAGAUGAUAUGUACUUGUUAUAUUUCCGCGGGUUGAGCGGGAGAGGAUAGCAUAAGAGUUUCUAGAUUUGAGUCUCGGGGGUUUGCUCAAUGCCAUAAUGUGAGUCGUGGGGACUCCGGAAAGGGGUGAUGAUUAUGUUUAGCUAGGGUUUUGUAGUUGGAAGUGGAAUGGUUAAUUUAUGGAUUGGACUGUCAUUUUAUAGGGCAAGGAUUGUGCCAUUUCAGUUUUUCGAACUCGAAGGAGUGAGCAGGCUUGCGAUCCUAGGAUCAACUUGUAUUCUAGCUCCGGGUCAGUUGGUUGCAGGGAGGGGGAACAUUGUUUCAGCGCCAGUGCGUGCAGGUGGGUCGAUGAUGCAUAGGUAUUUUUGUGAGGAUCGCUUUACCUUGGAUCUCUUGUAUCAGGCGGUAAGGAUUUAUUGUGCGAUCUAUUUAACUUUUAGGAUUGUAGACUAUGUCUUGGGAAAUAGUUUGUAGCCCGGUUUAGGGUGGAGGUUGCUUCAGCUGUUGCAGUUCAGCUGUGGACGUUUGAUCGGGUAAGUGAGUUAGGGUGCGAACCCUGAAUAGAAUGAUUUCUAGAGCCCGAGAGCAGGAAACUUGUUUGGAGCACCUUUGGGAGAAAGGAGUAUUAUGUGGGAGGUCUGUGGAAAGGGUCCCACAAAAGGGUUAUCCAUCAUUUUUAGGAUUCAGUGGUGUCAGCAACCGUUAGUGAUUAACGAACGAAAGCGCCAAGGGAAGUAGUUCGUCCCCGAGGUAUUAGUUGGAGCAUUUAUCUUUUGGUCUUUAGGACAUGAGUGUGGGAUCAUUCAAGCAUUAGUGAUUGUCAUAUUCACUGGUAUUCAAUAAGUAUUCAUCCAGUUCUUAUGAGGUGUGUGAUCAUUUAGAUUGGCUAGCAUCGGAGCACUAGUUGGGAAGAGACGCUUAUCAUCGUCUAGACCGUCGGAAAGUGAGAAGGUUUGGGAAUUCUCCAAAUUAUCAUGUAUUGUGAAGACUUAGUCAAAGCUAAGUAGAGGAGAAUCGUAUCGAGAUACAGAAGUAGGAGCGGUAUUGAAAAGGGGCGAUCGACAUGAGGCCUAGGGUUAGGUCGAGGUUAGAGUCCGCGGAAUAGAUCAAGAGUUCAGAACCCCAAGUGGGUGAGAAUAGUCUGCAUGGGAAAGAUCACAUGAGGAGUGGUUCAGGGAGAUGCUCAACAGUUUAGAACGAUCCAAACAGGCUGAAGGCUCAGAGAGGUGGUCCGGACAUGCUGAAGGUUCGAAGAACGAUCCAAACAGGCUGAAGGUCUAGGGAGGGCAGUCCAGACAUGCUGAAGGUUCUGAGAGUGGUCUAGAUAGACUGAAGGCCUGGUAAGGCGGUCCAGUCAUGCUAAAGACUGUGUAUGUGUUUGCAGAUCUAUGUGCGAGUAUUGGGUAUGUUUUUAUGCUAUAUCAGUUGGUAGGUCUUUCCCCUAGUAUUGAACACGCUGAUGGAAUAUGCUGGAGACAUUGUGUGGGCUUAGAUAGUUAUAUGAUCAGGUUCCGAGUAUAUAUAUGAUAUGGUGUAGCAACUGGUUCUACAAGUGGAUAUUGUGGAGUGAGGUUUCAGUAUUGUGACGCUUAUUGGUGUUGUAAGGACUUUGAUCAGGCCCUUUUGGGCAAUGGAGCAGGUGUGAAUCUCCAGGGUGGAGCAUUGGUACAACUGAGGUGACGAUAGCAGUGUUGAUAAGUUAUCGGGAGCAUUCCAGUCAUAGGCCGUGGGUAUAGAGAUUUUGUUGAUUUUGUCACGUGUAGGGUGCGUUCAGGUUAGAUAUUUCUUUUGAUCGUCUAUGAUGGCACAUUAUAUAUUUAUAUGUGGGUAGGGUUGAGGCGGUCCUGCCCUAUGCAGUAGGCCAAGAUACCCGGUCUGGACCGACUGAAAGUCGUAGGCACGGAGGCUCAAGAGGAGCGGUAGGGUUGAGAUGGUAGGCCAACAAACCCUAAGAGUUUCAACUCGAUGUUUGAAUCGACUCGGCAUAUUGGUAUUCCCACCCGCAUGGUGGUAUGGGAUAGAUACGAGUGUCGUACUAGUGGGCCGGUAGUGGUAGGUAUGUUGUUUGUCGUAAUCGCUUGCGGGACUGUUUUCUAUGGAAGUGGUGGAUGCAAGGAUUGGCAUGGAAAAUUAUCGUCGGGAUUAAGUGGACAUCCUUUUCUGAUGGACUAUUAGAUGGAAUGUUGUGCUUGAUCGGGCUGAGGCGCUCCUGCUCUAUGUAGUAGGCUAGGAUACCCGGUGAGGGCCAACGGUGAGUCGUAGGGGCAGGGACUCAGCAGAAUUUGACCCAUGGUUCUAUUUCGGGUAGGGACUUCAGGUUCUCAGGGCAGAAUAGCUUGCUAGCAGUUAUGGAAAGAGAGUUAGCGAUGGAUAGUUCGAGUGGUGGGCCAGGGGGUCAAACCGAAUCUAGGCUUCCAGAUUGCAGGUUUUAGGUGGUAAAGGAAUGUGUGCCACAUGGGAUUAUGGAAUCGUCUUCUAUAGAAUGAAAAGAUCCCCUUUGGGUUUAGUUUCCUUCGAAAGUCGUCGGAUGUUAUGGUUGAGGAGGUUCCCUCAGGAUGUCGGGUUCUAGGGAUAGUAAGGAACAAUUUUGAGGAUGAAAUCAAAUUUAAGUAGGGGAUAGUUGUAACAUCCUAAUUUUUGUCAAUUAUAGUCUCUAGGGACGGAAGGUUAAAUCCAUGAAGAGCCUAAGGGCUAAAUUGUAAUUUUGGGACCAGGAGGAGUAUGUUGCGCGUACAUAAGUGUACGCAGGGCGUACUCAUAAAAGAUGGAAACCAUAAUAAUUGGAGUUGGGGCUAUAUAAACAUCCUUAUGGUCCAUUCCCUCUCAUCACUCUUAGCCUCCAUGUUUCAAAAACGAUCCAAAACCCUAGUCCUUGUGAGAGAGUGUGAGUUGGUGGGUAUUUUGAGCUCUUGAAGGUGGAGUCAUUGCAUCAAGGAGUUGCCGAAGAAGUUUGGCUUGUAGAUCUGAUGUUGUGUUGUACCCUAGAAGCUCUAAAAGGUAAAAAGCUUCAAUAUUUAAGUUUGUAUAAUAUAGAUCUAGCCAUUCUAGCAUUUUGGAAUCAUUUCUUGUCCCAAAAUUUCCAAGAUGAUGUAUGUUGUGUUUUGGACGAAAUAAUCUGUUCUUCUAAACUCUUGGAGGGGUGUUGAGUGUUAAAAAUGAGGUCUCAAUGGCUUAUGAGGUCCCAUGCAAGUAGUAGAAAGGUCUUAAUGGAUUAAGACCUUGGAUUAAUUACAUUCUGGACGUCCAAAGUGAUAAAGUUCAACACUUUAUGAGUCCUAGGCAUAUUUGGUCGAUGGAUCUGAAGUUUGGGCUUAAGUGCUUAAGCCAUUAAGCACUUAUGAGGGAUUUUGUUUAGUUCGCUUACGCCCCGCGUAGGAAGCUUUACACCCAUCGUACAGGGUCAACGACCCCGUUAUCCAGUCAACAUGAGUCGAGGUACGCCCCAUGUACCAGAGGAGUACGCCCAACGUAUGUCCUCUGUUGGGCUUUUAGAUUUGGGUUGUUUAUGGGCUAGCUAGACUUGGGCCUUGGCUGGAGAUUAUGGAGAUGGUGUUUUGGGCCAAGUCUUGGUAAUGGAUCUUGGAUUUAGGCCCAAUUAGGUAGUUAGGUCCAAUUUGGAAAGUUGGGCCAACGAUGGGCCUUACUAUAUGGACUUAUGCAUCAUGAGUUUGGUAUUAGGCGAUGGCCCAAAUUAGAGGGAAGGCAAAUUGGGCUAUUGUUAUAAGGGAUUCUUUGCCAAAAAUUUUAUAUUCCCAUUUAUUGACUUAUUAUUCGUUGUUUUUUAUAGUUCGGGGUUGUCAGUGAGACGGUGGUUCGGGAAUCUGCUUCUUCGGUUCAGAUCGGCAUUUUGAGGUGAGUUUCCUCACUAUACUAAGGGGUCUAAGGCACCAAGGUUGGCCCAUUGGAUAUGAUAUCCCAAGAAUUAGUUGUAUGUUGCGUAUGAGACCGUAUUAUAAGAUAGUUGCUAUGACAGUUAGGUAGAUUUGUAGGACUACCUGUGUUAUUAUGUGUUUAUCUGUAUGCGCAUUAGUUGUUUUAUAUGUCGAAAUAUUAUGCUGGGUGGGUAGAGGAUACUACUUUGUGCGGUAACCAACAAACCUGGGAGCAUUCAAGAUACGAGCUGAGGGCCAGGUGGGGCAUGCCAGACUCGUACUGUGGGCUCGGUGGCUAUCCAGAUGUGAGUUGUGGGCCCGGGAGGCAAUCCAAAUUCACACUGUGGGCCCAAGGGUAAUCCAGUCUACAAAGCUGUGGACCCAGUUCAUGUUGUUAUUUGUAUAUGUGUUAGAUGCUAUGUAUCGGUAUUUUGGGGGACUCACUAAGCCUCGACUUACAGUUUCAGUUUAUUGUUUAGGUACAUCAGGGGAUCGCGACAAGGCGAAGGCGUGAUCCUACAGCUCCUCAUAAUUUGUUUAUGUUUCUGGGAAAACUCUGAUGUUAUACUAUUUUUGAAAACAAGUUUGUAUUAACUAUUGAUUUUAAAUGUUUUGAAAAGUUUAAUAUUGGCUCGAAUUUUAUGGUUAUUACAAAAACUAAUUACAAAGAGUUUAAAUCAAAACUUUUUUAACCAACCCAAAAGCAUAGGCAUAGCUAUGUAUAUUUAAGGUGGGUCCUAGGACUCACCUAUUUUUCUUAAUAAUAAUAUAAGGUAUAUAUGAAAAAAAAAAGACAUACCUUAUAAUGUUUUAAGGACCUAUCUUAUAAUCCUUGAAAAAAAACUAUUAUAUAUCAAGCUCAUAUUUUAUAUAUUUCAAUGCAUUUAGAAUAGCUUAAAGCCUUAAUCCACUUCAAAUUCAUUAGGCAAAGAGCCUAAUCCAUAUACAUUUAAAAAAAAAGAACCAAAAAGGUCUUCCAGGCUGAAGUUUUAUCAACAUCUCCUAACACGUCAUCCACAUUGUCGCUUGUUUGUUGGUCGCUAGCCAUUGUCACCCCUCUGUUUGGUGCUACCACCUCCGGCAGACCAACCUCCUACCUCCACAAUCCACUCAUGUUUGUUAUAGUUUAGUGUUGUAUAUCGAAAAAGAUGUUUUAGAAGGUAUCGAAAAAAUAAAAUUAUGAAAUAUGUUUAGAGAUAUAAGACCUUAGAGUCUAAUUGUAAGAACAAUAUUAAUUGUUAUAACUAUUGAAGUUAUGUGUAAGUAUUAGAAGACAUAUGAUUCGAGUAUCCGACCCCAUAUCAUUAAUAUUUUUUUUAUUUCUUAAAUUUUUGGAUUCACUUACAUAAGAAACCAUAUAGUUUUUGGUAUUAGAUUUUAUGAUACAUCCAUCCCUUCCAAAAAGGUAAAUAAACCAAACAUCUACCUAAUACCAAAAACAUGUUACCAAGAAACAAGAUUCUAAUAGUGAUGUGACAUUUAAAAAAGAAAACCCCUACUUCCAAUUUCGAACAAUUUUUGCUCCAUUGCACAUUUAUUAUCCUUUCUUUUUUAUUUCUCAAUCCUUGAUCCUCCGGCGAAAAUUCUAUGAGCCGAACUAAAAUACUCAAUUACUUUAUCUUGCAUUUUUAUCGGAACCAUUUGUCGAUCAAAAUCUGCUAUCCAUUUUAAUGAAUCCGUAAGCUCAUCAAGAAUAAUAGAGAAGUUCAUUCUUAUACAACCCAUUUUGGUUCACAAUUCAUACCAAAUCUCCCAACAUUGGAAGUUCGUUUUUUCCUAAAAUCCUUUUGGUGUCAUGAUUUUCUUUAUCGGCUUAUUUUCUUCGGUAAUAUGUUUGGUUUUCUUCAAGGCUUGUUUCAUCGGAUCUAUCAGCUGCCCGUCUUCAAAAGGGUUUUUCAAUCCGUCAAUGAUACCAUGUAAAAUUUGUUUUUUCUUGUUUUUUACAUAAGUAAAUACAGUGGGUUACAAAAAAAAUGACCCCUGUAAUAUUGCAAAAAAUGAACUCACUAUUUUGGAAGGGUUCAAGUUAGUUCUAAGAUAUAUAUGACCAAAAAUACACGAGAGAAGAAUAUUUGGUUUCUUUCACAUUGUUUCCAAAGCUGAUUUGUCAUCGGAUGAAAAGAAAAUGAUGUGCUAGAAAAUACAAAAUUCCAAAAAAUAUUAUUAUUACCACACAAGAUUACAAGAAAUGAGGAGAUGGGAAGGUAACAGAUUUCACUUAUCUGGACACCCACGUAACCUUUCGGUACUAACCGUAGUACCUUCUUUUGAGAGAUAAUCCUCUAUCUAAAAGAGUAGAGGCUUGUAUCAUAUAGUCUUUGAGAGGGUAUGGCUAUAAGUGGGUUGCUUUUCUUAGUCACAAGUCCAAACUCAACAAAAUUCUCCAAAUCUUUAUCUUCUGGUAGGUUCCAACCAAAUGAGUGGAACAAUGAUGCUAAUAUAUGCAUCAACAUCUAGGUCAUCCCAAAGACAUAUCCUUUCAGAUGUAGGCUUUCCAUAGCCCCCUCAAGCAUAAAGGUGCCAGUCUCAUGCAAGCUUUAAGUCAUGUAUUAAGCCCUUUUUGAGCUAUAGAGCCUUGUUUAACCUUGCAUGAAUGUAAGUUAGCAACUAUAUGUGUUUUCACAACUCAAUAAGGUUAGAUCUUUGUUUUUGGGUGCUAUCUUAAGGUAUUAAGAGCUUAAUGUGAGAUUGGGCUUAGCAGGGGAGUAUGUUGGGUGUACCAGCUAGUAUGCACAGCGUACAAGCCCCAUAGCGUGUACGCCAAGCGUACAGCUGGGUACGCCUUGUGUACUCAAUCUUUGGGCUUGUAGUUUGGGCUUUUCGAGUGGGCUCCCUUUUUAGGCUUAGAUACUUGGAUUCUCGUUGGGCUUCUGGAUAUGAGUGUUUUUGGGAUGAUUGGAAAAUUAGACCUUAGGAUAACGCCCAAUUUGGAAAAUUGGGCCAAUUAUGGGUCUUAAGUUAAGUUGGGCCUUUUUGGAUCAAAUACUUGUACUUGGGCCUUGGCCCAAUUAGGAAAAGGCUAAAAUAGACAAUUACCCUAUGUUUGGACCUUUAGUGAAGAAUGGUAUCCAAAAAGUUAAUUGGGUGUUUGUUUAUUGCGAUAGUUCGGGAUUUUCAAUGAGUCAACAUUCAUUGAUUUCAGUGUAGCUUGACAUUUGAGAGGUGAGUAUUCCUCACUAUACUUUCGGGUCAAAGUCAACAAGGUCGACCCCUUAGGAUUGUUAUCCUGAUUAUCAAAUGAUUGAGUGUUGUAGUGAUCUGUUAGAACUAAAUUCAGGUAGAUAGGAUGCUGCUAUGCUUAUUGAUCUGAAUGAUUGGUGUUUGACUAUUGAUUGAUUAUAUGUUAUGAGCUAUAUAUAUGUCGACAUGUGUGUGUUGUUGGGUUGAGGCGGUCCUACUUUGUGCUGAAGGCCCAUAGACCCAGGGCGGUCUGGAUAGACUGAAGGCCAACGAGGCGUACCGGUUAGGUCGAAGGCCCGGAGAGUCGUCUAGAUAGGCUGAAUGCCUACUGUGGCAGUCCAGAAAUGUUGAAGGUUCAGUAUGUAUGUUGUCGCUGUGAUAUUUAUGAUUGUGUAUUGUUGGAGUAUUUUGGAGGAACUCACUAAGCAUUGGGCUUACAGUUUGGAUUAUGUUUCAGGUACCUUAGAGGAUCGCAGGAAGGAAAAUGCAUGAUCGUGCACCCCCUAAUGUUUGUGUUUUAUGAUUUUGGGAUUUCUUUUGAUGUGAAACUUAUUUUGAAAACACUUUGUAAACAAUUAUGAUAUUGGGUUGUUUUAAAAAGUUUAAAAUUUUCAAGAAUUUUGAAUCUUACACAUAAAGUGAUUCGGGCCUUUUAUGAAUUUUGGAUUUAGUUUCAGGAAGUUUUAAGGUGAAAGAGAGUUGAUGGGAUUGUAGAGCACCCUAUUACCUUUCUGUGGAUAUAUGGAUCGUCGUGUAGCAUCCCAUUUAUUAAAUAAAUAAAUAUAUAAGGGUUAAAAGUGUAAGUUCCUGAUUGGUUUUGUAAAUAUUUAUGAAGGCGGGGGCCGCAUGGUAAUUAUUGGGACUUAAAUUAAAAGGAUUUUUAAGUGUUGAGGGUUUAAAGGGGAAUUUAUAGGGCUAGUGUUGUAAUUAAUUGUUAAAGAUACGGGCGGUUUGGUAAAUAUUGUACUUAGUUCGAAAGAAGAAGGAGAAUGAGGGACCGAAUGUGUCAUUAUGGCCAAUGUUUGUAAUGGACGAGAGUAUAUAAAUAAAUCCAUCUGUCUAACCCUUAACCUAACCCUAAUGGACACUACAGCCGCCACCUAAUAUCCCCUCACCACCGGCCGCCACCCAUAUCAUCGCCAGUGUGUGUGUCAUUAUGGCCAGCGUGUGUGUUAUUGUGUUGUUGGGCAGAGGAUACAGAGAAUUACCGCCACCACUGUGAGGUGGUGGCUACCAUUGCAAACCAGCCCUGUCGCCGCCAUCUCGUGUCAUCGCCGUCAUACGUCGUCAGGUGGGUGUUUAGGUUCACCUUGCAAGAAGAAAGCAUGUGUAUGUGUUAUGUGUGCUUUGUUUGGCUGAAAAACCGAGAAAAGGCCACCACAGCCACCGUGAGGUGGUGGUUACCACCAUGUACCACCCCAACCACCACAAGAGUGGUUGUGUAUGUAUGUGUUUACUUUAUGUGUGUGUGCAUUCAUUUGAAUAUUUCAUUGUAAUAUUGUAAUUUGGAUUGAAAUGAUUAAGAAAUCCGUCACCACCACCGUGAGCCGCCUUUAACCACCACUACCUGAGGUGGUACUGGGUGGUACGCGACUUAUCUAAUAUUUAAUUUACCCAAAAACUUAACAAAUAGAGUAAUUAGGAUAUGACUGGAUUUGGAAACCCUAAUUAGGGUUUAGAAAACCCUAAUUUUGUAUAUGUUAAUUUGGAAAUGUCAGGACCCGCGUUUGGGCCAGAGUACUAAAGUUAUGAAUUAUAUCGAUUCCAUUUUAUGCUGGCUUAGUGGAAUAAUUGACUUAAUGGGUUAUGUCCUUAAUGGGUUAAGUGAGAACACUUAACGCUAAUAAUCAUUUCAUGUGAAAUACCCUAAUCGUGUUGGGUUUUGAGUUGGGCCUUCUCUAUUGGACCUAGAUGUUUGGACUAUUGUUGGGCCAUCUAAGAACAAUCAUAUAGGCUAAGAAUAUAUGGAUGGGCAUUAGGGUAAGGCCUAUGUGAGGGUUUGGGCCUAAUUUGGAAAAUUGGGCCAUAGGUGGACCAUAAUUGAUCCUUUGUGGACCCCCUUUUAGUCUUGGUCCUUGGUGGGAUCAAUGAGUUAGGUCAGUAAUGGGCCUGGUUAGAUGGGCCAUCUAUUGGACAUAGUGUUAAUGUAUAACCUCGUAUAGCUUUUGAUUAUAGUGUUGGGUUGUUCUGGCUCAAUUCAGGAGCCCAUGAGCAACAACAGUGACAGCGUAGGGUUUCUCACAUACAAAUUGAGGUGAGUUUUCUCACUAUACUAUAACAUCCCAUGUGUUCAUGCAAACCCUAAAGCUUGGAUCUAGGUUUCUAUAUUGUACAUGCAAUUCAUCCAAGACUUACAAACCCUAGAUCUAACAUGUAAGAUUCAAAAUUUACAUAUGAAAAAUAGAUCUACAUGAUUACCUUGAUUGUUGAUUGUAGAUAUUGAAGCCUUGAAAACUUUAGUACCUCAAAUGUUGUGCCUCUAAUGAAUCACAAACACCAAAAGCAAUUGGAUAGAACAAGAGGGAGAGGGAGGGGAAAAUUUUGGCUCUAAGACUUCUAGGGUUAGGUGUAGUCUAAUUCUCAUGCCUAAGGGGUUCUUAUAUAGGUGUAGAAAUUAGGGUUUCAGUCAUUAUCCUUAUCUGGUUACUUAGCCACCAAGCAACCCAUAAGAUAAUUCUAGAAUCUCCAUUAUGGACGAAUUCUUAAAGCCUUAUCCUUAGAAUUCGUCCACCCUAUCACUUACGGUUUCUUUGCCUAACCUUGUAGCUAUCACAUAAUUACAAUUCAGUCCCCCUAGUUCAAUUAACUUUUUUUUAUCACAAAAUUAAUUCUUAAUUUAUUUUUGACCAAUGUUAAUUAAACAAAUAUGAUUUCUCUUUUAAUACAUUAGUCUUGUAACAUAUUAAUAAACUAUAAUAACGUCUUUCUCUAUAAUUUCUCCAGCCAAGUUGCUUUGGUGAAGGCAACCCAAAUGGACCAUGCACAAUCAUUUCAAGUACAUACCAAAUAUAUAUAUGGACUUAGAUACUAAUCCAACAGUCUCCCACUUGGAUAAGUCUAAUAACUUCAAAUGUAAAUGUAACUUCUGGAUCCGAUUAGCAAUCGCAGUUCUCAAAACUCUUAAUCUUAUCAAUAACCUAUCCUUAAGAUAAGGGAUCAUAUAGUCCUCCGUUCUAGAUAUCAUGCAAACAAUUACAUGGAGCACAAUCAUACUCAUUGUCCAGCAAUUCGUUUCUCGAUCUCAGAUCCAUUUAACAUAGAACUUAAUUGAACACAUCAAUUCAGUCCUGACCGGGCUCGACACAUAAGUCAAAACAAAUCAUCGAGGGGCCCUGAUUUCGCUUUUACCCUAUUAAGAUAAAAAGAACAGAUAAACUUCGACUUAUAUGCAUUUACUACUUACUAAUCAAAUCAUACACAACAAUGCACUUUAUAACAUCAAGUUACUGAUGCGUUUACGCCUUAUCAAUGCACAACCAAUUCGCAAACAAUAAACCAUAUAUCUAGGUUUUAAGACCAUAUGAUAUUAUCAUCUUGCGAUCACUCAUGAUAAAUUCCAUGAAAUGAUUCUAGCAAGCGUGGGUUUAUUACAAUGCUCAAAUCUAAUUCAUAAGUACUCAUGAACGUUGUAGCAAACUUUUUCUAUGUCUAAUACACUUUAGACAAUCUACACACCAUUUCAUGACAGUCUUCAUUCAUAUCUACUUCCAACAUAUGAACGAAUCUGGACCGUUCGAAUAAUUUUAUUAUUCAGGAAGUCAAAACAUGCAAAAUGAAACAAUGGGUAAACAAUUAACACAAGAUGGUAACUUUACUAAUAAAUAAUACCUAUUUAUUUAAUUAUCAAAUGUUAAUUACAAUUUAUCUAUUACACGUUUCUAAACUAUAUAAUCUAAACUAAUAUUAUCCUUCAGCCCAAUGCUCCUAGCGUGCUGCAAGUGCUUAACCCUAGUCAGUCCCUUCAUAAGCGGAUCUAUCGGGUUAUCCUCCGAUGAUACCCUCUUCACUACGAGGAGUCAUUCUUCUACCCGAUGCCGAAUAAAGUGAUAUUUUAUGUCGAUAUGUCGACAUCUGCCAUGAUCCCUUGCUUCCUUGGUCAAGGAAACCGCUCCUUCAUUAUCACAGAAAAUUUUCAUAGGCUCCUGUAUGGAUGACACAACUCCAAGGCUCCAAUAAGGUUCUUUAACCAUAUUGCCUCCUUUGACGCUUCGCUCGCUGCAAUGUACUCUGAUUCGCACGUUGAAUCAACUACAGUCUCCUGCUUGGAACUUUUCAAAGUCACUGCUCCUCCAUUAAGGGUAAAGACCCAGCCCAACUACGAACGAUAGUUGUCCCUGUCAGUCUGAACACUGGCAUCACUGUACCCUCGCACCUUUAAGUCAUCACUCCCACCGAGGACUAGAAACCAUUCCUUGGUCCUCCGAAGGUACUUAAGAAUAUUCUUGAUUGCACUCCAGUGUGCUUUGCCAGGGUUCCCUUGAUAUCUGCUGACCAUGCUCAAAGAGUAGGCCACAUUAGGGCUAGUUCAAGUCAUAGCAUACAUGAUCGAGCCAACUGCGGAAGCGUAUAGUACUCGGCUCAUCUCUCCAAUCUCGACUUCGGUACUCAGAUUUUGAGUCUUACUUAACUUGGCAUUACUUUGGAUUGGUAACCCCACCCCUCUUGGAAUUCUCCAUACUAAAACAUUUUAGUACCCUGUCCAACUAAGUAUUCUAACUAAGUCCUAUUAGUCUUUUGCUCCUGUUUCUCACUAUCCUUAUUCCCAAAAUAUAGGCAGCCUCUCUGAGUUCCUUUAUAGAGAAACACUUCCUAAGCCAAGACUUUACUUCUUGCAGCGUCGGGAUGUCGUUUCCUAUGAGUAGUAUGUCAUCGACAUACAAUACGAGGAAGCUUAGUAUAUUCCCACUGGCUUUGACAUAUACACAUGAUUCAUCCUCGCUUCAUAGAAAACCAAACUCUUUGACUUUCUCAUUGAAACAAAGAUUCCAUCUACAUGACGCUUGUUUUAGUCCAAAAAUAGACUUCUCAAGCUUACACAAUCUAUUGGGAUGCUUUGCAUUGACAAAACCCUCUGUUUGAGCCAUGUAAACAUCCUCCGCCAACUUCCCAUUAAGGAAAGCGGUUUUGACAUCCAUCUGCCAUAUUUCAUAGUUAUGAAAUGCAGCAAUGGCCAACAUCACCCUAAUAGACUUUAUCUUCGCAACCGGUGAGUAAAACCCUUCGCAGCUGUUCAUGCCUUAUAAGUGUGCACAUUCCUAUCCAUGUCGGUCUUCUUCUUGAAGAUCCACUUGCACCCGACCGUUUUACGACCUGGUACAUUGUCAACCAAAUUCCAAAGUUGGUUGUCAUAUAUGGACUAAAUCUCGUUGUCCAUUGCCUCUUUCCACUUCGCAGACUCAGGCCUGCCAUGGCUUCCUUAUAGCUGUUAGGUUCAUCCAAAUUUAUUAGUGUACUAUCACUAAUAUAUGUAUCACCCUCACUUUUUAUAUGAAAACCAUACAACACGGGUGGAACACUAACUCUACUGGAACGUCUAAGAGGUAAUGAUUCGUCAAUCGUUUCAACCUGAGUUUCCUCCUCAGGUUGAGCGCCAGCGUUAGAGGUUCCUUCAUCGCUCGAAUCUUGAAGCUCUUCAAGAUUGAUUUGUCUCCCACUGUCCCCUUGGCUUAUGAGUUCUCAUUCUCGGAAAACCCUCUCCUUGCAUCGAAGACAACAUUGUCACUCAGUCUAUAGAAGAGAUGUCCAAAGGACUUCUGCGGGUAGCCGAUGAAAAUACACUAAUCAGUACGAGGCUCGAGCUUGUCUUAAGUCUCUAGUCUUACGAAAGACUCGCAACCCCAAGCCUUGAUAUGUGCCAACGAGGGAGAUUUCCUUGUCCACAUCUCAAGAGGUGUUUUGGCAACCUUCUUCGUAGGGACUAAGUUAAGGAUAUGGGCGGCAGUGUCUAAGGCAUACACCCAGAAUGAGAUAGCUAGCGAAGCAUCACUCAUCAUGGAACGAACCAUGUCUAGCAAGGUUCGAUUAAGCCUCUCAGCCACACCAUUCAACUAUGGUGUCCUAGGUGGCAUCAAUUGCAAAACAAUUCCACAUUCCUUGAGGUAGUCGUGAAAUUCAAGACUUAGGUACUCUCCUCCUUGAUCGAAUCGAAGUAUCUUAAUUUUCCUAUCCAACUGAUUCUCCACUUCUUGUUUAAACUCUUUGAACUUUUCAAAGGUUUCUGACUUCUACUUGAUUAAGUAGAUAUACCCAUAUCUACUAUAAUCAUCGGUGAAAGUCACAUAGAAGCGAUUCGCAUCCCUUGUGGUGGAUCUAAAGGGCCCUCACACAUCAAUGUGUGUGAGAUCCAAUAAACCCUCACCCCUUUCACAAGUACUAAUGAAGGGUGACUUGGUCAUCUUUUCAAGUAAACAAGAACCGCACAUGUCGUUGUCCCUAAGGUCGAAUGACUCUAACACUCCAUCCUUUUGGAGUUGGGCUAUGCGUUUCUUGUUGACAUGUCCAAGACGACAAUGCCACAGGCAUGAUUUAUCCAAACUAUUGGAAGAAUCAACACACAACACAUCAUUUCCUAAAUUAUCUACAACCAUCACAGUUUCAUAUAUUCCAUUACAAGGUAAUUCUUCAAAAUAUAAAACACCAUUAAGAUAAGCAUAAAUAGAACCCUUUUCAUUAUCAAAUGAAUAUCUAAAUCCUUGUCUAUAUAAACCACGAAAAGAAAUGAUGUUUAUUGCCAUAUCUGGCGAAUAGCAACAAUUAUUUAAAUCAAAACCUAUUCCAUUACUAAGCACUAAGGAAUAAACUCCAAUCUUGGUGACAGACGACGAUCAUCUGUUUCCCAUGAUUAGAUUUAUUUUCCCACACUCCACAUCCAUAUUUCUUCUUAGUCACUACAAAUCAGAACAUAUGUGAAAACCACAUCAUGUGUCAAGAAGCCAAGAAAUAGCAUGCGAUGAAUCAUUAGAUUUAAUAGUGUAAAUACCUAUGAAGGACGACUUGAUAUUCCCAUCCUUGAUAGUUUACAGAUACUUUGGGCAGCUUCGUUUCCAAUGCCAUAUCUUGUGGCAGUGGUGGCACUCUGCCUCUUUAGGGUUAGAGUUGGGUUUAGCAGAACCAGCCUUGGUUCCACUAAAAGAGGUACCAUCUUGGGACUUUCCUUUGUGGUUGCUCUUUGUGGGAGCCUUCCUUUUCUUACCUUUCCCUUGCCCUAUUGCCAAGAUAGGGGCAGCAACAGGAGCAGGAGUUAAUGCAACAGACUUAUCUUUGAGAUUGCUCUCAGCAGUCCUUAGCAAGCCUUGAAGCUUGCUCAAGGUGACCUCUUCCUUAUUCAUGUGGUAGGUCAUACGGAACUGGUUGUAUCAGGUAGGCAAGCAAUGAAGGAUGAUGUUGAUUGCCAGCUCUUCAUCGAAAUUAACAUUUAACUUCAGUAGGCAAUCAACAUAUCUCUGCAUCUUUUGCAGAUGGGCGGUAAGCGACUCUUCAUUACCCAUUUUGUAGUCAUCAUCGAAGUGAUGAUCUCGUACCUUUCUUGCCUAGCGCUCUAGUGGUACCGGUCCAGUAAGUCUUGAUGCAUCUCAUAGGGAUACAUGUCCUCGUAGGACUUCUGGAGGUCUACAGUCAUGGUCGCUAGCAUGAUGCAAUGGACCUUCAUAGGAUCACUCUCAUGGGUCUCAAAGGCAGCGAUCUCUUCAGCAGUGGCAAUGUUGAGAUUAAGUGAAUGACGAUUUACUAAUUCUCCACCAUGAAAACUGAAAAAUAGAUUAAGUUUUAUAUGUAUUGAAAACUCCUGUAUCUUUUGAGAUUCAUUGAACUUUUCAAUGGCAUGUUUAAAUCUUGAUAUGACCCUCUCGUUUGUGACUGGGAUGCCAAGGAUCUCAAAGCGGGUGUAGAUAACCAUGCAAAUGUACAUGGUGCCCUCAUUGUUAUAGUUACCUAUUUGAUGUGUCGGUUAACCACACACGCUCCAUCGAACUAUGACAAACAAUGAGUCACCCUUUGCCACCUUUGCUUAGAGCCCAAUUAGUGUGUCGAUUAACCACACACGCUCCACUAACAUCUUAGCAAUGGUACAAAGUGUAAUUUCAUGGAAUCGCAUCAAUUAACUUUUGCCUAAAGUAACUAAGAUUGGGAAUUUUGGAAAAACAUUUAGUUACUUUUAUAAUUCAUUAUACCUACUAAUGAGGAAAGGGUUUCCCUAUCCUACCCGUUCGGCUAACGACCCUCCACCAAUCAAGGAAGCGGUGAGUGAGAGUGGACACCCAUUAAACGGCCAUUUUAUAGGCUAUAACCUUAUACCCCCCUUAUAGAUCGGCUUCGUGAAUGAGGCCUAUUAACGGUAGGACUAUCAUUUAAGUUAUACAUAUAUAAUAUUAGACUUUUAAUGNAUAUAUAUAUAUAUAUAUAUAUAUAUAUAUCUUGUAAUAAUAUAAUAGUAAAUGAUGAAUUUUAAACAUGUAAAAUUCUAGGGUUUGAAGUUUAAAUAAGUCAAAUUAAACUUUUAAGCAAAAAAUUCAAAUUUCAAAACUUGAGGGCAAGUUUUGAACUUUUCAAAACACAUGGGAUCAAAUAGCAAAUAAUUUAAAAUUAAACAUUUAAUUUAAGGAUUAUCUAAAUUUGACCUAAUCCAUUUUAUUUACAAGACAACUCAACAAUUAAUUUAAAUAAUCAAAUAUUAUCAAAUGAGAAACUUAUUAUUCAAACAGUUGGUAAUUAUCUUUUGUUUUGUCAAGGAUAAUCAACAACAAAAAAAUUCAGAUUUUAUUAGUUAAAAAAAAUUUAGGCAAUUAUCCUUAAGCAAAACAACAAGAAAUCUUGAAAAUCCCUCUGUCAGACGCUCCGACUCGCCGAGUCACUCACUGGACUCGCCGAGUUGGACUGACUCGGCGAGUCCAGAUAGUGACGCGCCGAGUCAGGUCGGGUAGAGGACAAAAAAAACGAUUUUUAGAGAGGAUGAACAUACAAGGCAUCAAUACAAAAGAAACCAAUCAAGGCUCUGAUGCCACUGAUGGGUUUUACACAAAAUAACAUCCUAUGUGUUCAUGCAAACCCCAAAGCUUGGAUCUGGGUUUCUCUAUUGUUCACACAAUUCAUCCAAGACUUACAAACCCCAGAUCUAGCAUGCAAUAUUUGAAAUUUACAUUUCAAAAACAUAUCUAGAUGAUUACCUUGAUUGUUGAUUGUAGAUCCUGAAGCCUUGAGAACUUUAGCACCUCAAAUGUUGUGCUUCUAAUGAAUCACAAACACCAAAAGCAAUCGGAUUGAACAAGAGAGAGAGGGGAGAGGAAAAAUUCGGCUCCAAGACUUCUAGGGUUAGGUGUAGCCGAAUUCUCAUGCCCAAGGGGUUCUUAUAUAGGUGUACGAAUUAAGGUUUCAUUCAUUAUUCUUAUCUGGUUACUUAGCCACCAAGCAACCCAUAAGAUAAUUCUAGAAUCCCCACUAUGGACAAAUUCUUAAGGCCUUAUUGUAAACACUCGUAGAUCCUAGCUAGUCAAUUUAGAGACAAUAAGCAUCAAAAAUGAGUUUUUGAUGGAAUACUAUUUAGAACGAUUAAUCUUUUCCAAGUGGUAGUAUAUGUUACAAGGGUUCUGUACAUAUAAAAAACGCGAAAUCCGAGUUAUAACGAAGAAGUUAUGACUCGUCGAAGUUUUUCUGCAAAACCGACACGGCGCCGGGAAACGUAAAUAGUGAAUUUACGAUCGAGGACUUUUUAGCCUUAUAAAUCUAAAAAAAAGUUGUAGUAUACGUUAAACUGAGAAUAUACAAAAAAGAACGCCUAAAUCUGACUUCGUAUGAGGAACUUAUGAAUUUUCUAAGAUUUGUCAUAGCAAUACACGAUCCAAAACUCGAAUUUUAGAUCGAGUGGAUUUUGGACUACACGACCUAAAUGAGAGUUGAAGAUCUCAUUAAUAGGAAGUCAACGAUAAAAAGACAGAGGCAAAUGGAGUCCGUAUGAAAGAGUUACGUAUUUUUUGCGGUCAUUUAACAGUAUCAUCUCCUCCUACUGUUAAAUUUAAUAUCGGACGAGAAUCAGCCGACAGAGUCAAAAUGAAAGUUCUAGAUCUUAUUUUUACCUACGCGCGGAUGUAAAGAACGUCAAAAACGGAGCCUGUAUGUGAAAGUUACAGAUUUUAGAAGUCGGAAGUGUGCUGUGCAAAAAUGGGUGACGUGACACAAUCUUAGCCAUUGCUUUCUCCCCAAGUCUUACCACCAGAUGGUGACAUGUGGCACCAAGUUCAGCCAUAUUUCACCCUAUAAAUAUAACCACUCCCACCCUUAUUUUCUUCACACCUUUCCCAUUCUUUCUUCUCUUUACACUCUCUCUAAACCUCCCAAAACUCCCUAACGCUAGAAGAAAGCGUCGGAGCGCUCGACGACUUCGAGAAGAAGAGCUUUCGGCUCGGAAGUUUUUCCCCUGCAGAGCCCGACUUCUAGCCAAACCCCCUCGUAGGUAAGAUACGCCUACGCUAUUUUAAAUAUAGUUGUUAUUUAAAUAUAGUAAUGUUAUUAGGAUCCUAUAAUAAAUAUUUGGGCUAUUAUUAUGAGUUAUAUAAGUGUCAUUAUAAUAUCUUUUUAACCACUCGCGGCAUGGAGAAUCUGGUUUGGAGGGCUGUUUGGGUUGCUGGAUUUCAGAAUUGCUAUAUGCCAAAAUGAUCAUGUCCUCCGGUGUUCCAUGUCUGGCCCUUGUCUGUACAUACUGGGUGAAAACUAUUGUGUUAACGCUUAUAUAAUAGUAAUAAUAGUUAGACUAUUAAUUAGUCUCUUCGAGCAUUAGACUAAACUCUAGUGGUAAUGAUAUUAGGUUUUGUCAAAGGAAAAUUGUGUUAAGAGUACCGAAGUGCUGUCCGAGUGUCGAGUCACCACCUUUUCAAGUGAGUGUAUAGUUACUUUAAUCUUACAAAUAGAUAUGAAAUAUUUUAUAUAAAUUAUGUGUUAUGUGUGCGUAUUAUCUAAAUACUUUUUGUUUAUGUUGGAUGAAUUAUUUUAUACAUCUUUUAAAUGAUUCAAACUGUAUAUUUAUUUUAUAUCUACAAAUAUGUUGGGAUAAAAUAUUGGUUGAUGAAAUAGUUGGUGUGUGAUGAAAUAAAAUGAUGAGAGACAGGUCAAGAUAAGAAGGUGAUGAUAAUUAGGUUAUGAUGAACUGGUGAUGUAGGAUGAAAGAUACCAUAACCUUGUCCGGCAAUGUGUAGAUGUAGUCAUCUAACAGAGUAUAGAUGGCGACCACGGACUAUACUAGACAACCCCGUGGAAACACGAGCAUGCUCAUAACCUAUAGGUGAUGAAUUAUGAGUUCAGGAAAUGUUGUAACUACGUAUUCAUGUGAUGAUACUCUAACCCUUACUAUGAGUUACGAGUUCAGGCGAUGUUGUAACUACGUAUUCAUGCGAUGAUACUCCAACCCUUACUAGGCGUGUAUCGAGGGGUUAAUCCCCGAAUCAUUACUGUCUAUGUGGUGUAGGCAAUGAUCCUUACGAAAAGUCCUUAGGAACGAACAUAUAAGGAAAUGUGAUGUAAAGAAAUGAGAGGUAAAUCCAAUAUAGGAGAUGAUAAUUCCUUAGGGAAUAUUAAAUGAAGAAAAUGGGGAUGGGCAAUCGGGUUAAUUGUUUGACAUGUAUUAUAUGAAGAAACAAAUUAACUAUAUUAUUGUGGGUUGAAAACCCGAUGUACUCACCAGGUUUCCCAACCUGACCCUCUCAGUUUAUUUAUAUCACAGGUGUUGAUAUGAAGUCACUUUACAGUGAGAGAUUAAGGAGAUAUAAAUCACCAGUGAUAAUGAAAGUAAGUUCUGUUUCUGCUUUUGUUUCUAUAGUGACGAUGACAUCCCAAAUGUUUUAAAAUGAAUAAAAAUACAUUUCUUCGGAAAUGCUUUGAUAACGUAUUUAUCAUGUUUUACUGGGAAGAAAUUAUGCAACAUUUUUUUUAUUAAAAGAGGUACUCUAAUUUUUAUAAAUCAUAAACAGAAUCAGUCUUUUUUUGCCGUGAAAAAUGGGGAUGUCACACUUAUCCUUAGAAUUCGUCCACCCUAUCAUUUAGGGUUUCCUUGCCCAAACUUGUAACUAUCACAUAAUUACAAUUCAGUCCCCCUAGUUCAAUUAACUUCUUUUGAUCACAAAAUUAAUUCUUAAUUAAUUCUUGACCAAUGUUAAUUAAACAAAUAUGAUAAGAUUUGGUUUGGACCUUGGAUAAGAUUUGGUUUGGACCUUGGAUUUUUGGAAGGAUAAGAUUUGGUUUGGACCUUGGAUUUUUGGAAAUGACCUUAAUUAUUGACUAAGGAUAUUUGUUUAUGAUUAGUGUGGGGUUUCCAAUAGUGGCAAUGUUUACCCACUAGGAUUUGUUAUAUGCUAGUAGUCUUUGUGGCUAUUUAAUGGUAUUUGGGCUAGAGCCAUUCUAUGACCGGUUAGUCCCCUUUGUAUGUUGAGAUGGGCCGAUGGAUUAGAAAAGGCUAGGCCAAUGUAUGCUGUGUAGGAUGCUAGUUGUGUUUAUGACUCUUGCAUGGUAUGUCGUGCUGGGCCCAUUGUAUGAGGGCUAGGCCCAUUAUGGUCGGUUGGCGCCAAUGUGAGAGCUAGGACUAAUAGUAUGUAUGCUAUGUGGUAUUUUGAGGAAAUCACUAAGCAUUGUGCUUACAUUUUUUAUGGUUUGUUUUCAGGUACUUCCGGUUCUGAAGGGACGGGGUCGACUUCAUCGUAAAGCUUCAACCCAUGUUUCCGCAACUUUAUGAUUUUGGGAUCGUACUCUAAUAACUGCUUUAUUCUGAUAUACUUUUGGAUAUUUGAAAAUCGAUUACUCGUCUUACCAGGUGAAUUAAAAAUGAAAAUUUUACCUUGUAAUUUUUGGGAUGUUACAGAUGGUGACUAACAUUGACUGUUCAUUAGAGAAAUAGAGAGAAGAGGCGGUGGCUAUAGUCGGUUCUGUUGCGGAAGAAGAAGAGAGUCGGCAACAACGGAGUCCAUAGAAGGGCAACGAGAGAGAAAGAGGGCACGAGCUGUGGUAAAUGGAGUCAAUCCCGAUGAGAUAAUGACUACAAUGUAGAUAGAAAGAUAGAAGAUUGAAAAUCAGAGACCGUAUGGAAGAGAAGGAACCAUUGGAGGGAGGCGACAACAACAUCGAAAGAGGUUGACUUGGAAAACAGAUCCGAGAAAGAAGAGGCCAACCAAUGAGAGGGUCAUUUGAGGAGGAGAUAGUAGGUGCGGAAGCAAAGGCCAUCUGAGGAAGAGGUAGAAGCAGGCGAGGUAGAAGCAGAUGAAGGAAUUUCGGCUUGAUGCCGACGACUAUAUUACUAUUCACUAGAAAAGAGAAGAAAAAGGAAAAUAUUGAUCAUAAUGAAGGCACAUAUGACGACUGUUAGAAACAGUCGUCAGAUCUGGAGGACGAUAGCUGCGGGUUUUGGUCGGGAGUAGAGUUUUAACCUAGAGCUCUAUGUUAGAUAAUGAUUGAUUUGCUUGAUUACUCAAAUGACAAUUACAUAGGAAUAUAUAGAGAGUAUACCAUAAGUGGCGUGGUCCUAAACCCUAAUCACUAAGAUAUUCCAUGAUCUGUUUGGUUGUUAGCCAAAUGGACAAAGUUCAAUUUUUACAAGUUCCUUUAAUUUCCUUGUUGGACGUUGCCAAAAGAAUGAAAGAUUUAAGGGGGAAGAUUGCAACACUUAUAUAAGAGAAUGUUUCAGUUUGAAUUAUAUUUUAUUGUCAAAUGGGUAAAAUAAAGAACAUCUAAAGCUAAAAAUAGGACUAUAUUUAAUGAAUUUUGAAUUCAUGUCAAAUUUUAAUUAUUUUGUUUUAGCAGGUCCGUUUUCUUGAUAUGCAUGAAGUUAGGAUGCUAUUUCCCCUUAAAAUUGCACAUGAGUCUUUAUGUCAAUGACAAAGAAUAUCAUGCAAUAUUGAGGUGAAGACAAUCAUAUGCUAAAGCCGAUCAAGAAUAUUAUAAAAAUACAGAAAGGUUUUGCGGCAAAAUGUUAUUAUUAAGUUUUUUAGGUUCCACAACAAGGAGAAACCAGAACGCCCACAAAAUAUAUAUAUAUAUAUUGAUUGUGGGCGUUCUGGUUUCUGAACCUAGAAUGUAAAAGUGGAUACAGGGACAUGUCUUAUAAAUUAUAAUUAUAAAAUUAGAUGUGAAAUAUAAUAUCUUUAAUAUGGACAAAGGUGACAGAUGAGUACAAAGGUGGGAUGAAAUUCACUAAAGUCACUCUUGAUUAAUAUUAUGUUGAAAAUGAAGCAUACGGAGAAUGAUGAUUGUGGAAUUUAUUUACAGGCUAUACAAGUUCAAGUUAAAUCCUCUGAACAUUUUGCAUCUAAAGGUGGUCUUCAAAAACAUGAAACAAGUCAGUUUUCCUUUUUUUUUUUAAUAAUAAAUCUUUUGAAAGCUAAUUAGUUCUCUAAAUUUAUUUACCUAGUCUGAAUGUACUGUUAUAGUUUGUUUUGACGUGUUCGAUGUCUCAGUUUUUCUGAAAAGAGAACCAUGUCUAGCCAAAAUAAUUCCAAUAAAACUAAUUACAGAGAGUUUAAGUCAAAACUUUUUUAAACAACCCAAAAACAAAGGCAUAGCUAUGUAUAUUUAAGUUGGGUCUUAGGACUCACCUAUUUUUCUUAAUAAUACUAUAAGGUAUAUAUGAAGAAAAGAAGAAGACAUACCUUAUAAUGUUUUAAGGACCUAUCUUAUAAUCUUUGACAAAAAAAAAAAACUAUUAUAUAUCGAGCUCAUAUUUUAAAUAUUUCAAUGCAUUUAGAAUAGCUCAAAGCCUUAAUCCACUUCAAAUUCACUAGGCAAAUAGCCUAAUCCAUAUAAAUUAAAAAUAAAAAAAUAGAACGGAAAAUGUCUUCCAGGCUGAAGCGUUAUCAACAUCUCCUAAUACAUCAUCCACAGUGUCGGUUGUUUGCUGGUCGUUGGCCGUUCCCCUCUGUUUGGUGCUACCACCUCCGGCAGACCAACCUACUACCUCCACAAUCCACUCAUGUUUGUUAUAGUUUAGUGUUGUAUAUCGAAAAAUAUGUUUUAUAAAGUAUCGAAAAAAAUACAAUUAUGAAUUAUAUUUAGAGAUAUAAGACUGUAGAGUCUAAUUGUAAGAACAAUAUUAAUUAGCAUAUGAUCCGAGUCAUCCGACCCCGCAUCAUUAAUACUUUUUUUAUUAUUUUUAUUUUUUCGGAUUCACUUACAUAAGAAAUCAUAUGGUUUUUGGUUUUAAAUUUACAUCCAUCCCAUCCAAAAAGGUAAAUAUAAACCAAAACAUCUACCAAAUACCAAAACAUGUUACCAAAAAACAAGAUUCUAACAUUUAAGAAAAAAAAAACCACUUCCGUUUUGGAACAAUUUUUGCUCCAUUGCACAUUUCUUAUCAUAUCUUCUUUUAUUUCUCAAUCCUUGAUCCUCCGGCCAAAAUUCUAUGAGCCGAACUAAAAUACUCAAUUACUUUAGCUUGCAUUUUUAUCGGAAGCAUUUGUCGAUCCAAAUCUGCAAUCCAUUUUAAUGAAUUCUUUAGCUCAUCAAGAAUAAUAGAGAAGUCCAUUCUUAUAAAACCCAUUUUGGUUCACAAUUCAUACCAAAUCUCCCAACUUUGGAAGACGGUUUUUUCCUAAAAUCAUUUUGGUGUCAUGAUUUUCUUUAUCGGCUUUUUGUUCGGUAAUAUGUUUGGUUUUCUUCAAGGCUUGUUUCAUCGGAUCUGUUAUGUUAGCUGCGCGUCUUCAAAAGGGUUUUUCAAUCCGUCCAUGAUACCAUGUAAAAUUUGUUUUUUCUUGAUUUAUACAUAAGUAAUUAAAUACAGCGGGUUAAAAAAAAUGACCCAGUAAUAUUGCAUAAACUCACUAUUUGGAAGGGUUCAAUUUAGUUCUAAGAUAUAUAUGACCAAAAAUACACGAGAGAAUAAUAUUUGGUUUCUUUCACAUUCUUUCCAAAGUUGAUUUGUCAUCUGAUGAACCGAAAAUGAUGUGCAAGAAAUUACAGAAUUCACAAAAAUAUUAUUACCACACAGAAUUACAAGAAAUGAGGAGAUGGGAAGGUAACUGAUUUCACAUAUCUGAACACCCACGUAACCUUUUUAUACUAACAGUAGUACCCUCUAUUGAGAGAUAAUCCUCUAUCAAAAAGAGUAGAGGCUUGCAUCAGAUAACCUUUGAGAGGGUAUGGCUAUAAGUGGUUUCCUUUUCUUAGUCACAAGUCCAAACUCAUCAGAAAGCUCAAACUCUUCAUCUUCUGGUAAGUUCCAAUCAAAUGAGUGCAACAGCGAUGCUAAUAUAUAUACCAACAUCUUCUCCCCAAGUGAGAUUCCUGGGCAUAUUCUUCUCCCUGAUCCAAAUGGUAAAAACUUGGAAUUCUUUCCAUGGUAAUCCCAUUUGUCGAUCAAGAAUCUCUCAGGCUUGAACUCCAAUGGAUUGGUCCAGUUCUUGGGAUCCCGAUGGAUUGCCCAAACAUUCAUAUAGACGAUAGUACCCUUUGGAAUGGUGUAUCCG
rnacentral:lncRNA from 1 species